CAGUCCAAACCGAAAACAUUGCUCGGUAAUUGGAUCAUAUCUAGAGCUCUAGAUCUCGAAUUUAGGUCCAUUUUAUAUGGAUGGAAAGGUAAGACAAAGGCCUACAACUUUCAUGAGGAACCCAAGAUUUAAAAAGGCCUUUUUGAAGUCCAAAUUGAAGGAACAAUGAAGAAGUCCGAAGUUGUCCUGCAGCCCAGACACUAUUUAAUGUUCAGCCCAUAUCUUGAGUUCUAGAAGUCCAAAUGACCUCAUUUUUUUUUUGUUGGAAAGCUGAGACAAUUUCCUAGAACAUUCCUGAGGAUUCUGGGAAAAUUAUGAUAUUAGCAAUGACGUCUUGUUCAGACAAGAAGAUAAGGAUUGUCACCAAGUCAAGAUGUGGCCAUCCACUCAUCAAUUAGUCAACAAAUCAAUAGUUCCAAAUUUUGGCCUAUAAAAGGAGGCACUUACCAUGUAUUGAGGCAUCUUGGUUUCCAGAUCAAGAUCAUGCUCUUGCUUUCUCUCUUUGUAUUGCUUAUGUUUUGCUUUCAUUAAUAUCAAGUUUAUGCACUUCAUUUCCUUUCCUUUACUUAGUUAACUUCUUUCUCAUUUAUGUUCUUAUCUUGUUCAUUUAUGUUUCUUCCUUUCAUUAUGUUUAGCUAAGUUAAUUAUGUCAAGGUGAAAAGGGUACACUAAUGGUGUAAGAAUAAGUAUAAUAUAAACUUAACAUGGACCUUAAUGUUGAUACUAACAUGUUUUAUAUUUGUUAUCUUGUUCACUUUUAAUACUUUGCUUGUUAAAUGGUUAAUCUAGAUUUAUGUUGUAUAACACUUGGUACAACAAAUACUUGGCACUUUUCAUAGCCCAUACUGUAUGGUAUAACCGACACCUGAGCUAUGAAAGGAACUUGAUUUGUUGUUAACAUAAGUUAUAAUCAUGAAUGCCUGCCAACAUUUACAAGUAUUAGCUUUAUUCGAAUAAGGUAACUAAUGUAAUCAUGUUAACAAUUUAUAAUCUGAUUGGAACCUCCUUUAUGUGUGGUUUCCAAUUGAGUAAUAAUAGUUUAUAUUAUACUUGUUUGAAGUACUAUUUGUGGAUCCUCUAACCUUGACAUUUGUUUUUAUCGUUGUUUAAUCCUUACAUUAAUCUUUCAUCUCAAAGUUCUCAUUAAUUUCUUCAUCUUCUUCUUUUUCUUUUAUUAUUAUUAUUAUUAUUAUUAAUAUUAUUUGCAUUCUGUUUAUAUUAUAUAAUAUAUCUCUUUGAUCUUUUCAUCAACUCAGUAUAUAGGCUGGAAACCUGUGACCCGAUCUUUUAGAUCAUUCUCAGGUAUAACAACGCCACGUACUGAGUAUUAUUAUUAUUACUAUUACUAUUAUUGUUAUUAUUGUUGUUGUUGUUAUUGUUGUUGUCUUGUUAUUUAUAAUUUAUACAAUUAACCUCUCUGUGGUUCCACCCCGGUCUUGCCGGGUUAUUUGUUACUUCGACACUCCUGCACUUGGAAAAAGACAUCAAGCUUUUGGUUGUGUCAGUGAGCCUUCUCGCAUGCUAGCUCACGUGUUACACGUGCCAACCACUUUUCUCUUUUUCUUUCAAUUUAGUUAGUGAAUACAAAUUUCAAUUUUAAAUUCGAUAUUUAAAACUUUAAUUAUUUCAAAUUAAUGAAAUCAAAGUACAUUUUAUUGAAUCUAAGUAUCUACUGGGCACCAAGAUUUUGUCUUGACAUCGUGGAAACCUAACAUGAAGUCAUUGAAAACAAAUUAUAAAGUUUGAUCUUAAAAACAUAUAACUUAAAAGGAUAAAAUUAAAAAGAAAACAAAAUUUAAGUGAUCAAGAAAAGAAAAUAAACAAGUAAAAUAUAACAUUAUUAUAAUUUACAAUAAAUUUAUGUCUCGAUCCAUGGUAGUUUCCCUAGAUAUUUUAGUUUUUAUUUUUAUUUUUUUAAUUUAUAAUUAUAAUGUGUAAUAAUAAUAAUCAAUGAUUCGUCACGAUAGACUAGAUGUGUUCCAACAUUCUUCUUCUUCUUCCUUUUGUUUUUUUGGAUAUACAUGAGAGGUGAUGGGCAAUGCUAAACAUUAAGAAAGAAUAACAAUAAUCAAAUUAAAAAAAUACAUAUGGACCGUUAAGAUUAGUAAUAUUCAAUUGGAUUUCAUUUAAUCCAAUGAGUUAUGUAUAUUUUUGAAGUUGGUUCAUAUUAUUCUUUUUAAAUGUCUAAUAAUUUCUUAAUGUCUCGGUAGCUCGAGAGAGCAUAUAUUUUUAGCAUUGUUUUUUUGUUGAACUUUUUAAAUGCAACUUUGCAUUGCCAAAAUGAUUUUUACCUGAUUAGAUUAGUGAUUGAGCUCAUACAGUAAGAAUUUACAAUCUAAUGUUCCAAUAGGAUUAAUUAAAGCUGAGUUAAUUUGUUUAUGAGAAGGACUUCUAUUGUUGCGCAUAAUUAUCUUGUCUUCCCUCUCUAAACUAAUUUUACCAGAAAUAUGAAAUUACUGUAAGUAAUAAUUUUAUAUAAAAAAGAUAAUUUAUUAACUCAAAUUCAUUUAAUUAUCUUUUUUUUUUGCUAUUAGUGCUUAAGGUAUAUUAAGAUCAUUCAAUUGGAAUAGGUCACCUCAAGAAAUUUUUUUGUAUUUAUUAAAAUUUUUAUUUUUUAUUUAAAAUUAAUUUUUUUAAUAUUUUUCAUUCAUUUUAAUGUACUAAAAUAAAAAAUAAAAUUUUAAAAAUAAAAAAGAUAUUUUAUUAUAUUUAUAAAUAAAAAGUAAUUUAAAAAGUAUUCCUUACAAUAGUACCUAAAAUCUCAAACAAUCAUACAAUCAUGGUAAAAAAUAAGUAGAUAAUAGUCCAAUAAAAAAAGACCUUGUUUAUUUUUGUUUCAUAAAGUACUUUUAAAAAAAUUUAAUUUUUUUUAAAUUAAAUUUUUUUGAUGUUUUUAAAUUAUUUUGAUGCAUUAAUUUUAAAAAUAAAAAAAAUAUUAUUUUAAUAUAUUUUUAAGUAAAAUAUAUUUUAAAAGUAAAUAUAAUUAUAUUCUCAACUUAUAGCAUGAGAAAGAAAGAAAGAGAAAAAAAACAAAAAAGGAGAGAAAUUUGAAAUCCCGCCCAAACCCGCGGGCAAGGCGAGGGCAGUGAUUGAUUCAAUUUUAAUAAUUUCCACCUCUUUUGUUUCCCAGAAACCCCCUUCCCCUACCCCCUCUUUAAUCCACACACCCAAACAAACCCUAGAAAAUCUCCCUCCCUCCUUCCCUCUGAGGUAAUCAACUCGCUCUCCCUUCGCCGCUGACCGUUACUCCCUUUUUUCCCUCCGUUCUCACUGCUGUUCAGCGUUUUCUUUGCAGAAAUCACCAUGAAAGGCGGUAGAUCAAAGGCUGAUUCCAGAAACAAUGACAACAAGUGUGUUUUCUCUGGUUUUAAUCGCGUUUUCAUCAUUUUAACAAAUAUGAGAUCUCCUUGCGUGUUUAUGCUCUCUGUUUUUGGUUUUUUGAUUGUGAUAUUGCUUAUUUGUUGAUUAGGCUAAAGAGAAAAGGAUCAGGAGCCGGAACUAAAGUUUCGAAAAAGGCUGCGAAGGAUCCGAACAAGCCUAAAAGGCCUGCUAGUGCUUUCUUCGUUUUUAUGUAAGCGAACUCUUUAUUCCUUUUUAUUUUUUAAUUUAUUUUUGUUUGGCUGCUGAGUUUUAUUUUUGAAUGAUUUAUUGUGUACUUAAUUGUUUUCUUUUUUAAUCUUGAAGGGAAGAUUUUAGGAAACAGUAUAAGGAGGCUCAUCCAAACAAUAAAUCUGUUGCUGCCGUAAGCAAUCUAAACAGAUCUUCAAUUUAUCUUUUAUGUUUAAAUUCUUGUGUUUUGUUUGAUUUUAAGCUCCAAAUAUAGAGUUGUCUGUUAACUUUUGAUACUUGUAAUUAAUUUUAUUAAAAUUUACUUGACAAACAGAGUGAUUUGAUCAUUUUCUUAAUUGCCAAUAAUGUGAUCGAAGUAAAUGAUUGCUAAAUAUGAAAUUGAAGGAAAGAGAUAAUUGUCUAAUUGAAUGAGUUGAUUUUUUUUCUUUAUUUGUAAUUAUGUGUUUGCUCUGCAGCAAUGUAAUUUUGUGUUUUUGAUAUGAAUUAGGUUGGUAAAGCUGGUGGAGACAAGUGGAAAUCCUUGAGUGAAGCUGUGAAUAUAUUUAUUGAUUAAUACAUUUCUGAUUAUGUGUUUAACUUGUUUUGUGAGUCUGAUUUUUUCGUGGGUUUUAAACUUGGUAAUAAUAUCAGGAGAAAGCUCCUUUUGUGGCUAAGGCUGAGAAGAGAAAGACUGAAUAUAACAAGGACAUUGCUGCUUACAACAAAAGACUGGUAUCCUUUCUGUAGUGGAUACCCUUUUGUUUUGAAGCUGUGUCUUUAUGGAGAAUAAUUGUUGUUUGUGGAAAUGAUUGGUUUCUACUGGGUGAUACUAGGCUGCGGGAAUUGCUGAUGAUGAAUCUGACAAGUCCAAGUCAGAAGUGAAUGACGAGGAUGAGGAAGAUGAGAGUGAUGGAGAGGUAGCCUUCAAAUCCAAACUCAACUUUUAUUAUUUGAGUGUUUUUUGUAUUUGUGUUAAUUUUCUUGUUUGCUUGUUGUUUUGUAGGAGGAAGAUGAUGAUGAGUAACUUGACUAGGAGGAUGCAACGAAUGAAGUAAUAAGCAAUUUGGUGUAGAAUUGCUUGUAUUGUAUUUACUUGCAUUUCUAGCUUUUAAAUAGUAGUUGUUUAGAUCUAGCUCAAGACAAAACCAAAGGAUUAGUUGCAGGGGGUGCCCUUGAACUCACAUGGUAGUAUGUACCAACAAAGUCUUUUCAUGUUCAAUGUAGUGGUCUGGGUUCCAAAAUCAUACAAGUAAUUUUUUGUCAUGAGUGUUUUGUGGGUGCUUUUUUGUUGUGCGAGUUGUUCAUAACUUAUAUCAUUUAUCACCGGUAUGUGGGAAUCCAUUUAACUAGUUGUUUAAUCAUACGUGAGAAAUAGUUUUGUAUUGGGUUGAUAAAGUUUACAAGUCUAGUAUGGUGUUUGUUUAUGUGAUCAUAUAAAAUAUUUUGUUUCAUAGGUAUCUAUUUCCUUGAUUAUUUUCCCAUUUGUUAGUUGCUUCAAGUUUAACACUCAAGAGCUGGUUGUAUUUGUUUGUCUACUUUGAAUUUGAAAUCACAAGUAAUUUAUAAUAUGUUUUUUUUUAGCGUAAUGAAAGGUUAUUUUGCUUUGACUAAUAUGGUGUAUUUGGAGUUCUAGAAGAUUCUCCAUGCUUUUUAUGGUGUUUGACUUUUUUGUACCAUCAUUGAAAGGUUUUUCUUGUUAGAUAUGUUUGCAAUGAUUAUGCUCCUUCUUGUAAACAAAUACUAUUUUUAGAUUUUAAUUGCAUCUUGAUUAUAAUUUUUUAUCUUAGUAAAAGAUCUAAAAGAUCUUAUUUAUUUAUUUUUUUCUUCAAUCUUAAACUAAUACAUGCUAAAAAAAUAUAUUGAUUGUGCUGUUAGGAAUAACACAAUCCGUAAGUAUAAGAUUGUUAUUCCUAAUGGUGUUUUUUUUUUUUUUUUUGUAAAUUUAAAAAGUUUGUUAUCCAAAGCGUAUAAUCUAUAGAUUAUGUUGCUUUUAACCAUGUAAUCCAAGUGAUUUUUAUUGUUUUGAACAUUGCAAAUUUUAUAUUUAAAAUGUCUCUUAUAAUUUGUUUAAUUGUUUCUCUAGUUUACUCUUGCUUUUCUUCUUUUUCUCAUCACUUUAUCUUUCUUCCUUUGGCACCUAUAUUAUAGUCAUUUUGUUAAUUUCUUUCUUAUUUUCUUAUCUCAUUGCUUUUUUUUAUUUUUUAUUUCUUUCAUUAAAACCAUCAUUGGUGUGCUAUUAUGGUCAUUUCCACCACUCUUAUAAUAAAUUAAGUUAAACAUUUUCUUACUUUUAAUUUUGUUGAUUUGGUUGUUAGUUUGCGAUUAUGCUAGGGUUUAAGUAAUUAUUGUUUGAAUUUUUUUUUGCUAUGUUAUGGUUUAGUUGAAUUUAGAUUAAUUAGAUAUAGAUUGAUGUAAUUGACUACACAUUACAUUUAUUAAGUAUAAAUAAUGCCAAGUGAUAUCAAGAAUAACUAAAUUUAUUAAAUCUGGGAUUUGACAUAAAAAAAAGUAGAAAGAAAAAUUACAAAGGGAAGAAGUCUGAUAUUGAAUAGCAGAAAAAUAAAAAUUACAAAGAAUUAAGAAUUAGUAGUCUCACACCACUCAAGAGAAUCACUUUCACUUUGAAAUCAUACCAAAUCAAAGAACUUUUCAUUACAAAUCUGCCCAACCUAAACAUAUAUGCUACAUUAAAUAUAAAUACAUAUUAUAGUUAUUUACUAGAUAAUUACCAACUAAGAUAAGAACAAUGACAAUUAUAUUAACUUUUUCUGCCAUUUGGAAGUAUAAGAUGAUCUUCAAUUAUUGGUUGUAACUUCCCUCUUCUUGCCAACGUGUACCACUGGAAUUGUAGCCUCCAUAGAAUGUACCCUUUUACUCGAAUUAGCUUGAUCCUUGUCGGUUAUUAUGGCCUUCUGCUUGCUUUGGACUUGAGUGCUGCCACUUUGGUUACCCGAACUUGCAUCAAUUUCCUCACUCUCCAAGCAACUAACCUCAGGUAAGUAUUGUUGAAUAUAAUCAUGAAGUAAUUGAGGAUUCAAACGUUGGAUUUCCUUCUCAUGUACCCAUGCGGCUUCUGAUUGUGGUUUGGAUGCCCAUUGAACUAAGAAUUCAUUAUAGCCUCAUUUUCUGUUGGAAACGUACUUAUGUGCUAAAAUAAAAUUCAUGAUUUUUAGAAUAGGAACACUUGAGGGAUUUUUGAUGGUGUAGAUUGCUCAUCAAGAAUUGAUGGAGGGCCAUGGUAUGUUGUCAUAUCUGUAACAUUGACAAUGGGACUACAUUGACAUUCUGCUAGCAAAUCAAUCAAAUAAGCAUAGACUCCAAGUUUCUUCAAGAUUUUAAAUCGACCUGAAUUAGAGCAUGUAAUUUGCUGUAAGUUCCAGGGGGAAACCUCUCUGGCCUUAAUCUUAUCAAUACUAGAUUGCCUUAUGCAAAUUGUACUUCCUUCUUGUGACGAUUUGCAUGAUUAACACAUUUAAGCCAUUUGCUUUGCCAUUUUACAUAUGCCAUUGCUAUGUAACAAGGACAUAAAUGUUGCAAAAUCAAGGCCGCCUUCACUAGUUUUCUAAGGUAAUGGUAGAGAAAUGGUGUCAGUAGGUACUUUGGGGUGCAAUCCAUAUAUCAACUCAAAAGGUGUGUACCAUGUAGUUUGAUUUACAAAGUUAAUGUAGGCAAAUUCUGCUUGAGGCAGAACUAAAUCCCAACUGACUCCAUGCUCAUUGGUUAAACACUGUAAAAGAUUACUAAGACUUCUGUUAAUGACUUCAGUUUGGCCAUCGGUUUGGGGAUGGAAGGUAAUAGAAAAAAUGAGUUUUGUCCUUAACUUAGCCCAUAAUGUCUUCCAAAAAUAGCCGACAAACUUAACAUCCUUGUCCGAGACAAUAUAUAGUGGAAGGCCAUGCAAUCGUAUAAUCUCUUUCAGAAACAAAGUUGUAAUAUGGGAGGCAUCAAAAGUCAUCUUGUAGGGAACAAAAUGUGCCAUUUUUAAAAACCGAUCCACGACCACCAUGAUGGAAUCAUGUCCCCAAACUAUCUUUGAAAGCCCCAAGAUAAAAUCCAUACUCAACUCAAGCCAGGGUUGAUGCGGGAUUGGUAAGGGAGUAUAAAGACCAACAUUGGUCUUGUUUCCCUUAUACAAUUGAUAGAUCCUGCAUCUUUUCAUAAUAGUAUUAAUGUCUCUUUUCAUACCUGGUUGGUAAAACCGAUCAACAACCAGUGAAUAUAUUUUGUCCUGCCCAAAGUGUCUUGCUAUUCCUCCUUCAUGUAACUCUUGAAUGAUGAACUCUCGUAUUGAUCACUUGGUGAUGCAAAUACAACCUUCUUUAGUUAAAUAACUAUCCAAGAUAGUGUAAUCUGCUUUGGAAAUGGGAGGUUUGCUGUUGAGAUUCCCAAAUCUUUUGGAAAUCUGGAUCUAUAGAAUAAGAAUUCUUCAUAGAAGCAAAACUUGAGGGGUGAGGUGAAAGGAUAGUGGAAGGAUGCGAUCUUCUACUAAAUGCAUCAACCACCUUAUUUUCACGACUAGUUUUGUGCAUGAUAACAAAACUGAAUUGUUAUAGGAAACUGAUCCACCUAGCAUGUCUAGGACUCAACUUUUUCUGUGAAUGUAAGUAUUUCAAUGAGUCAUGGUCUGUAAAUAAAAUGAAUUCACGGUGGAUAAGAUAUGAUUGCCAAUGCUUCAAUGACUGAAUUAGAGUAUAAAAAUCUAAAUCGUAGGCUGAGUAUCUCCUCCUAUUGUCAUUUAAUUUCUCACUGUAAAAUACAAUGGGGUACCUAGCUUGGCUUAAUACACCUCUUAUGCCCACAUGAGAUGCAUCACAAUAAAUUUCAAAGACUUGGGAGAAAUCUGGGAGUUUCAGAACGGGUGCCUUUGUCAUCUUCUAUUUAAUAAGCUUGAAUGCUCCAGUUGCUGCGGGAGUCCAUUUAAAGACUUUAUUCUGUAAUCAGGGCUAUAAUGGUGAUAAACACUUGAAUAAAUCAUUGAUAAAAAGUGGCUAAACUAUGGAAGCUUCAAACUUCAAAGAAUGAUUAAGGUUCUGGCCACUCCAAGAUUGUUCUAACUUUCUCCGGAUCAACUUCCACACCUUGCUGUGAUGUAAUAAAUCCCAGGAAGUGUGUCUUUGAUUGAAGAAAAUAACAUUUGUUGAAAUUUGCAUAAAACUUUUCUUGUCGUAGCACUUGCAGGAUUUGUUUCAGAUGUUGAAGAUGCUCAUCCAUGUGUUGGCUGAAAACAAGUAUGCCAUCAAAAUAUACAACAACACACCUGCCUAGAUCUGGCUUCAACGUCUGAGUCCUCACCCUCAUGAACGUGCUUGGUGCGUUUGUGAGGCCAAAAGGCAUUACUAACCAUUUGUACAACCCUUCCUUUGUCUUGAAAGCUGUCUUCCAUUCAUCUCCAGGUCUGAGACGAAUCUGAUGGUAUCCACUUUGCAAAUCCAGUUUGGAGAAGACGUUGGCAUGUCCCAAUUGAUCCAACAUAUCAUCCAAUCGUGGGAUUGGAAAGCAAUACUUAACAGUUAUCUUGUUCACUACUCUGCUAUCAAUACACAUCCUCCAGCUACCAUUUUUUUUUGGAAUGAGAAGGGCUGGAACAACACAAGGACCGAGGCUUUCCCUAAUAAAACCCUUACUCUCUAAUUCCUACACUUGACGCUGCAACUCCUUAUGUUCUGCUGGACUCCUACGAUAAUAUGGCAGGUUUGGCAAAGAGGAACCUGGUACUAGAUCGAUAGUAUGUUGAACAUCACAUAAAGGAGGUAAUUGUGAAAGGAGCUCUUCAAGAAAAAUAUCUUUAAAUUGUUGCAAAAGAUGUUGAAGAGUUGUUGGUAAGCAUUUCUUUCUGGUUUUUAGUCCUUCAUCUACUGUCCUGCCAACUAGCAUAAACACAACCUAACUAUCAAGAAGGGCUCUUUAAAGUUUUUGAGGGGAUAUAAUCAUUGCUGACUUCUGUGGGAAUUCCAUGAUAGGGAGUGGUUCCAAAAUCAACUUCUUAUUCUUGAAUAUCAACGAAUAAGUGUUGUUAAACCCAUUAUAACUCACCUUUCUAUUGCAUGGUUAGCCUAGAAGCACAUGACAUAUUGUCAUGGGAAGUAUAUCACACUAGACUUCAUUUUGAAAAUGAUCUCCCAAAGAAAAUGACUGAUUAAUACUUAAAAGUGCAUGUUUAUCAAGGUUUUAUAUCAUCAUUUUGCACUUGAAGUAUCAAUAACUCAACUAAAGCAUGUUUUAUAAUAACAAGUCUGAUACUAUAAGAUACUUUAAUAUAUGGUAAAUGUUCAUCUUAAAUGCAGGCCUAUCAUAUAAAUCAAAGGAUUGAUUGAUGAAUUCAACUACUGAAAUUAUAAAGAUAAAGAGAGGGUGAAGCUUAGAAAAGAGAUGUUGAUGCAAUCCAAACUGGAACAUUGUUCGGUAAUUGGGUCAUAUCUUGAGUUCUAGAUGUCCAAAUAACCUCAUAUUUUUGGACACAUUCGGUAAGACAUAGGCCUACAACUUUCAUGUGGAGUCUAAGAUUUAAAAAGGCCGUUUUUAAGUCCAAAUUAUAGCAAGAAUGGAGAAGUCCGAAUCUGUCCUGCAGCCCGGACACUGUUUAGUGUUCAACCCAUAUCUUGAGUUCUAGAAAUCCUAAUGACCUCAAUUUUUUUCCUUGGAAAUUUGAGACAAUUUCCUAGAACUUUCAUGGGUAAAGGUGGUUCCAAUUCUGAUGUUAGCAAUGAUGUUUUGUUCAGACAAGAAGAUAAGGAUUGUUACCAAGUCAAGAUGUGCCCACCCACUCAAUAAUUAUCAUCAAAUCAAUAGUUCCAAAAUUUGGCCUAUAAAAGGAGGCAUUUGCCAUGCAUUUAGACAUCUUGGUUUUCAGAUUAAGAUCAUGCUCUUGCUCUCUUUCUUUGUAUUUUGUAAUGUUUAAGUUUUAUUUUAUGUUACAUUAAUCUCUUGUUUAUGCCUUUCAUUUCCUUUCCUUUAGUUAUAUAAUUAUGUUCUUAUCUUGUUUAUUUAUAUUUCUUUCUUUCAUUAUGUUUAGCUAAAUCUAUUAUGUCAAGGUGAAAAGGUUACACUAAUGGUGUAAGAAUAAGUAUAAUAUAAACUCAACAUGGACUUUAAUGCUUGAUACUAACAUGUUUUAUAUUUAUUAUCUUGCUCACUCUUAAUAUCUUGCUUGUUAAAUGGUUAAUCUAGAUUUAUGUUGAACAACCCUUGGUACAACAAAUGAUUGACACUUUCAUAGCCCAACCAUAUGGUAUAACCUACACCUGUGCUAUGAAAGAAACUUGAUUUGUUGUUAACAUAAGCUAUCAUCAUGAAUACCUGACAACAUUUAGAAGUAUCAACAUUAUUCGAAUAAGAUAACUAAUGUAAUUAUGUUAACAAUUUAAAAACCGAUUGGAAUCUCCUUUGUGUGUGGUUUCCAGUUGAGUAAUAAGAGUUUAUACUAUACUUGUUUGAAGUACCAUUAGUGGAUCCUCUAACCUUGACAUUUGUUUUUAUUAUUGUUUAAUCCUUACAUUAAUCUUACAUCUCAAAGUCCUCUUUAUUAUUACUAUUACUAUUAUUAAUAUCAUUACUACUACUACUACUACUAUUAUUAGUACUACUACUACUACUACUACUACUACUACUUCCAAUUAUUAUUAUAAUUUAUAUAGUUAACCUCUUUAUGGUUUGACUCCGGUCUUGCCGGGUUAUUUAUUACUUUGACACUCCUGCACUUGGGAGAAGACAUCAAUCUUUUGGUCGUGUCAAUGACAAUAGGCAGUGAUUUUGGACCUUAAUAAGAUGUUUAUCAUGGAUCCAACUAACACUGUAUGGACUAGGAUGUUUUUCUUUAUAUAGGUCUAAUUUCUCCAUAGCUUCAGUGGAAAUUACAUUAAGGCCACUUUCGUUGUCAAGAAUCACAUUCAGUGCCUUGCCCUUGCAUGCUACCUUGGUAUGAAAUAUAUUUGUCCUCCUUCAUUCCUCCUCUAAGUGUGCUGUAAGGGUCACCUAAUUGGAUAACAUUCGGUGUACUACAUACAAAGGCAGUUCAGAAGCUUGCAAUCUUUCUUCUUCAAACUCGUCAAUUUCUGCUUCCCUAAUUUCUUGACCUCCAGUUGAGGACUCAAGAAUUGUUUCAGAAUUCAUUUCAGAAGCAAACAUCACCUUUCUUUCUUUUGUAGGACACACUGCUGCAAAAUGUCCAUAGCCCUUGUAUUUGUAGCAUUGUGGUCCCACUACAGUGGUAUUGGUCUUCCUCUAAUCUCCAUAUGGAAGUGUAUUCUUGCCAGCAUUCAUGAUUCCUCGAUCAUUGUUCUGUAAGGAUGUUGGUUUGGAAGUGCCCCUAUACUGUCUUGCCAAAUUGCUUUGAGCGACUGUUUGUUGUUUCGCCAACUGUAGAGCCAACUGGUAUGCCUCAUCUAUAAAAAAUAAUUUGGUAGUAAACAUAUCUCUUUUGAUAUCACUACGCAGUCCUCUCAAAUACCUGGCAAGGGUUUGUUGAUUGGUUUCCAUGACUUGACUUCGUACAGAUAAAUCAUGGAAUUUUUCAUUAUAUUAGUAUAUUGUCAUAUGUAUACCCUGCAUCCAAUGAAGCAUAUCUUUAUAUACCAAUUGUUCAUAAUUGGCCAGAAGAUAUUUAGUUUCCAGAUGAGCCUUUAUCUCUACCCAAUCUUGAAUAGGAGGUUGGUGUGUCCGACUAAGUUGUUCUUCUAGAUUUCCCCAUUAUGCAAGAGCAACCCCUUUUAAUUUCAAUUUAACAAAUUUGACCUUUCUAUUUUUAGGUACUGAAAACCAUUCAAAAUAGUCUUUUAAAGAUACCAACCAAUCUUGAAAAACAUUAGGAUCUUGCCUUCUAAUGAAAUCAGACACAUAUACUUUCAUUCCUUUAGAAAGUUCAUCAAAGACCCUGCCAUCUUUGUUUCUAUAGUCGUGAUUAGUACUUAAAAGUACAUUUUUAUCAAGGUUUUAUAUCAUUAUUUUGCACUUGAAGUAUCAACAACUCCUUAACUAAAGCAUGUUUUAUAAUAACAAGUCUGAUACUAUAAGAUACCUUAAUUUAUGGUAAAUGUUCAUCUUAAAUGCAGGCCUAUCACAUAUAUCAAAGUAUUGAUUGAUGAAUUCAACUACUGAAAUUGAGAAGAUAAAGAGAGGGCGAAGCUUAGAAAAGUGAUGUUGGUUCGGUCCAAACUGGAACACUGUUCAGUCAUUGGAUUAUAACUAGAGCUGUAGAACUUGGAUUUAGGUCUGUUCUAUAUGGAUGGAAAGCUAAGACAUAGGCUUAAAACAUUCAUGGGAGUGCAAGACUCAAUUCUGCUGUUUGGAAGUCCAAAUCUUAGCAACAAUGGAGAAGUUGAAAUCUGUCCUGCAACCUAGAUAAUGUUUAGUGUUCAUCCCAUAUCUCGAGUUCUAGAAGUCCAAAUGUAUUGAUUCUUUUUUGGUUGGAAAGAUAAGACAAUUUCCUAGAACUUUCAUGAUUUAAGUCUAUUCGAAUUCCAACAUUAUCAAUGAUGUUUUGUUCAGACAAAAAGAUAAGGAUUGUCACCAAGUCAAGAUGUGGCCACCCACUCAACAAUUAGUCAUCAAAUCAAUAGUUCUAAAUUUUGGCCUAUAAAAGGAGGCAUUUGCCAUGUAUUUAGGCAUCUUGGUGUUCAUAUCAAGAUCUUGUUUUUGCUCUCUUUCUUUGUAUUUUGUAACGUUCAAGUUUUAUUUUAUGUUAUAUGAAUGUCUUGUUUAUGCUUUUCAUUUUCUUUACUAUACUUAUAUAAUUAUGUUCUUAUCUUGUUUAUUUAUGUUUCUCUCUUUCAUUAUGUUUAGCUAAAUUUAUUAUGUUAAGGUGAAAAGAUUACACUAAUGAUGUAAGAAUAAGUAUAGUAUAAACUCAAGAUGGACUAUAAUGUUUGAUACUAACAUGUUUUAUAUUUGUUAUCUUGUUCACUUUUAAUACUUUGCUUGUUAAAUGGUUAAUCUAGAUUUAUGUUGUAUAACCCUUGGUACAACAAAUACUUGGCAUUUUUAUAGCCCAACUGUAUGGUAUAACCGAAACUUGUGCUAUGAAAGGAACUUGAUUUGUUGUUAACAUAAGUUAUAAUCAUGAAUACCUGACAACAUUUAGAAGUAUCAGCAUUAUUCGAAUAAGAUAACUAAUGUAAUUAUGUUAACAAUUUAUAAUCCGAUUGGAAUCUCCUUUGUGUGUGGUUUCCAGUUGAGUAAUAAGAGUUUAUACUAUACUUGUUUGAAUUACCAUUAGUGGAUCCUCUAACCUUGACAUUUGUUUUUAUCAUUGUUUAAUCCUCACAUUAAUCUUACAUCUCAAAGCUCUCUUCAACUUAUUGUUGUUGUUGUUACUAUUACUAUUAUUAAUAUUAUUAUUUAUAAUUUAUAUAGUUAACCUCUCUGUGGUUUAACCCUGGUCUUGCUGGUUUUUUAUUACUUCGACACUCUUACACUUGGGAGAAGACAUCAACUCUUUGGUCAUGUCAAGUCGCCUAAAUGUUCUCCUACUUCCUUAGCAUCUAUUGCUACAUUGCCUCCUUGAUUAACUUUGCACCUUCUAUGAUCAACAUUAUUACUCUUUUCUUCAAUAUGCUCUAGAUGUCUAACAAUAACUCCCGAGGUACUAGUAACCAACUCCAUUUGAUGUUGCAAUUGGUGUAACAAGGAAGUAGACUCAUUUUGUAAAGGUGUUGGAUGAGGGGGGGGGUUCUAUGGAGAUGUUUGUUGCUAGGGAAUAUUUUGUGAAUGAGGUGUUGGUUGAGGAGGGUUCAACGGGUUCUGUGGGGAUGUUUGUUGUAAGGGACUAGUGUGUGGAGGUGUUUGUUGAGGGGGGUUCAAAUGAGAUUGGGAAGGGCCAGGUGAUUAGUAUUUAAAAGUACAUGUUUAUCAAGGUUUUAUAUCAUCAUUUUGCACUUGAAGUAUCAAUAACUCCUUAACUAAAACAUGUUUUAUAAUAACAAGUUUGAUAUUAUAAGAUACCUUAAUUUAUGGUAAAUGCUCAUUUUAAAUGCAGGACUAUCACAUAAAUAAAAGGAUUGAUUGAUGAGUUUAAGCAUUGAAAGUUAAAGGACAAAGAGAUGGCCAAACUUAGAAAAGAGAUGUCGGUGCAGUCCAAACCGGAACAUUGCUCGGUAAUUGGAUCAUAUUUGGAGCUCUAGAUCUCGGAUUUAGGUCCAUUUUAUAUGGAUGGAAAGGUAAAACAUAGACCUACAACUUUCAUUUGGACACCAAGAUCUAAGAAGGCCGUUUUCAAGUCCAAAUUAUAGGAACAACGAAGAAGUCCGAAGCUGUCCUGCAGCCCAGACACUAUUUAGUGUUCAGCCCAUAUCUUGAGUUCUAGAAGUCCAAAUGACCUCAUCUUUUUUUUGUUGGAAAGCUGAGACAAUUUCCUAGAACAUUCCUAAGGAUUCUGGGCAAAUUAUGAUGUUAUAAAUGACGUCUUGUUCAGACAAGAAGAUAAGGAUUGUUACCAAGUCAAGAUGUGGCCACCCACUCAUCAAUUAGUCAACAAAUCAAUAGUCCCAAGUUUUGGCCUAUAAAAGGAGGCACUUACCAUGUAUUGAGGCAUCUUGGUUUCUAGAUCAAGAUCAUGCUCUUGCUUUCUCUCUUUGUAUUGCUUAUGUCUUGCUUUCAUUAAUAUCAAGUUUAUGCACUUCAUUUCCUUUCCUUUACUUAGUUAACUUCUUUCUCAUAUAUGUUCUUAUCUUGUUCAUUUAUGUUCUUUCUUUCAUUAUGUUUAGCUAAGCUAAUUAUGUCAAGGUGAAAAGGGUACACUAAUGGUGUAGAAAUAGUAUAGUAUAAACUUAACAUGGACCUUAACGUUGGAUACUAACAUGUUUUAUAUUUGUUAUCUUGUUCACUUUAAUACUUUGCUUGUUAAAUGGUUAAUCUAGAUUUAUGUUGUAUAACACUUGGUACAACAAAUACUUGGCACUUUCAUAGCCCAUACUGUAUGGUAAACCGACACCUGAGCUAUGAAAGGAACUUGAUUUGUUGUUAACAUAAGUUAUAAUCAUGAAUGCCUGCCAACAUUUACAAGUAUUAGCUUUAUUCGAAUAAGAUAACUAAUGUAAUCAUGUUAACAAUUUAUAAUCUGAUUGGAACCUCCUUUAUGUGUGGUUUCCAAUUGAGUAAUAAGAGUUUAUAUUAUACUUGUUUGAAGUACCAUUAGUGGAUCCUCUAACCUUGACAUUUGUUUUUAUCAUUGUUUAAUCCUUACAAUCUUUCAUCUCAAAGUUCUCAUUAAUUUCUUCAUCUUCUUCUUUUUUUAUUAUUAUUAUUAUUAUUUUCAUCUCUGUUUAUAUUAUAUAAUAUAUCUCUUUGAUCUUUUCAAAAACUCAGUAUAUAGGCUGGAAACCUGUGACCCGAUCUUUUAGAUCAUUCUCAAGUAUAACAACGCCCCGUACUGAGUAUUAUUAUUAUUAUUACUAUUACUGUUAUUAUUUUAUUGUUGUUGUUGUUGUUAUUGUUGUUGUCUUGUUAUUUAUAAUUUAUACAACUAACCUCUCUGUGGUUCGACCCCGGUCUUGCCGGGUUAUUUAUUACUUCGACACUCCUGCACUUGGGAAAAGACAUCAAGCUUUUGGUCAUGUCACUAGGUUCUUGUAAUCCUUGAUUGGGAUCAUAUGAAUUGCCACUACGAGUUCCAGGCAUGGAAGAACAUAAAUCAAAACUUGCUCUGAUACUAAUUAAUGCUAAGUGAUAUCAAGAAUAAUUAAAUUUAUUAAAUCUGGGAUUCGACAUAAAAGAAAGCAGAAAGAAAGAAUUACAAAGGGAAGCAGUCUGAUAUUGAAUAGAAGAAAAUAUAAAGAUUACAAAGAAUUAAGAACAAGUAGUCUCACACCACUUAAGAUAAUCACUCGUACUUUGGAAUCACAUCAAAUCAAAGAACUUUUCAUUACAAAUCCGCCUAACUCAGACAUAUAUACUACAUUAAAUAGAAAUACAUAUUACAAUUAUUUACUAGAUAACUACCAACUAAAAUAAGGAUAAUGACAAUUAUAGUAACUUCUUCUACCACUUGGAAGUAUAAGAUGAUCUUCAAUUAUUGGUUGUAACUUCCCCCUUCCUGCCAACAUGUACCACUGGAAUUGUAGCCUCCAUAGAAUAUAUCCCUUUACUUGAAUUAGCUUAAUCCUUGUCGGUUAUUAUGGCCUUCUGCUUACCUUGGACUUGAGUUGCCACUUUGGUUACCCGAACUUGCAUCAAUAAAUUACAUUAAUUAUGUUGAAUUUUUUAGAUUAGUUAGUAUAAUUGAGAAAUUUGAGACAUCUAAAGAGCAUGAAGGACAACCUCUAAUUCAUUUAAUCUAGGUCCAAGAAGAGCCCAAUUCGUGUGGAACAAGAGGCUGAUUUGUCCAGCUCCAUACCAGCCUUGUUAGGCUUGUUUUUUCUAAUGAUACAAGGAUAUAUAGUAAGCAAUUUAUUCUCCUAAACAAUCAAGGAAGUUUUGGUAGAUUUGAUUCCUAAAAAGGGAAGGAUUAUUUAAUGCUUUUCCUAGCCUAGGAAGGAAAGUAAUUAAAUUAGCAACAAAGGAUAAUUUUUUUUUCUUAUUUGUCCGAGUUAAACAAGGAAAUCCAAGCUAAUCAAGGACCUAAAGGGGAUGACAACAUAAAUUUUCCAAAAUAGAUUUCUCCUAGCUUAUAUGGGACUUCUAUAGAGCAACAAAUCCAAUCCUAUCAUAUUUAGGAUAUUAAAUUCGGAUUUAUAAUUGUUGUGUUUAUUUUCUUCUUAGUUUAGGGUUUUAUUUAUAUUAUUUAGGUUUAAUUGUAAGUAGGCCUCAUAUAAGUCCACAUAAGGUGUUCAUUAGGGUUUAUUUCAAUCUAGAGUCAGUAUAAAUAAAGACAUAAUGUGAAACCCCCAAAUAAAUCUACACGGAAUGAGAAAUAAAUAUUUUUCUGAUUGAUUAGUACUUAAAAGUGUAUUUUUAUCAUGGUAUUAUAUCAUCAUUUUGCAUUUGAAGUAGCAAUAACUCCUUAACUAGAGCAUGUUUUAUAAUAACAAGUCUGAUAAUAUAAGAUACCUUUAAUUUAUGGUAAAUGAUCAUUUUAAAUGCAAGUAUAUCUCACAAUUCAAAGGAUUGAUUGUUGUGAUUAACUAUUGGAAGUGAAAGGACAAAGAAAAGGCUAAGCUUAGGAAGGAGAUGACGAUUCAAUUCAAAUUCGAACACUGUUAAGUCAUCGGGUCAUAUCUAGAGCUAUAGAUCUAGGAUUUUAGUUUGGUUAAUAUGGAUGGAAAGAUAAGAAAUAGGCCUACAACUUUCAUGAAUAGGGAAAGACCCAAAUCUGCCAUUUUCAAAUUCAAAGUUUGGCCAUAAAAGAGAAGUCAGAAUCUGUCCUGCAAUCCAACCCACACACUGCUAAGAAGUUUACACAUAUCUAGAGUUCUAGAAGGCCAAAUGACGUGAAAUUUAUUGGGUAGAAGGAAAAGACAAUUUCCAACAACUUUCAUGAGAAACACUUUGCCAAAUUCUGAUUGCAUCAAUGUCAUUUCAUCCAGCUAAAAUGCUUGAGUGCUACUGUCCACCAAGUCCACUAAAUCAAUAGUUGGCCACUGCAUCAAUAAUCAAUUACCAAAUGAAUAGUUCCAAAUUUUAGCCUAUAAAAGGAGGCAUUUGCCAUUUAUUUAGGCAUCUUGGUUUUUAGAUCAAGAUCAUGUUCUUGCUCUCUCUCUUUAUAUUUUUGUAAUGCUUAAGUUUUGCUUUCAUUAAUCUCUUGUUCAUGCUUUUCAUUUCCUUUACUAUACUUAGUUAACUUAUAUCAUGUUUAUGUUCUUAUAUUGUUUAUUUAAGUUUUUCUUCUUCAUAAUGUCUAGGUAAGUUAAUUAUGUCAAGGUAAAAAGGUUUCAUUUAUGGUGCUAGGAUAAGUAUAAUAUGAACUCAAUAUGGACUUUAAUACUUAUAUCCUAAACAACUUGCUAUUAACAUGUCUUAUCAUUUUUAUCUUAUUAAUUCUUAAUACCCUGCUUGUUAAAUGGUUAAUCUAGACUUAUGCUGUAUAACACUUGGUAGAUUAAAUACUUGAUCCUUCAUAGUCUUCGACCGACAUCAUUGUUAUGAGAGGAAGUUGAUUUGUUGUCAACAUAAGUUAGCAUCAUGAAUACCUGAUAAAAUUUAUAAGUAUGGUGUUACGUAAAUAAGAUGAUUAAUAUGAUCAUGUUGAUAAUUUAUAAAGAGUUUAUACGUUACUUAUCUGAUAUGGGCUGAUACGGUUCAGCCCUGUGAUACGACCCAAGUAAGGUCAGAUUCGGAUUUUGGGGUAAAAAGCGCAACAGUCCAGGUUUACGACAACAGUCAUAAUUCUCAAUCCGACCGUUGGAUCGGGCUAAUAUUUUAUGUGGACUCUCCAGACAUAUCUUACUACCUUGGGUUAAAUUUACAGGUCAAUCGGAAUUCGGGAAGGCACCCCAAUACUGGUCAACAGAGGCUGUACGGAUUUUGUUAUUUACUUCCAUUUGACUUGUGGACUUCCUAUUUGAUUAGGAUUCUUUUCCUCCAAGGAUGUGGGAGCUGGUUUUGGGAAUUUCCUAGUUCCACAAGGAUCUUUAAUGAGUUGCAAUAUAAUCUCCUAGUGUGGCAAGGAUUCAUUAAUGUUUCAGAAUCCUUUUCUUAUAAGGAUUCCUUAUUCAUCCUAGCUACACAAGGAAAGAAGGGCUGGUGGUAUUUAAUGACAAGUUACUUAUUUUUAUUAUUUUCUUUCAUGUUUGGAAAGAAGAACAUGGAUUUAAUAUCAGGGGCUUUAUUUUAUUUUGUUAGCUACAGCCCAAGGCUUGUUUGGGCUUAAUUCAAACUUUGUUUUGAGCUAGGGUCCAAGGCUUGUUUGGAUCUGGUUAUGGGCUUUUCAUUUUAGGGUUUUGGGCCAGUUUUGAGUGGACCUCAUAUAAGUCCACAUAAAGGUCCAUUAGGGUUAACUUUUCAAGAACUAUUUAAACUCAUGUAGGCCAAAAUUUCGGCAGCUUUGAUGAUAAUUACUUCUGAAUUUUUCAGUUUUAACGUGUGAGAGUGAUUCUUGCAUUCUUCAGUUCUUGAACGAACUGAAUCUGACUUAUCGAAGAUUAACUGGCUUCGUGGCGUCAUUCUACUCAUUCCAAUAGUGUAGGUGCCUUGGGGCAGGUUUCCAUUGUGUCGCACUCCUAUCAGACCUAUUUCGGCUUUCCGGGAUCAGAUCUCAAUCUUGAUUGUGGUUGCGUGCGUGAUCACGAGGUUCGCAUCAGUUGGUAUCAGAGCUAGGCUCCGAAACAAGGUCAUAUCAUUCUGUUAUUUUCGUUUUUUUUUAGUGUCCCUCAAGUUUUGCAGUGUUUGCGUCCAUCUUCUUGUUCUUCGUGUCUGUGUCAUCUAAGCAAAAAAAAAACAAAAAGUUUAUAUUUCAUCUUGUUACAGUCUCUAAUCAUAUCAGUUUGUUAAAAAGAAAAAAAAUAUCAGAAAGAAACAGAGAAAAGAGUGAUUAGUUGAAAUUUGAAGGAUCAUUCAAUUUUGCCGCAGAAACACAAAUCUUGGUGAACCAUAAGCAAACCACCUCGGAAUCAAUUUAAACUUCAUAUUCAGUCUAUUGGGGGUGGGAUCGCAUGAUAUAUCAAAGUUGGGCUUAUUCUGAUAUUAUUUGCUUGAGGUUUUAAUUCGAGUUUCAAUUCUGCCGCAAAACACUACUCUUAGUGAACCCUAGGUAAAACACCUUGGAAUCUAUUGAAACUUCAUAUUCUGAGUAUUGGGGAUGAGAUCGCACCAUGUAUUAAAUUUGGGCAUAUUUUGAUUCCGGCUUCUGGAGGUUUUAAUUGGAGGAUCAAUUCUGCCGCAAACUGAUCAUACAAGGAGUUGGGGUACCUAGAAAUAAGAGAACGACCUAUAAAUUGAUUUUUGGUGAUUUCAUAGUAUUUUAAUAAUACAAAUUAAAUUCGAGGUCAUUUGGAUAUCGGUUUCUUUAGGUUUCCCGAAUUAGGUCUUGUUUUGUCGUAACGGGUCUGUUUGGUGUUAUCUUUCAAAACUUGUUUUGUUUCUGUUGAUUUCGUUCCUGCCAUUAUACUAUCAUCAUAUUUUGAUAUUUGGCUGUUGUUUGAGUCAUUUUCAUCACCCUCGCAUUAGUUUGUUUUUUCGAUAAGUUCUGGUCCAAACAAAAGUCAGAUUUGUAUUAUCGAGUCUAAAUCAAUGUUCUUCCUGCUAUAAACUCUAUCCUUGUCGUCGUCUUCUUUUUUUUUCCCUAUAUGUGUCAUGUAUUCACUAAGGGAGAGGGAACAGAGGAGGAUCAACGAUGCGAAAUACUAAGCCAUGGUUUGGGGGUUCUAGAACGAGAAGUUGAUAAGUGUAGAAGAUUAUUCUAUGAUCUUGAAGCUUCAUGGGAAAAAGAGAUACAACGCCAAAAGGAUGAAAGACGAAGGAGAGUCGCUGUGGUUAUCAUUCAAAAGUAUGUACGCAAGUGGUUAGUACGGCGUGCUUAUUUGAAAUUCUUGUCAGUCACUACUUCUAUACAGUGUUGUUGGAGAAAGGUGUUAGCAAUAAGGGGAUUCCGAAGGCUUAAACAAGAGGCUACUGAAGUCACCAUUAAUGCUAUUCAAGAUUCGAGGACGAAUCUUCUUGAAGAGGGAGGGAAUGAUACGGUUCAGCCCUGUGAUACGACCCAAGUAAGGUCAGAUUCGGAUUUUGGGGUAAAAAGCGCAACAGUCCAGGUUUACGGCAACAGUCAUAAUUCUCAAUCCGACCGUUGGAUCGGGCUAAUAUUUUAUGUGGACUCUCCAGACAUAUCUUACUACCUUGGGUUAAAAUUGCAGGUCAAUCGGAGUUCGGGAAGGCACCCCAAUACUGGUCAACAGAGGCUGUACGGAUUUUGUUAUUUACUUCCAUUUGACUUGUGGUCUUCCUAUUUGAUUAGGAUUCUUUUCCUCCAAGGAUGUGGGAGCUGGUUUUGGGAAUUUCCUAGUUCCAUAAGGAUCUUUAAUGAGUUGCAAUAUAAUCUCCUAGUGUGGCAAGGAUUCAUUAAUGUUUCAGAAUCCUUUUCUUAUAAGGAUUCCUUAUUCAUCCUAGCUACACAAGGAAAGAAGGAGUGGUGGUAUUUAAUGACAAGUUAAUUAUUUUUAUUAUUUUCUUUCAUGUUUGGAAAGAAGAACAUGGAUUUAAUAUCAGGGGCUUUAUUUUAUUUUGUUAGCUACAGCCCAAGGCUUGUUCGGGCUUAAUUCAAACUUUGUUUUGAGCUAGGGUCCAAGGCUUGUUUGGAUCUGGUUAUGGGCUUUUCAUUUUAGGGUUUUGGGCCAGUUUUGAGUGGACCUCAUAUAAGUCCACAUAAAGGGUCCAUUAGGGUUAACUUUUCAAGAACUAUUUAAACUCAUGUAGGCCAAAAUUUCGGCAGCUUUGAUGAUUAUUAUUCUGAAUUUUUCAGUUUUAACGUGUGAGAGUGAUUCUUGCAUUCUUCAGUUCUUGAACGAACUGGAUCUGACUUAUCGAAGAUUAACUGGCUUCGUGGCGUCAUUCUACUCAUUCCAAUAGUGUAGGUGCCUUGGGGCAGGUUUCCAUUGUGUCGCACUCAUAUCAGACCUAUUUCGGCUUUCCGGGAUCAGAUCUCAAUCUUGAUUGUGGGUUGCGUGACCACGUGAUCACGUGAUCACGAGGUUCGCAUCAUUAUCUCUAAUACUAUUAGUGGAUCCUCUAACCUUGACAUUUUUUUUUUAUCAUUAUUUAAUCUUCACAUUUAUCUUACAUCUCAAAGUCCUCUUUAACUCAUCCUCACCACCACCACCACCACCACCACCAUCAUUGUUGUUGUUGUUGUUGUUGUUGUUAUUAUUAUUAUUAUUAUUAUUAUUUAUAAUUUAUGGGCCUUUUAGUUUAGGGUUUUUGGGUUAGUUUUUAUAGGGGUCAGUUCGGCCCAUAAAGGUAGAUCCAUUAGGGUUACUUUUAAGAACUAUUUAAACAUAUGUAACCUAAAUUUCAGCAGCUUUGAUGAUUAUUACUUCUGGAUUUUUAGUUUUAACGUGUGAGAGUGAUUUGUGUAUUCUUCAGUUCUUGAACGAACUGAAUUUGACAUAUUGAAGAUUAACUAGCUUCGUGGCUUCAUUCUACUCAUUCCAAUAGUGUUGGUGACUUGGGGUAGGUUUCCAUUAUGUCACACUCAUAUCUGACCUAUUUCGGCUUUCCUGGAUCAAAUCUCAAUUUUGAUUGUGGGUUGCGUGACCACGUGAUCACGAGGCUCACGUUAGUCUGUCUUCAUGGCAUCAUCCUUAUACUUCUCAUUCGCGAAUCAAUAUUUAUUGAGUGGGGGUCUCCAUUUCCAAUAGUGUUGGUGCCUAGGUACAAGUUAUCUUUGUGUCACACUCUUAUCAAACCUGAUUUACUUGGCUUUCCGGGAAUUGGUGUCUUUGCGUGUGGGUUGCGUGACCAUGUGAUCACGAGCUUUACAUCAAACAAGUGUAAUAGAUUUUGUUGUGAUUCAAGACAACUUCUGCAGCUUUUCAACGUAGGGAGAAAUUCUCAGUGUAGUGAGGUGGGGAUGAUGUGUGAGAUUUUAAAGACUAGGAUAUGAGGGAGGCAUGGGCUUGAGAGUGUAUAUUUAUGUUCCAAGUUUCAUGUUUGGUAAAAGAACUAUCUAGAAAAGUAAAUCACACUCUAACCAUUAAUGAAAAUUUCACGGGAAAUAUUCUUUUUUUUGUUGACCCUAGUCAACCUAUUCGACUCGUGACCUGAUCAUUGUACGAAGUCGACCACCGGGUCGGGUUUUAAAACUAUGCAUAAAAUAAAACAAAAAUAGCAAUCAAGCAUUUUAUCAAAUAACAAAGGUGCAAUAUAAUAUGAAGACAAACUAGUAGGGAAACUAUAAAGUGCAUUUGGGUUUGUAAUUUGACUAAAAAAAUAAUAAUUCAAUCUGGAUUCUUGAAAUUUUUAUUUGUUUUCUUAUGGUAUCUUAGUUACCAAAUAGAAAAAAUUAGAAUUGCAAAAUGUAUUAUCACAUUAUCAAAUCAAACUUCAAAAGAUACUUCAAAGGCAUUUCUUGCCAAGAGCAUUAGUCAUACAAGCAAGAAACAAAAUAAAUGUGUUGGUUCUCCAGCCUUGUAUAUUUUUGAUUUGAUAUUUAUUUAUACAUUUUGAUUAAAAAAACAAAAUAAAUGAUAAUUAAUUAAGUAUAUGAAGUUUGAAGGAGAGAAUCUAAGGGGAAAAUGUUGAGAGAAUUGAGAGGCAGCUAUGAGUGUGAAGAUGAGAAAGAAAAAAAAUAAAGAGAGAGAAGAAAAUAUUAUUUAUAACAAGGACUAAGUUGUUUAUAUUGGGUUAUACAGGUUUAGUCGGGUUUAAAAAAUCUCAACCCGCACCCGAUCACUGAUAUCCAUUUAUUAGGUGUUUUGACCAACUAUCAUCUGUAAUAUCUACAUUAUCUGAUUUUUUCAGGAUGGGUCGGGUCCCAUAAUGCAAAUAUUAUAGAUGAGCUAUUUUUUUAACACCUAUAGUUCUUUAUAAAAAAUAAUUCUAUGUUAAUGUAUAAGGAUCUUGUAGUGUCGGGGAAAAUAUUUCCUCACUCGGUUAAUGCUCAUUUUGAAAAAUUAAAAUUUAAUUUCAUUAAUUUUUAAAUAUUGACACCUUCAGGAACCACAUUUAAAGCUUAAACAAUUUUUUAGUCCCUUUUUUUUUUUGCUAACAUCAGGGACUUAUUUUUCACACGCAGACAAAGAGUUCAUGUUCUUAUUUUUUUUUCGAUCACUCAACUUUUUUUUUUUAAUUUGAUCCAUUCACAUUACCUUUUAUUUGGUAUUUGACUUAGUAUUUUUGUUCAAGUUGCUUAUAUAUUGGGAUCUCACAAUAUCAAUGAAAAAUCCUAGGGCUAGAUUAAUGCUCGAUUUAGCAAAAUGAAAUAAAAAUCUAUUGAUGUAAAACAAUUAAGCAUUAUAUAUUGUUUUUUUUCUUCCUAUGAAUAGGCAAGGCAACUUUGUUGGCACGUGUAUCACACGUGCCAACACGUUGAGGAAACCAUCACAUUCUAACUGCGCGUGUGAUGUUCUCUAGCAGCUAAAUGCUUGCUUUCUUAAUGGUGUUGCGAGUGAUGCAAUAAGGGCUUUCAAGUAAGGUGACAACAUUUGUUGGUAGUGGACUGAUGGUGAGGCUUUGAUGGCAUUUGUUCUCCCUCCUCCCUUUUUAGUCUCUCAUUUUCUCAAGAUUUGUAAAGGUCAAGCCAAGAUUGAAAGGUAUCCUCUCGUUUUAUAUGUCAAAUUUGGUUAUCAUUCUUUUGAUUCCUAUUUUUUUUCUUUGGAUUCAUUUUUAAAAUUGAUUUUUUUUAAUUUCAUCAUUUGACAUUGGGUUGGAUAAGAAUAAGACUUGGUGAUUUUUUUUAUGGGUUGAUCAUGGGUCACAGGUUUGAAAGGUUAACCUAUAUGACAUCAGGUUUUUUAGGUAUUUUUUUACACUGAUUUUUUCUUUCAAACUCAUCUUUCAACAUUGUGUUUAUUGAAAAUUAGAUUUCAUGAUUUUCUUCGUUUUCUUUUCUAUUGGGUUAUCUCGGUCUCAUGACUUAGUCGUUGAUUUGGCUAGUUAGCCCAGGUUCACUUGGGUAUUGUUUUUGGUCAUUUAUUUAAGAUUGAAUAUUUUUUCAAUUCUGUCCUUCAAUAUUAAGUUGGUUUGAGAAUGAAACUUCAUAAUUUCUUUGCCUUCUAUUAGGUUAUCUCGUUUGUGUGAUGAAAACCUGUAGGUUUGGUGAUAUUACCUGGCUUUGCUAGUGUUUUAUUAUUUUAAGAUCAUUUUUGUUAAAUAGUUUUUUUUUAUUUCAUCCUUCUACAUUUUGAUAGUUAGGAAUUUGGCAUCAUAAUUUUUUUCAAUUUGCUUUCUAUGAGAUUAACCUAAUCUCACGACCUUUGUCGCGGAUUUGGCAUGCUAACUCAGGUUGACUCGAAUUAUUUUUUGUUAUUGUUUUAACUUCACCCUUCAAUGUUGGGUUGUUUAGGAAUUGAGCUUCAUAAUAUUUUUUUUUUCCCUUUAAGCAGACAUUCUUUUUGUGCAUGUGAUUAUGAUAACUUUUUCUUUUUUAUUCGAUUCAUUAUUAUUGUCUCUUUUUUUAUCAUAAAAUUAAAUGAAAUCAACUUAUUGAACCCAAUCAAAGUUAUGACCCGAGUCACGAAAUUUCUUUAUUUUUUUUAAAACAUGUUAGGAGCACUUAAACAUCAUUUUUUACAUUAAUUUUUUUUUUGGUAUGACACACAACAUAACACAUAUUGUGAUGCGAACCCUAGUGGAAUUUAAUGGAAUUCAUGACCCCAAGAUCAAUCUAAUCCAAGUUUGUUGAGAUUUGAAUGAGCUUAUCACAAUUGAAGAUCCAAGGCAACAAGCUAUAAACCAACUCGAUCAGAACGCCUACACUUGAAGACGAGCAAAAGGAGUAUAAAUUCACAACAAAGAAUGGUAAAUUCUUUGAAGAGUUGAAAGUUUAAUCAAGAACCAAGAUUGAGCAACCAAAAGUCAGCUACAAUGCCAAAAAAAUCAUCAAAAGUCCUCUCUAAAAUUAUUUCUAAAGAGUAUUUAAACUCCAAGCCAAAACCCUAGUAUCCCUAAUAGGUCUCACAUAAGCCCAAUUUAAAUAAUAAUCAACCCAAGCUAAAACUAGUCCAAACUAAUUAAAAUAAACAAAAUAAACAAGUCUAGGACCCAAAUAAAAUGUCUCCUUUCAGAAUCAAUAAAGUUUGAUAGCCUAACUAAUUAAAUAAGACAAGUUCGUUGUUUCCGCAUUCUGUUUGGCAGCAACAAAAGCCAAACUUAAAAUUGAUGGUUCUCUCUCAUCUUAAUGAAUUAGAAUGUAUGCCAUAUAUUUAUGGAAAGGUAUGAAAGUCUAGUUUCCAGCCCAACUAGAAUCACACAAAAUUAUAUCUAUAGCUUUAAUUAUUACCCAAAGAGUAAUGAAAGGUCAAACUAUCCGAAACUAGUCUCUUCUCCCAAUCCUUGUGUAAUGGUCUUGGUUCCACCAACAAGCCCUCUUGAACAUAAAUCAGGUUAAUCAAGGCUUGCUCUUUAUUAUUACAAGUCCUUUUGAAGUCCACCUUAGCCGGUGUAUCUUGAAGAAGUUCAUUGAAAGCUUCUUUGAACUUCUUAGCCAUAAGCCUAGUAACUAGACCAACUGGAACCUCCAAAGGAUCCUUUGAUGGUUGGAUCACAUCAUCCCCUCUUUUCUCAAAAUAAUUCGACCUUGAAUCAUCACCUACAUCAAACAAAGAAAGAUUAGAAAUAUUGAAUGUAGCACUAACACUAUAAUCACCUAGUAGAUCCACUUUGUAGGUAUUAUCAUUAAUUAUUUCUAUGAUCUGAUAAGGACCAUCUCUUCGAGGCAUCAAUUUGAUAUUUUUUUGUUCAGGAAACCUUUUCUUCCUCAUAUGCACCUAAAACCAAUCACCUGGUUCAAAUCUCACCAAUUUUCAUCCCCUAUUGGCUUUGUUUGCAUAUUAUUCAUUCUUCUUUUUGAUUUGUUGUCGAAUCUUUACAUGGAGAUCUUUCACCACCUGUGCUUUUUUAUUACCAUCAAGACUAACCCUUUGAUCAACAGGUAAAGGAAUAAAAUGUAAUGGUGUCAAAGGGUUAAAACCAUACACAAUCUCAAAUGGUGAAUAAUCAGUAGUAGAAUGCACACUACGAUUAUAUGCAAAUUCAAUGAAUGGCAAACAAUCCUAAUUUUUAAGAUUCUUUUGAAUGAUAACCCUUAACAAUUGAAUCAAGUCUGAUUAACAACUUUAGUUUGGCCAUCUGUUUAUGGAUAACAAGUAGUAGAAUAUAAAAGUUUAGUUCCUAACUUACCCCACAAAACCUUCCAAAAGUAACUCAAAAACUUAAUGUCUUGAUUGGAUACAAUGCUUCUCAGAAGACCAUGUAGCCGAAUGGCCUCUCUAAAGAAUAGGUCAGCUAUAUUUGUUGCAUCAUCAGAUUUAUGGAAAGCAAUGAAAUGUGUCAUCUUAGAAAAUCUAUCAACAACAACAAAUAUAGAAUAUCUCCCUUUCCUAGACCUAGGUAGACCCAAAAUGAAAUACAUAGAAAUAUGAACCUAAGGUUCCUUAGGAACAGGAAAAGGUGUGUAUAGUCCAUAAGGCAUUGCCCUAGACUUAGCUUGUCUACAUGUUAUGCACCUAUAAGACAUUCUUUGCACAUCUCUUUUCAUAUUAGGCCAAUAAAAGUGCUCAUGCAGAACCUCUAAAGUUUUAGUAAUUCCAAAAUGCCCCAUUAAACCUCCCCCAUGUGCUUCCCUUACAAGCAAUUCACGUAAAAAACAAUUAGGCACACAUAAUUCUGCACCUGUUUUUGCUUUACCUGACUUUAUGAAAGCAUUUGAAAUAGAAUGUUAUGCGUCUGGAAUGGGAAUAGGUGUUGUUUUUCUUCAGGAUCGGAGACCUAUUGCGUAUUUCAGUGAGAAGUUAAGUGGAACGACCUUGGACUAUCUUACUUAUAACAAAGAACUCUACGCAUUGGUAAGAGCACUUGAGACAUGAUAGCAUUAUUUAUAGUAAAAAAAUUUUGUAAUCCAUUCGGAUCACGAGUCCUUGAAACAUCUGAAAGGACAACAUAAGUUGAAUAGGAAACAUGCAAAAUGUGUUGAAUUCAUUGAAACUUUCCCAUACGUAAUCAAGUAUAAGCAAGGCAAAAAAAAAAAAAAACAUAGUAGCUAAUGCACUUUCACAUAGGUAUGAUCUUUUACACACCAUGAAUACCAAGAUUGCUAGGCUUUAAAUAUGUGUAGGAAUUGUAUGAUAAUGAUUCUGACUUAAUGCAUGUGGACAUUCAGCUUUUGGUAUGUUUUAUUUGAUGGAUGGUUAUUUAUUUGUUCAAAGAGAAUAGAUUGUGUGUUCCUGCUAGUUCUUUGUGUGAAUUACUUGUUUGUGAAGCACACAGAGGUAGUUUAAUGGGUCACUUUUGGGUUGCAAAAACCUUGGAUGUAUUGCAUGAGCAUUUCUAUUGGACAAAGAUGUAAAGGGUUGUGCAACAAAUUUGUGAAUUUGUAAAUAAUAGAUUGCUUGUAGAAAGGAAAAUUCUCAAGUACAACCACAUGGACUCUAUACACCAUUACCUGUGCCUACUGAACCUUGAUUAGAGAUCUCUAUGGACUUUGUUUUAGGUUUACCUAGGUCAAAGAAAGGUAGAGAACCUAUUUUUGUUAUGGUUGAUAGUUUUUCUAAAAUGGCGCAUUUCAUUGCAUGCCAUAAAACAGAUGAUGCGUCUUAUAUCGCAGACUUGUUCUUUAGGGAGAUUGUAUGUUUGCAUGGCAUUCCUAGGAGUAUAGUGUCAGAUCGUGAUGUUAAGUUCCUUAGCUACUUUUGGAAGACUUUAUGAGAAAAGUUGGGAACUAAACUCUUACUUUCGAGAGCAUGCCAUCCUUAAACAGAUGGAUAAAUUGAGGUAGGGAAUAAAACAUUAUCCCAACUUUUACGUGUUGAAAUUCAAAAGAAUUUGAAAAGUUGGGAAGAAAAUGCCUUUUGUUGAGUUUGCUUAUAAUAUAGAAGGCGUUCGACUACUGACUUUUCUCCUUUUAAAAUUAUUUAUGGUUUUAAUCCACUAACUCUUAUGGACUUAAUUCCUUUACCUUUUGAAGAAAGGGUACAUUUAGAUGGUGAAAAGAAGGCAAAGAUGGUGAGACAACUCCAUGAGGGAGUUUGACUGCAAAUAGAGAAAAAGAACAUAUUUUACACUUCUAAAGCAAAUAAAGGACGUAAACAGGUUGUUUUCCAACCCGGUGAUUGGGUUUGGGUGCACAUGCAUAAGGAAUGAUUUCCUAACCAAAGGAAAUCAAAAUUACAGCCUCGUGGUGACGGUCCAUUUUGGGUUUUAGAGAGAAUCAAUAACAACGCAUAUGAAAUUGAUCUUUCAAGUGAGUAUUGUGUUAGUGAUACCUUUAAUGUUGUUGUUCUUACAUUGUUUGACACAAGUUUUGAUUCAAGGGUGUCCUUUCGAGGAGUGAGGGGAUGAUGUGAACCGGGCUAGAAACACCAGCAGGGACCCAUUACAUGUUCUACAUGGGCCAUUGACUUGGUCCAAAACAAAGGCAUUGAAAGAGGGAUUGAAUGCAUUGAUUUUGAAGGUUUCGACCAAGUCAAAUUUAAAAGAUCUAUUGAAGUAUAAAGAGGAGGCCUAAGUACAUCUUUUCCAUUUAUAAGAGGGGCCCAAUCCAACCUUGUUUGGGCCGAGGUUUUGAUGCGAAUCAGCCCAACACCAAGUGUACUCAUGCCAACGACCCAUUGGAUGUGCUAAUUGGGCCAAUCACCAAGCUAGGGCUUGUUGAGAACAUAUGGAGCAAAAUGGACCUAGAGGGGCUUGGGACAUUUAAGGAGCAUGAAGGACAACCUUUAAUUCAUCUAGUUCAGGUCCAAGAAGAGCCUAAUUAGUAUGGAACAAGGGGUUGACAUGUCCGGCCCAAUACCAGUCUUGUUAGGCUUGUUUUUUUCCUAAUGCUACAAGGAUAAAAAGUCAACAAUUUAUUCUCCUAAUUAAGUAAGGAAAUUGGCCAUAUCUUAUUCCUAAAGAGGGGAGGACUAUUUAUUACUUUCUAGGAAUUGAUGUCUUUGCGUUUAGGUUACGUGACCAUAUGAUCAUGAGGUUCGCAUCAUUUGGUAUCAGAGUUUGGCUCCUUUAAUCAGGUUAUAUCCUUCUAAAAUUUUCGUUUCUUGUUGUUUUCGCAAACAUUCCUUAGUGUCCAAUUUCUUCUUCUCCUUGAUUUUGCAGCAUAUCAAAUUUUUUUUUCCCAAAAGUCCAAAAUAUAUCAGUAGCAUAAAAAAAAGAAAAAAAAUCGUUCAAAGAGACGUCUAUUGGUUUCUGCCAUAUAAAACUACACAAGGGACAAUUAGACUAAAUCAACUCGAAAUUAGCUAACAUUUGAUACUCUUAUUACUGGGGCCCUAAUUGCAUUACAUAUUAAGUUUAGGUUCAAUUGGAUAUCGUUUUCUUUGGUUUUCAAUUUCGAGUCUAAUAAGGUCUGAUUCAUAACGUUUUUGCGUCAUUAUAUCAAACCUUAUCCCAAAUUACUCAAAAAUUAAAUUCUUUCUAUUUGGGUUGAUAUGGCACUAUAUCUUAGAUUGUAGCUCAAUUGGAUAUCAUUCGCUUUAGGUUCCAGAUUCAAACUUAACUCGUCAUAAAAAAGUCUAUUUUGCGUCAACUUUUGAAAUUCACUUUUUUUUUUUGUUUCUUGCAGUAUAUUUUCAACAUAUCCAACAUGUUUUUCAUCAUUUUUUGCAUAUUUCAUUUUUGUUUUUAUUCGAGUCUUUAGUUCGUUCGUAUUUCGGAUAUAUUCGCUUGCUAUUCACAAGACUAUCAUCGCAGUUUUAUUUUUGCUUGUUUUCUAGUUUUUAUUGCUUCUUGAGUCAUAUAUACAUAUUUGGAUUGCGCUGCUAAGAUUGGUUCUAUUUGGUGUUGGUUUUAAUUCUGCAAGAACCACAAGAAGGUGAGACAAGAGGAGUGAGUGUGUGAGGAUAUUAAGAGUGUUUAAGUGAAACAUGAGCGACGUGAGAAUAUUUGUUUUACCACUAACCAAUUUGUAUAGGUACUAUCACGUCAAAUCAAAAAAACAACACACCACCCCAUCCCGAGAGAGAGCUUAAGUUCCAAAUGUAAGCCAUGACGUAGAUGAUGGAGAGGAUGAAUUUUGUGAUGGGGAACAUGUGUGACAGACCUGAUAGAGUGGAGAAACAUGGUAACAGGGCUGGAACAUGUACCCAAGAUAUAAGAAAGGUUGGGCCUGAACCGAAAUCAAACAAUGGCAAUAAGGCCGAAAGGCCAAGGUGGGCUGAUUAUGAGGAUUUUUUAGGAGGCCGUUGAUGAUAUUGGUGAUGGUGGUUUUGAAGAUGAGGCCAUAGGCCAUCGAGAAGGUUUUCGGCUGCCUAGAAACUGACAGGAUUUUAGGAAUAGAAUUAGGGGCCAUUUCGGCCGAAGGGAAAAUUUCCGUAGUGUUGGGGGACAUGCUGAUUUAGAUGGUGAUUUGGAUGCUAUCAAACUGAAAAUACCUUCUUUUCAAGGUAAAAAUGAUCCUGAGGCAUAUUUGGAGUGGGAGAAAAAGGUGGAUUGGAUUUUUGAUUGCCAUAACCAUGCAGAGGCGAAGAAAGUGAAAUUGGUAGUCAUCAAAUUCACGGAUUAUGCACUGAUUUGGUGGGAUCAGUAUAUGAUUAGUAGAAGGAGUGGAGAGAGGCUAGUAGCAUCUUGGGAGGAGAUGAAAGUGUUGAUGAGAAGACGAUUUGUGCCUUACCACUAUUAUAGAGAUUUGUAUAUGAAAUUACAAAAUCAAGGUUCUAGGUUUGUGGAUGAGUAUUUCAAGGAGAUGGAGAUCGCCAUGAUUCGGGCCAAUGUGAUUGAGGAUCGGGAAGCUACUAUGGCUAGAUUUCUAAAUGGGUUGAAUAGGGACAAUGCGAAUGUUGUAGAAUUACAACAUUGUAUGGAAUUGGAGGACAUGAUCCAUAUGGCAACGAAGGUGGAGAGGCAAAUAAAGAGAAGGGGCAGUACAUGUUUUCAUACCAAUUCGACUUUAUCUUCCUCAACAAGGAGGCCGAAUUUGAAGAGAGAGGGGGUUGUCCAACCAAAGCCUUAUACAAAGGCCGAACCACCUAAGGCCAAAAAGGAUACUCAUAUAGAUGGGAAAGGUAAAUCUGAAUCUCAACAUACUCGUGAUAGAGUUAUUAAAUGCUUUAAGUGUUUAGUGAAGGGGCACAUUGCAUCUGAGUGUCCAAACCGAAGAGUUAUGCUUACAAGAGACAAUGGGGAGGUUGAAUCUAAAAGUGACAAAUCUGAAAGUGAAGAGAUGCCCCCUUUGGUGGAUUGUAGUGAUGAGGAGAUUGCAUAUCAUGUUGAGGGGGAGGCCUUAGUUAUAAGGCGUGCGUUAAAUAUGCAAAUCAAAGAAAAUGAUGUAGAUCAGCAACGGAAAAUAUAUUUCACACUCGAUGUCACAUUCAAAACAAGAUAUGUAGCAUGAUAAUUGAUGGAGGUAGUUAUGCUAAUGUAGCCAAUGAUACUCUUAUGAAGAAAUUGAAUCUGAGUUGUAUUAAGCAUCCUAGGCCUUAUAGAUUGCAAUGGUUGAAUGAAUGUGGUGAAGUGAGGGUUACUAAGUAGGUAUUGAUUGCAUUUGCUAUCGGGAAGUAUUCUGAUUAGAUUUUGUGUGAUGUAGUCCCAAUGCAUGCUAGUCAUUUACUUUUAGGGCGUCCAUGACAGUUUGAUCGGAAAGCAAUUCAUGAUGAGUUUAGAAAUAGGUUCACUGUUGUAAAGGAUGGUAAAACCAUCACUCUUGUACCUCUUUCUCCAAAAUAAUUGUAUGAUGAUUGAAAUUAAAAAAGAAAUGUGAGGAUGGGAAUAAUGAAAAUUCACUUGAGGACAAUGGUGAGAGAAAACCAUUAGAUUCGGCUAAACCUAAAUCAUUAAUUAAACUAGUUAAUAGUGGAGGUAAAACUUGAGGAGUGAAGAAAGUAAGCUUGUGUGAUGAUAAUAGUGUGAAAAUUUUUUAAAGAAACAACCUAAUUUUGAUGCAAAAGGAUCUCAAAUCAGAUCUGCGCUUUUCACUAAAAAACCGAUGAUCUUACUUGUGUAUAAGGAGGCUUAUUUUAAUACUAACAAUCUUGAUUAUGCUAUUUAUAGUGUGGUUGUUUCUUUGAUGUAGGAGUUUGAUGAUGUAUUCCCUGAAGACAUCCCUAAUGGAUUACCACCAUUUAGGAGGAUUGAACAUCAAAUCGACCUUGUGCUCGGAGCUUCGAUUCCUAACCGUCUAGCCUAUAGAAGCAACCCCGAGAAGAUGAAUGAGCUUCAAAGGCAAGUAGAUGAGUUGACAAUGAAGGGGUACAUUCAUGAGAGUAUGAGUCCUUGUGCUGCACCAGUACUACUUGUGCCUAAAAAGGAUGGAACAUGGAGGAUGUGUGUUGAUUGUUGUGUCGUCAAUAACAUAACGGUAAAGUAUCGACAUCCUAUUCCUAGGCUUGAUGACAUGCUAGAAGAGUUUUGGAUGUGACAUCGAGUGUGAAAUAUGUUUUCCUGUUGCUGAUCUACACCAUCUUCUUUGAUUUUCAUGUUCAGCGUAUGCCUUAUAACCAAGGUCUCCCCUUAAUAGGAUAUGCAAUCUCCUCAUCACUACAAUCCACCAAAGGUGGUAUCUCUUCACUUUCAGAUUUGUUACUUUCAGAUUCAACCUCUCCAUUGUCUCUUGUAAGCAUAACUCUUCGGUUUGGACAUUGAGAUGCAAUGUGCCCCUUCCUUAUAACACUUAAGACAUUUAAUAUCUCUAGCACGAGUAGGUUGAGAUUCAGAUUUACCUUUCCUAUCUAUAUAAGCAUCCUUUUUUGCCUUAGGAGGUUCCGCUUAUGCAUAAGGCUUUGGUUGGACAACCCCCUCUCCCUUCAAAUUUGGCCUCCAUAUUGAGGAAGAGAUGAAGCCGAAUGGGUCUAAAAAUAUAUACUGCCCCUUCUAUUUAUUUGCCUCUCCACCUUUCAUGUCAUAUGGACGGACCACAUCCUCCAAUUCCAUAAAAUGUUAUAAUUCAACAACAUUCGUAAUGUCCCUAUUGAACCCAUUUAGAAUUCUAGUCAUAGUAGCUUUCCUAUCCUCAAUCACGUUGGCCUAAAUCAUUGUGAUCUCCAUCUAUUUGAAAUACUCAUCCACGGACCUCGAACCCUGAUUCAAACCCUAUAAUUUCAUAUACAGAUCUCUAUAAUAGUGGUUAGGCACAAAUCGCCUUCUCAUCAACAUUUUCAUCUCCUCCCAUGACGCUACCGACCUCAUUGCACACCUUCUUUUACUAAUUUGAUACGAUCCAGGCAAGUUCAAAUUCGGAUUUUGACAUAAAAUGUGCAACUUUCUAGUUUUAUGGCAACAAUCAUAAUUCUCAAUACGAUCAUUAGAUGGGGCUGACAUUUUACGCGGAGUCUUCAGACAUGUUGUCCUACCUUGGGUUAUAAUUUCAGGUCAAUCGGAGUUCAGGAAGGCAUCAAAACACGUGUCAAUAGAGGAUGUACGACUUUUGUUAUUUACUUCCUUUUGACUUAUGGACUUCGUGUUUGGCUAGGAUUCUUUUCCUAAAAGGAUGUGGCAGCUUAUUUUGAGAAUCUCCUAAUUCUACAAAGAUCUUUAAUGGGCUGCAACAUAGUUUCAAAGUGUGGCAAGGAUUCAUAAAUGUUUCAGAAUCUUUUUCUUAUAAGGAUUCCUUAUUCAUCCUAGCUAUAAAAAAAAAUAAAAAUGGAAAGAAGAUUUUAGAAUUAAUUGUACCUUCAGAUUUGAUUCUCCUAGCUUAUAUGAAACUUCUAAAGGGCAACAAAUCUGAUCCUAUUAUAUUUAGGAUAUUAAAUUUGGAUUUGUUUAUUUUAUUAUCAUUUUCUUCUUAGUUUUGGGUUUAUUUAUAUUAUUUGGGUUUAGUUGUAAGUGGGCAUCAUAUAAGUCCACAUAAGGGGUCCAUUAGGGUUUAUUUAGUUUGGAGUCACUAUAAAUACGAAACCAGACAUGUAAGGUUAGAAAAUUCAGAUUAAUAAAACUUCUUGUUUGCUGCACUUUUUGUGUGUGUGUGUGUGUGUUGGUGAGAUAAUCUCCUUUCCAUGGUUCUCUAAAGAAUUGAAAAAUGACUUCUCGAAGAACAACUGCCUUUGUGAUGUCAUCCUUAUACUUCUUGUUCACGAAUCAAUAUUUGUUGGGUAGGGGUUUGUCGUUUCCAAUAAUGUUGGUGCCUAGGUACAAGUUAUCUUUGUGUCACACUUCUAUCAAACGUGAUUUACUUGGCUUUCUGGGAAUUGGUGUCUUUGUAUGUGAGUUGCGUGACCAUGUGAUCACGAGGUUCACAUAAUAAUCAUUGCGUAAUAUGUGAACUCAAUAACUACCAAUUUUACCCUUUUCACCUCCAAAUAGAUAUGGCAAUUAAAAAUCCAAUCCACCUUUUUCUCCCACUUCGAAUAUGCAUCGGGAUCGUUUUUACCUUGAAAGGAAGGUGUUUUGAAUUUGAUAGUAUCUAAAUUACCAGCUAGAUCAUCAUGUCCCCAACACUACGGAAAUUUCCCCUUUGGCCGAAUUGGCCCCUAGUUAAGCCUCUUUGUACACAAAUAAAAUCAUUGGCUUGCUAAUGAAAAAUACAUAUAUGACCUCACCUUCUCUAGUAUAAAAAUUGGGUUGUUUCUUUAGUUUUUCCACACAAUUCUCAUCACUCUUCCUAACUUUUUUCAGUCCUCUUGUCUUGGGUGUUUUUGAGUAAUGGCUGAAUGGUCUGAUUUGUUUGAAGUGUUGACUGAAAAUUUGUUUGUGUUUGGAUGGGUGGGAGAAUGGGUUGUCGUGGUUUUUAAGUUCUGACUGAAUCUGAUGGUCUUCACUUUCCUUGUUCCUCACCUUGAUUUUCUCUCCCCAUAGCUUCAUGCUCAUUUUUUAACUUUAUUUGAUCAUCAUACAUUUGUUUGGGUGUAAGAGAUAUAAGAGCGAUGGUUUUACCAUCUUUUACAAUGGUACACCUAUUUUUAAACUCAUCAUGAAUUGUCUUCCUAUCAUAUUGUCAUGAGACCCUCAACAAGAUGUGACUUGCUUGCAUUGGUAGCACAUUGUACAAAACUUCAUCAACAUACUUCCCAAUCAAAAAUGGAAUCGCAACCUACUUAGUCACUUUUACUUCACCACUAUCAUCAUUCAGCCAUUGAAAUCUAUAUGGUUUAGCAAGCUUAAUAGUACACAAAUUCAAUUUACUAACAAAGGUGGUACUAUAAACAUUAACACAGCUUCCACUAUCUAUAAUUAAGCUACACACCUUGCUUUGUACAUAGCAACGUGUAUGGAAGAUGUUCUCCCUCUAUUGAUUAGUUUCAUUUUACUUGACCUGAACCUGAUGAUACAAUCCAGGCAAGGUCAAAUUCGGAUUUUGAUGUAAUAUGUGCAACUAUGCAGUUUUAUAACAAUAGUCAUAAUUCUCAAUUCGAUAGUUGGAUCGAGCUGCAAUUUUACAUGCAGUCUACUGACAUAUUUUACUACCUUGGGUUAAAAUUUUAGGUCAAUUGGAUUUUAGGAAGGCACUACAAUACUAGUCAACAGAGGCUAUAUGGAUUUUGUUAUUUACUUACUUUUGACUUGUAAACUUUCUAUUUGGCUAGGAUUCUUUUUCUAAAAGGAUGUGGUAACUUUUUUUAUGAAUUUCCUAGUUCUACAAAGAUCUUUAAUUGGAUUGUCAAGUGUGGAAAGGAUUUAUAAAUGUUUCAGAAUCUUUUUAUUACAAGGAUUCCUUAUUCAUCCUAACUAUAACAAGGAAAGAAGACUUCAGAAUUAAUUCUACCUUCAAAUCAAAUUUACUAGUCUAUUUAGGACUUCUUAAUAGUGACGAAUCUGAUUCUAGCAUAUUUAGGAUAGUAAUUUUUGGUUUUUUAUUAUUUUCUUCUUAGUCUUUGGGUUUUAUUACUUAUUUUAGUCAAUUGUAAGUGAGCCUCAUAUAAGUUCAUCUAAGGAGGGUCCAUUGGGGUUUAAGUCUAGAGUUAGUAUAAACAAAGGCAUAACCCGACAUGUAAUUUAGACAAUUCAGAUGAAUAAAACUUCUUAUUUGUCGCAUUUUGUGUGUGUUGGCCCUUCUUAGUUCUCUAAAGAACUGAAAACUACUUAUCGAAGAACAACUAGCUUCGUGGCGUUAUCCUUAUACUUCUCGUUCGCGAAUCAAUAUUAGUUUGGUGGGGGUUUUUUAUUUCCAAUAGUGCUGGUACCUAGGUACAAGUUAUCUUGAGUUACACUUCUAUCAAACCUAAUUUACUUGGCUUUCUGGGAAUUAAUGUCUUUGUGUGUGGGUUGCGUAACCACGUGAUCACGAGGAUUCCUCAACUAGUAAUGCUAACUCAUCCCCAUCACUAUCCUCCAAUGGUGUCAUGCCUUCAUAAUCAGAUCUAUCACUUUCAGAUGCGAUAUCACUAUUAUCUCUAAUCAUCAUAAUUCUCUUGUUUGGACACUCCAAAGCAUAAUGUGCAUUGUCUCUUACACCUGAAACAUUUAACAUCACGAGUACGUUUAAGUUGAGUUUUAGAUUUACCUUUGGUACCUAUAGGGACAUUAAUUUUUAGCCUUUGGUGGUUCGGCUUUGAAAGGAAUAAAGGACCUCGAUUGGACAAUAUCCUCUCUCCUUAGGUUCAUCUUUCAAGAUGAUGAAGAACCUGAAUUAAAUGGUGGCCAAACAUGUCCCUUCCCAAGUUGUCUUUCCACCUUCGUAGCCAAAUGAACCAUGUCCUCUAGCUCAACAUAGUCUUGUAGCUUAACAACACUGGUAAUGUCCCGAUUCAACCCAUUAAAAAAUCUAGUCAUUGUGGCCCGAUCCAUUGUUAUUUUCAUCUCUUUGUGAUAUUCAUCUACUAACUUAUAUAACCUUGAUUUAGACCUUGUAGCUUUAGAUUGUCUUUGUAAUAGUAGUUGGCACAAAUUGUCUCCUCAUUAAGACCUUCAUCUCCCCCCCAAGUAUGAAUCGGUCUCUCCCCAUUCCAAUUAGAAGAAGUGAAAUCAAUGUGUAUCCAAAAACUCCAUGACUACCAAUUUCACAUUCUUUAGUUCAGAAUAACCACAAUGAUGUGAGAGUUUUAAUGAGCACAUCAACAACCUAAUUAGAAGAAGAAAUAAAUUACACCUGGAGUUUUUUAUAAGCAACCAUGUCAUGCAUGAAGUGAAAAUCUAUCUCCACAUGUUUAAUACGAGCAUAAAAAAAAGGAAUUGUACCUAAAAUACCAAGUUCAUAAAGUAGAGUCAUGACCCCUUAUAGUUUAGCAGUAACAUUAGCAAUAGCUAUAGGGCAAUAGUACAAUGCUUGACAAAUUUCUAACAAAUCAAGUUAAGACCAAGGAAAGUAGCAUCACUAUUAAUAGACUAUUCUUCUUACUCUCCUAAGUUUUUACCUAAACUAUGAUAUGUGCAUAUUUGGAUGUGUCCACAAACUAAUGGUUUGGACUGCAUUAUUGUGGAUGGUUAGGAUAAAAAUCUUAUAUUUUAUGAUACCUUGUACAUGAUGAUCCUUGUACGUGUUUAUGAUGCCUUAACAAGCUACUAAUGAUCAGGUGAUUAAGUAAGGAAGAAAGUCGUUAUGACAGGGGGCUUUUAUGGUUAUCGAUGCUCAAAGUUGAAGUUUAUGAACAUAAUUAUUGAGAACAUAUCACAUUGAGGUAAGAAAUCUCAUGAAUGUGUAGUUUCCGUCACAUAGACUAAAAUGAGAAAAGAGAGCUAGAGAUUAAUUUCAUUACUACUCUAAAAUGACAAAAACAAAAGUUGGAAGCCAUAAUAUCCUUUGUGAAGUUUGAGAUGUUACAUGGUCCUUAAUUGAAGGGGCAGGAACUAAAUGAUGCUAACUCAUUGGCUAAAGUCUAAAGUGUGUUUUGAGUUGUUUAUAGAAACUUGAUUUUAAUAUUUCACUAUAAAAAUAUUUGUUUUUUGACAAACCAUUCUUCCAGGUGUUUUUGACAGGAUGGAUAGACUCAUUGGCUGAAGUCACAACACAACAACUCUAAACCGUGAAUUUGCUUUAUUGUUUCUUUAUGUGAUAAAUGACUAGUCUGAGCUUCAGUUUUUUGUUCUUGCCUUUUAAUAUAUAUUGUUAAACUAUUAUGUCUUGUAAUCAAUGUUUUAAAUCAAAUCACAACACAAGAACUCUGAAUCGUGAAUUUGCUUUAUUGUUUCUUUAUGUGAUAAAUGACUAGUUUGAGCUUCAUGUUUUUGUUCUUGCCUUUUAAUAUAUAUUAUUAAACUUUUAUGUCUUGUAAUCAAUGUUUUAAAUCAAUUUAUCUUGCUUGAUUUGCCAGCCAUUAUCUUUUCUGAAAUCCUAGAAGAUGAUGUUUUGAUCUUCCUCCGCAUAUACUCGUUACUUACUGAGAUAGGUCAUGUUUACAUGGUUCCACUGAAGCAAUCAGCUUUUCAAAAGUGACAUGCUCUUUUUUAUUGGAACAUAUAGGUAUAAGUGGAGUGUGAAGGAGUUGCAUAAAAUGCUUCAUUGGUGCAAUGAGCAACUUCAGUAGUCUAGCCAUGUAAACAAGAAGGCACUAGAUCAACAUGUAAAUCCCACUGAGAAACAGGAGGAACUCCAGAUAAGGCAAGCUGAACUUGAGGCAAGUGACGAGGUACUACGGUAUUGGAUUUUAAUGCUUAAAUGUCUUCUAUUAUACUUAUUGUUUUUAACGUGAGAUUAUGAUUUAUGUAUCUUUACUUCAACGACAAACAUAAGCCAUAAAAAAAUAGUAUGAGCUUGAGCUUGAGCUUGAUGUGAAAGACCUACUAGAGUAAAUUUCAGGACAUAUCCAAGCCAAGAUAUCAAACUUUAGCAAAGAAAAAAAAACUAAUUACUUAAAUUAAUAUGUUAGGGAUUUUAUACCUGCUUUGAUUUGACCUAGUGUAAGAUUUAAGGGACCUAUAUAGGCACGUAUAUUUUUUAGUCUUAAUGCUAGAUGCUUGUCCAGUGAAAUUUGAUUUUUUUGCAAUUUUACAGGUUUCCUUACUCUUAUGGAUAUCAACUGUUCUACUUUCGUUGUAGAUUCAAGGAAGCUUCUUGUGGAUUUCUAGGGUUUUCUUUCCUUCACUCAUUGUUGGGUGAUUUUUCGUUUUAGUCCAAGGAAUCAAAACCAUCAUGUUAUGAGAAAUAAUUGAUUUUUUUUCCAUGUUAACUGGACACUUCAAUGAUGAGUGUUUUUACCUUUUCCAGAUGAUGUAUUGGCUACAAAUGUACGAGAUUUAUUCAAGGUCUAUAGCAGUAACUAGUAGAUGCCUGCCAUUAAACUAAAAAUAAGACCAAAUUGAGAUUUUCUAGUUUUAUGAUGAACUAUCUUCAAGGUUUGUGUGUACAUGUAUGGAUUAAUUGAAAUUAGAUAAAGAUGUUUUGUUACUUGGUAUGCGUAUGCAAUUGAACUUCUUAACUCUGUUGUUGCAAGUCCUCAUGCCUCUCUUGCCAUUUCCUUUAUAUUAUGAUGUUUUAAUGUUAAAUAAGUCAUCUACUUGUGUGUAUCCCAAGAGCAAAAACUUCAGGAAGAAAAUUAUAGGCUGAAUGCAGACUUUAAAGAGCGAAAUGACUACGUUGAGAGCUGCAAAGCUUAAAUCAUCUUUUUCUAGUCCUGUGAAGGAUUCAAUAGUCAUAAAGCAUAGAGAAACAAGCUACAGGAUGAGCGGAAGUAUGUAUCAUUCUCUUUUUCUAUUUUGGUCAGGCUUAUUGAAAGGGCAUAGUUUGACUAGACUUUUCUGCUUUUGUAGAUCAUUGAAACAGGAAAGUGAACUUACUUUUGAAUUUGAUAAGCUAAGAACACAAGUGUUCUUUAUUCCUCUGCCGUUGGGUCUUAUUUAUAGGAAAAAUCUCUUGUAGAUGUCACUAAUAAAAUAGAUUAGCUUAAAGCUAGUGUAACCACGAAACAAGGUGAGGUGGGCAUAGAGCUCAUUGAUCACUAACACCACAGAAAAAACAUGAACUAUCCCAACUGAACUAAGAAAGAAAAGAUCUUAAAGAGAAGCUUAUUAAAUUUAGAACAGAUCGCAUCGAGGUAAGAUAUCUCAACCUUGCUGAGAAGCAACUGUAGAGUAUCCUUAACAAGUAUUUGUUCUGUUUCACAUGAAGCUUUUGUGGCCUUCCAAUCUACUUCCAUAUUUAUGAUCUGCUUUCUGAUAGGCCUUUUGCUUGCUGUCAUGCAUGCCUAUAUGCUGAUGGGUGUAUGGUAAUAUGUUGCCCCAAAAGUUUUUGUAUAUUUGUUGCUAACUGAGGUGUGUGACUUUUUAGAAGAAAAUAGUUUAUUAUCAUUUAUUAUUGCCAGCAGUUGCACUAGAGGUGAUAGACUGAUGUUGCAUUGAUGUGUUGUGGCUUCAAACCCCAGAAAAAUAAUAUUACUUAUCACUGAAAAAUGAGUAAAUAAAAAGAAAAGAAUUAUUGCUCAUGCUUUUACAAUGUCAAUCUGCUAUUUGUGAUUUAUUAAGAUACUUUCUGAGUAUUAACAUUAGUUUCUAUUGCUAUGAAGGCAAAGGCGAUGGUACAGAUGCAGAAUCUAGAGCACAAGAAGAAGAUUUUCUCAUCCAGGAUGAGAUUUCUAAAUCUCGUCUAGUGAGCAUCAAGCGUGUAAGUCAUUCUUUAUGGUGAUUCUGCAUUUUGCAAGUAUUGCAAAAGUUGCAAGUGCUCCAUUAUACAUGCGUCCCUUGUUAUUGAAUUGUUGAUUCUCUAUAGUAGGAAGAGAUAAUUUUGCAUGAGAGAGAUGUCUUAUACUAAAUUGAAAAGGUUAUGAGAUGAGGAUGAUUCACGUUUUAAUAAUUUUCAAAUUUUAAAUCAUUGAUAUGCCCUUUUAAACCUUUUGGGAAAAGAGGAUUUAGUGAGGUUUACAAGGUCUGAACUUUGGCAAGUAGUUUCAUUUGAUGAUAGAAACAUUAACCUCUGUUUGUUUGAUGAAAAUUCAUAUUUAUCGUGACAAGAGUAUGGAUCAUUUUGUUGCCAAUAUUGGCAAUUGUAAAAGCACAUCCUUUUGCAGUGAUUUGAAGUAAUAAAUUUCUGGUGGGCUUAUGAUUUGGUGGAGCAUUGGUAUGUUGCAUGGUAAGCUAGAUGGUUUGAAUGUUCAAUGGAGUGAGGAUAAGAAGCAAGUUACAUAGGCACGCAUUGCGAGAGUACAAUAUUCACAAGACCUUGGUGUACAAUCAAAUUGUCCAUCUUGUAAUCUAGCGCACUGAGAUUCAUGCCGACAAAGCAUGGUCAUUUAAUAUUAUAUCAUCACUUUGUCAUCAUAUAUCUGUUUGUGUGGAAUCCUUUUGAAAUCAUGAAAGUCUAAAAAUGUUAGCACUGUAUAGAGAGUUAAAUGUUAAAGAUGUUGGGAGGCUGAAUAGAGCACCUCAUGGGAGUUAAAAGUGGGGAAAGAGGAUUAAGCCAAGGAUGAGAGAUGCAUUUCUUUGUGUUAGUUCCUUGUUUUAAGGAAUUGAUUGGAUAUUGAUUAAUUUAUUAAUUCUUUUGUGCUUUCUUUGUUUCGUCAAUUUAAUUGACUUCAACUUGAUCUAUUUAAAGUGGGCUACCCUGUUGGAAGUGUGCUUUCUCUUAGAAGUGUCUUCUGCAGUUGGAGCUAACGGACUUGACAAGAAUUAUUUUUUUUCAUUAUGAGUAAUCAUGUCCUUUAUUUUUUUUUUGGUGUCCUUUUCUAUAAACUUUUAUUGGAGUUAAUUGAGUAGUAGCCAUUCAUUUUGUAUUGAGUGAUCUCUUCCUGAACCUACGCAAUGAUGACAGGCAUCAACAAUACCAUGUAUGUUACGUCAUACACUAUCUCAUUUCCAAUCUAUGAGAUUGAGGUAUUUUCUCAAUGUCACCGUUUUAAGUUUGUAUUCUAAUGAUUGUUGUUAUUUAAUAGGAAGGUGCAGGGCAUCAAGUUUUAUCUGCUUUUGUCGAGACUGUGUUUGAUAAUUCCAACAAUCGCAUCCCGGUAAUACUUCAUAACUUACUUCCCUUUUUUUUAAUGUGUAGAGGAUAAAUAAUGGUCCAGAUCUUAUUACAAAAGGAGAAGGAUCCUGAUUUUUGUGCUCAUAUUUUUCCUUCUUCUAACAUAUGAGCUUAUAUUUAUCAUUACAAAUCUUUUCCCACAAUGCUCUAGAAUUUAUUUUGAAUUAUUUGUUCUCUGAUGAGGCUUAAUUUUAUUUGAGAAGUUCAAAAAGUCAAAACUAUGGCCACCAUUGAUUGGGAUAACAAUCUAGGAUUGUGCCCCUAUCCAUGUAUAAAAUUGGAAAACUUGUAAUGUUUUAUGGAAGAACUAGGGGGAAAACAGAGAAGUGCUCUAUCUUUACAGCCAUACAUCCCAACCCUAAAAAGAUGAAAGGAACCUGAUUACUCUUUUCUUAUUCAAAAGUGCUGAUUCUCCGUGUAGUUCUUUAUGAAGUCUUUUAUCAUAUAGAUUAACCAAAGUGGUUAAUUUUUUAUUAGGAUGUUGUCUUCAAUUGCUACCUCUUGGAAUCUUCAACUUCAUCAAUCUUGGCAGGUCGCUUAAACAUGACUACUGUCAUGCCAAGCCCUCACUCUCUUGGCUUCUUGAAUUGGUUGGGUUGGAAGUCUCUAUUUCACUUUUUCAAUCUCCUCGUCAACCAACUGGGACCAUUUUCACUAUCGAUGGCCACCACAAAUAGCAAGCUGCUGACUUGACUAUCUUUGUGAUAGUAAAUGUUCGCUACACUUUUUUGGGUUUUCUUGUUAUUGAAAUUUAUAUAUUGUCAUGUGUGCAAGUCAUGAGAGAAUUUUGUAGGAGGAAAAAAUUGAUUGGUGCUUCUUUGUUUCUAUUUUAUUUUAAUAUGACUGCAAAUUACUUUAUACAAUAUCCCUUGGAUCCAUGUUACCUUUCCUUAUAAGAGAAAUUGUUACAUAUGGUGUACAUUCAUUUAAUGUUUUCGUUUUGCUCUCUCACUUGUUAAGCAUAUGUUUUCACAAAUGAUUGAUUAGGAGGAAUUGCAUCUCCCUACAAUUGGUUUGAAAAAGGAUGAGUAUUUUUUGGAUGGAAAGCACAUCACGUUCAUCUAUGUUCUUUAUGCACUCUAUUUCUCAUUGCCUUUUCCUUUGUUUCUAGAAGAUCAAUGAUUGAAAGUAAUAAUUUUUAGGAAAACUGAAGUUAUGAAUCUAUUGGAAAGUGGUGGGUUCUCUUGCUCCAAUCUAUACAAUGUAGAGCAGCAAGGAAAGGUUUGAUUCUUUGAACCUUUUUUUAUUGCUUAAUUUUCUCAAAAAUUAUGUGUAUCAUUUUCCUACUGAUUUUAAAUUUACUUUUGUUUCUUGUGACAAUGAUAGCAUCAUUAACAUUGAUGAAAGACUUUGAGUGUCUUGAUUUAUUGAAAGAAAUUAGUGGGCACUCUAGUGUAUGAAAGAGACACCACGAAAGAAUAUUUGAUUCCUUGAACCUUUUAUUAGUGCUUAAUUUUGCUAAAAAUUAUGUAUAUUCUUUUCCUAUUGAUUUUUAAAUUUCAUGUGUUUCUUGUGACACUUAAUAGAUACAUCAUUGACAUUGUUGACAGACUCUGAGUGUCUCGAGUGUGGGAUGCCGUGAAAGUUAGAAAAUUAUUUCUGGAAACAUGCAAGGAAGGGAUAUUGAGUUGGGUUUUCUUUUGUUGAUGGUUUUUCAGUGUGUAUAAUUUUUUCUCUCUGUUAAACAGGGAUCAACAGAAAACAAAUAAUUCAAGUAGUUCAGUACUUGGAUGAGAGGCUGAAGACCGGUAUGAAGAAAAAGGGAGUUGAGAAAAUAUCAGCACUUGACAAGUAGCGAAAAUCUCUAGAAUAUACUAUUUAUGGUAAGGAACUCCAAUGAGCUCAACAUAAAUUAUUGGAGGUAGUAGCUGUUAGAUGUUUGGACAUGCAUAAGGUUUCUUCAUGUAGUGAUUUUAUGAAUCUCGCAAAAUGUGCACCAAAUUGUUAGUUGAAGCAUAAAGGACAUAUUUGGUGAUAAAAAGGAAAAUAAACAUGAUCUACUCGUCAUUAUAGAUGUAUGAGUCUCUUAUUUCUUCCACUGGUUGUUGUUCCUUGUCCUUUAUGUGUGUAUUUAUUCAAGAUAAUUUUAGAGUUUUAAACAACGAACUGAAAGGUGAGCUUAAUUCUUACAUUAAAAAUAAAAUAUUUGACAGUUAUGUUAUUCUUUAUCAGGUUCUUGUUUCUAGACUAGUUUUGGAAACUAUUGAUUUAUAAUUAGCAUCGCAAUAGGAAUUAAACAUUAAAUUGACAAUCUUGAGGGUAGAAUGUCGUGUGAAGUGUGAAUGGCUAGUUGCCAUACAAUGAUUGUUGCAUAAAGAUUUAGGUCUCUAGUAUUUCUCAUUCUUAUUCAUUGUUGGAGACUUUACUUCAGCCCCUCAUGACUUGCAUGGAAAUGGCAUGUGUUUUAGCAUCGAUUAAUAGGAAGACUUGUGCUUGUGAUUUUUUUAUGCUUUGUUUUUCUUUUCCUUGAAGAUCUCUCUAGACUGUUUAUCAUUGGCAUGACAUAUGCUUUUCUUCCUUAAAAAUAAUGUUACAAAAUGGAAAUUUUUGCCAUAGCUAUAUCAUGUGGUGUUUAAGUAGUGUUAGAUUGUCUUGACAUUAAAUUUCAAGACUAUCCAGAUCUAAAGUGUAUUGCUUCAUUUUUUUUCUCUUGAGGCAAGGUAGUGCCCUUGUAUAUUUAUUUGUCUCCUUUCAGGUGAAGGAGGCUCGAAGCAAGGUUUUGAAACAUUAGCUAAUAUGCAUGAUGAGGUGUUAAAUGCCCAUGAGGAAUCCAAGGACUUAGAAAGGUGCUCAAAGAUCUUACAAAAGAAGUUCACGCAUUGAACAUAGAGAAAGAGGCAACAGAGAAACGAGAAACAGGAAGCGAUAAAAAAGCAAACAAGGCUUGAGCUUGAUGUGAAAGACCUGCAAGAGUCCCUAGAGUGUAUUUUUUCCUUAUCUUGAUGGUUUGUCUAUACCAAAAUAGCACUUUUAUAUGCUUGAAGACUUUUACUUUGUGCAGUAUCUUUCUUUCAUAAACAAUUUUUGCAACUUGUAGUAUAAUGGAGCGUGAAAAGCAGCUGAGCAUCCUGUAUAAAAAACAAGGUCGGGCAACCCAUUUUCUAGCAAAGCUACUUGUAAACAAAGGCUGAAAAAGGAAAAUGAUGAUUUAUGUCUUUUUUCUUCAAAUUUGGCUUAGCAAGAGUUCAGAUUAGUCUAUUAUGAUACUUUAACAUCAAUGCAGAUGUAUUGGUGUUGUCAGAAUCGAAUCUUCCUAUAGGGGUAGUUUCUUAUCUCAUGCUCAUCAUUUAAUUAGGAAAGGACUAGGCCCUUUUAUCGUAUAAUUCCAUGAUCAAAACACAAUUUUAAGGGUUUUUCUUAUUUAUUUUCUUUUUUGAAUUGUUUAGGUAGUUUUAGUAAAUUGGACUUAACAUGAGCUAUAUCUAAAGAAAUGAUUAACCUCUUUCUAGCAUAUUAUUUGUUCAAUUUCUUCAUUUUGUUUCCAUUCCUUGGAUUGCAGGCAACUUGUGUUUCUCGCCUUUUCUUUUCUUUAUAGGUAUGCAAAUUUCGAGAGGUAACUAUUUAGUAUAUUUAGGUGUGAAGGGACAAUGUCAACACACUUAUUGAAUACUAUAGGGGUGUACCUUAAAAUAGGCUAAAAUUUCAUGAGGUUACUCUUUAGUAUAUUUAGGUGUGAAAGGGACAAUGUCAACACACUUAUUGAAUACUAUAGGGGUGUACCUUAAAAUAGGCUAAAAUUUCAUGAGGUUACUCUUUAGUAUAUUUAGGUGAAAAGGAUAAUGUCAACACACUUCUUCAAUACUAUAUGGUGUAGCUUAAAAUAAGCUAAAAUGUAAGGUAUCUCCUCAACUAAAAGUUUCUACAUGUUACUACCUAAUCUAUGACUCCAGCUCAAAAGUCCCCUCACAUUAAACUAAUUCAAAUAGCUGACAAGGCAUAUAAUAAUACAUGGUCUAGAGAACACAAUUAUUUAAGAAUUAUUUGGGUAUUUUAUUUGCUGCUUUGGUUUGGCCUAGUGUAGGAUUUGGACCUGUAUAGGGCGCCUAUUUUUUCAAGUCUUAUUUGCUGCUUUGGUUUGGGCUAGUCUUAAUGCUAUUUUUUCAAGUGAAAUUUGGUUUUUUGCAAUUUUGCAUGUUUCCUUACUCUUGUGGAUGUCAAUACUUCUACUUUCUUGUAGAUUCAAGGAAGCUACCUAUGGAUUUCUUGGUUUUUUCUUACCUUAAGUUGUUGUUGGGUGAUUUUUUUCAAUUUCACAUGUUUCCUUGGUCCUGCGGAUAUCAACACUUCUACUUUCCUUGUUGAUUUAAGGAAGCUUCUUAUGGAUUUCUAGGCUUCUUCUUUUCUUCACUCGUUGUUGGUGAUUUUUCUUUUUUGUUUUCCUUCAAUCCUUUGGUAAGCUUGCGUUGCAGUCUUUUGUUUUGAUCUUCGUGAUUUUAAUCAGCAUUUCAAUUUUAUCUAUUUUUUAAUCUUUUCAUAAUGUUGGCAUAGUUAUUUUUAUUAAUAGUGUUGCACAGUGUACACAUGUUUCCCUUUCAUGCCCAUGUUUUGUGUUAACAGAUGCUCUGCCUGUUAUAUUUUCCUAGAUCUUUUUCAUGCUUUCCUAGGCUGCCAAUAAGGCUGUUACAUGUUUUGCUGGCAAUGAUAGUUUGUUUUUAAACUUUUGAUGUCUCUUUUAUAAUGUGAUUGUGCGAUGCACAUAUUAACAUUUUUUUAAUGGGUGUUGGUAAGGAUUAUGAGCAUUAUUUCUAUCAAUAGUGAUGCACAUCAUUCACAUAUUUGCCCUUAUGCCCAAGUUUUGUGUUAAUGCAUGCUACCGCCCAUAAUUUUUCCCAGGUCUUUUUCAUGCUUUCCUAGGCUGGCUGUUACGUGUUUUGCUUGCAAUGAUAGUUUGUUUUUAAACUUUUGAUGUCUCUUCAUAUUGUGACUGUGCGAUGCUCGUAUAACAUUUCAUUAAUGGUUGCUGGUAAGGAUUAUGAGCAUUAUUUUUAUCAAUAGUGAUGCGCAUCAUUCACAUAUUCGCCCUUUAUGCCCAAGUUUUGUGUUAACACAUGUUGCCGCCCAUAAUUUUUUUCCAGAUCUUUUUCGUGCUUUCUUAAGCUGCCAAUAAGGUUGUUACGUGUUUUGCUGGCAAUGAUUGUUUGUUUUUAAAUUGUGAUGUCUCUUCAUAUUGUGAUUAUAUGAUACCCUUACUAGCAUUUCUGUAAUGGAUGGUGGUAAGCAUUAUGAGCAUUAUUCGAUUAGGAUAAAAUUGUUGUUACAACAACUUGACUACACCUACUAGAAAAAUCAGUUGAGAAUAUGAUUGAUUUGGUGACUGCCUUUAUUUUUAACAAAAUUAGUUUUCAUUCUGUUCAUGCAAUGAAUGUUUUUCUACUUAAUUAUGCAUGGUGGAUUGAAUGGGUUCUCUUAGAGAUACCUUAUCAGAUGAAUUAAUUUCUAUAGGGGAUGCCUUUGUGAUGGAUGAUUUUCUACACAAUUGUGUUGUUUCAUUUACAUUUUCAUUGAGUCACUUUCUACAUACAACCAUUGAUUUAUUUGAUUUUUAUCUUGAGAGAAUAUAUGACCUGAGUGCAUUUGAGUAGUUAAGAUCAAAUGAUGAGUUUGGGAUCAGUUGGUGAGUACACCUGCUAUUUGUACCGUUCCAGCACUGUUUACCUUUAGUAACCACAUUCAGCUCUUUUGCUUCUAUUCCUCAUAGCUCAUUUUGUUACAUCACUUUUAGUCACUAAUGUACUCAGAUAGCAACCAUGAUUAUUGAUCUGAAUAUUUUGUGCUCUGGCCUUUUUAAUUGUUAAGACAUCUUAAUAGAAAGCUUCUCUAUAUGGUUGCACAUUUUGACCUAAAUAACGUUGAUUUUUCUUUUCCCCAUUUUACUAGGUUCUGUCUGCUUGGCUUGUUGGAUUAGUUCAAGUAGUCCUCACUUGGCUUCUUGCAUCAUUCCUAUAACAACCCACAACAUCAUGCGGGUAAUUUAUCUAAUCUAUUUUAUUAUGUUAAAUAUGUUAAAGAUUCUAAAGUAAUUAAGGCAGAUUUGAAGCUGAUUUGUAGGGAGUAAAAACAGAAAGUUAAAUAUCCUUUCCUAUAAAUCAGAACCUAGCAAUAAUACCUAUUUAUGUGUAGUUAAUAGUUGUCCUAAUAUAGAUUUGUAGAUGUUGUAUAUAUUUAAGAAUUCAUUUUGAAAUAAAGUGAGAAGUCAGAAUUUAACAACUCUCCAUAUGGUAUCAGAGCCUAAAUCGAGCCUAUUUUUUUCCUAAGCCUAUCUCUCUCUAAAUCUGGGAUUUCCCCUCCUCUCUUCCCAUAUGUUCUAUCCAGAUAUGAAAAAACAUGUCUAAAAAUACUACAAAAGAAACCCAAAUAUCAGGGGAAUUCCAGAGUUUACAGUCGUCCUACCGACUGAAUGGAAAAAACUAUCUAAAGUGGUCAUAGAUAGUAAAAACCUUUCUCAAAGGAAAGGGAAAGAUUAAUCAUUUGAUGGACAAUCCUCCUAGUCUAGAAGACCCAAAGUUUACACUCUAGGAUGAAGAAGACUCCAUGAUUAUGUCAUGGCUAUGGAACUCUAUUAUGCCAGAAGUCUGUGGGCCUUAUAUGUUUUUGGUUACAGCAAAAGACAUAUGGGAUGCAGUAAGACAGACCAACUCUAAAGUGAAGGAUGCUGCGUUAAUCUAUGAGAUUAAGUUGAAGUUUUCAAUGACCAAACAAGGUAAUAUGAUGGUUAUUGAAUAUUACAAUACUAUGAAAAGUUUCUGGUUGGAAUUGGACUAUUAUCAGGAUUUUAAGAUGCAGUGUAGUGAUGAUGUUGUGAUUCUAAAGAAUUAUGUAGAAAGAGAAAGGAUCUUUGAAUUUCUUGCAGGACUUAACAUAGAAUUUUAUCAAAUACGAGUCCAAAUACUUGGAAAGGAAUCUUUGCCCUCACUCAAUGAGGUAUUCUUGGUAAUAAGGGUUGAAGAAGGAAGGAGAACUGUGAUGCUUGAGGUCCCAAAUACUAAAGGUUCUGCUAUGAUGAUAACUAAUAGCAGAAACCUAAAUGAUGCCAGCAGAAACAAAAAUGAUGCCAUGAAUGGUGCAAAAGUGGUGAAGACUGAAGGGAGAAAAUUCUUAAAGAUGAUCAGUUUUGUAACUAUUGCAAGAAAACAGUCAUACAAAGGAGACCUGCUGGAAACUCCAUGAAAACCACCAAGGAUGGGGCAUAAUGGAGGACACAAAUGGAACCAUUUAAGAGGAUAUGCACACUUAACAAAUUCAGAAGAGACAACACAUGAGUCCAGCACCCUAGAGGUGAGAGGAUUCAAUAGAGGAGAUUGAACGCCUAAAAACCUUACUCAACACAAUGGAGAAACCAUUGGAUCAUGCUCUCUUGCUCAAAAUGGUAAAAUUCCAGUUUCUCAUGUCUUUAGUGCCUCAAAUAAGAACCAUUCCAGCAUCUGGUCAUUGACUUAGGUGCAACAGACCAUAUGACUUAUUCUGCAGAUGCCUUCACAUCAUAUCAACCCUGUCCUAGCAGUAAGAAGAUCACAGUGGCUGAUGGAUCUCUAACCACAGUUGCAGGCCAGGGAACAAUCCUCUUAAUCCUGUAUUUACUCUUAAAAGAGUAUUACAUGUUCCUAAUCUUACUACAAAUCUAUUGUCUAUUCGGAAACUAAUUAAAGACAUAAAUUGAGUGUAACUUUCUUCCUUGAUCACUGCAUAUUUCAGGACCUAGCUACGGGGAGGAUGAUUGGGCAAGCUAGAGUCAAGGAUGGGCUGUACAUGCUUGCAGUGCAAGGCAACAGUAGUAACUUCCCUUCUCUAUCAUUCAUUUCAGUUAAUUCUAAUAAAAUAAUGUUUGGAAUCAUCAUCGUCGUUUAGCAUCUAUCAUUUAAGACUCUUAGGAACAUGUUUCCAUCUUUAUUUAAAAAUCUUGAUGUUGCAAUUUCAUUGUGAAAUCUGUGAAUUUGCAAAGCACCAUAGAGUGCCUUUUCCUAUAAGUGAUUCAAGAUCUGUGUCUCCAUUUACUAUAAUUCACUCGAAUAUAUGGGGUCCAUAUAACAUUCCUAAUAUUUCAGGAGCAAAAGGUUUUGUAACAUUUAUUGAUGAUUGCACCGAAUGACUUGGGUUUACCUUCUUAAAAAAAAUCUGAUGUGAUCAUAUCCUUCCAAACUUUACAAAUAUGAUAAGGAAUCAAUUUGGGGUUAGCAUUAAGGGUUUUAGAACUGAUAAUGCUAGGGACUACUUUAAUCAGAUUUUAUCACCAUACUUUGAAAAAAAGGGAUUAUCAUCAAUCAUCUUGUGUUAAUACUCCCCAACAAAAUGGGUUAGCAGAAAGAAAAAUAGACAUCUCCUUGAAACUACUCGAGCUUUACUUUUCCAACAUCAAGUUCCAAAAAAUUAUUGGGGAGAAGCAGUUUUAACCUUACUAUUUGAUAAAUCGAAUACCUUCAAGAGUUAUUGGUUUCAAAAGUCCUUUAAACUAUUUGUCAGAAUUCUUUCCAAAAAUAAUUUUUAUUCUAAAAUUCCCCCAAGGAUCUUUGGUGUGUCACCUAUGUUCACAUUCAUAAACAUCAACGAGACAAACUUGAUGCUAGAGCUCUUAAGUGUGUUUUCAUAGGAUAUUCAUCACAAAAAGGUUACAAAUGUUAUCAUCCAUCUUCAAAGAUUUCUUGUGUCAAAGGAUGUAGUUUUAAUAAAAUCAGUCUUUCUUCAACAAAUCUUCUCUUCAGGGGGAGGAAAACAACACAGAUAAGACUAACAAUGACUUUGACAUUUUUUUCAUUCCAAAUCCCAUCUAGGCAGCAAUCAUCUCCCAUUUCACCAUCCUGUGAGUCUCCAAAUAUUACUCUGCAGGGAGAAACUACUGCUGACAGACCUCUUCAGGUAUAUAGAAGAAGGAUACAACCUUGAUUUGACUCUCUUGCAAAGCCCAAGAAUCUGAACCAGAGCAAGGUAAUGAAUUUUCUCAUUCAUCUCUACCUAUUCCUGACCUUGAUCAGCCAAUUGCUAUUAGAAAGGGAAGAAGAGAAUGCACUAAGAAUCCCUUAUAUCCUAUAGCUAAUUUUAUGUCAUUUCGAAAGUUCUCACCAUCACAUAAAGCCUUUAUCUCAAAAAUAAACACCAUACCUAUCCCAAAAACCUUACAUGAGGCUCCAAGAAAUGAGAAUUGGAAAACUGCUGAGAGAAGAGAUGAAUGCACUAGAGGAAUCAAACAUGGGAAAUAGUUGAGUUAAAGAGAAGAAAACAAUAGGGUGUAAGUGGGUUUAUGCCUUGAAAUAUAAAGUUGAUGGCAGCCUAGAAAGGUAUAAAGCCAGGCUAGUUGCAAAAGGAUUUACACAAACAUUUGGGAUAGACUAUCAAGAGACAUUUGCUCUAGUUGCUAAGAUGAACACCAUUUGAAUUCUGUUUUCUUUAUCUACUAAUCUUGAAUGGUGUAUGCAGCAAUAUGAUGUUAAGAAUGCCUUCUUACAUGGAGAGUUGGAAGAAGAGGUUUAUAUGGAUCCACCACUAGGAUUCAAUCACUCCCUUCUUCCCAACCAGGUCUACAGACUAAAGAAGGCACUCUAUGGCUUAAAACAAUCUCCUAGAGCCUGGUUUGAAAGGUUCACCAAAGCCAUGGUUUUUAUGGGAUAUCGGCAAAGCCAAUGAGAUCAUACUUUGUUCAUCAAACACUCUAUUUUAGGGGAAGUUACUAUUCUGAUUGUUUAUGUUGAUGACAUUAUAAUAACAGGUGAUGAUUAUGUGGAAGAGAGAUAAGUUGAGAAAAAGACUUUCAGCAGAAUUUGAAAUCAAGGAAUUGGGGAAGUUGAAAUACUUUCUUGGCAUAGAAGUGGCACAUUUAGAAAAAGGGAUUUUAUCUCUCAACAAAAGUAUAUUCUUGACCUUCUAAAGAAAACAUGAAUGGUAGACUGCAGACCAUGUGAAACACCUAUUGAUCUAAAGCACAGACUUGAGAAUGAUGAGUGUCGCACGUCGAAAUAUUCCGCACGACAUCGACUGGCGUUUUUUAUUAUUUGUGUUUUGCUUGGUUCGUUGGAGUCGCCACCUAGUAUUAUGGUCACUAGGAACCUAAGGUCUACGGGAGUCUGAGUAAGGGACUGAUUGUGCAACGGGAAGACGCAUCACCCCCAGUGCACCUACCUAAGGCAAGCUGCAUUAUUGUUUGAUUGCUUUUCUAGGUCGGGUUUCUAUUCGCUGGUCUUUUCUAAGGUUCAAGGCAGAUCUCCCCUCGUGAGGAAGUCUCUACCUUAUUCGGUUAAAUCCUAACCAUUCUAAAGUCUUAAUUUUUAAAAUGCUUUUUUUACACCUUGUAUCUUUAAUACCCGAGGAUGUACAUUAUCGCGUAAUUUUACACCCACAAAUAUUAAAGUCUACAUUCGGAUCCUAGAAAAAAGGUUGAAAAAAGGGUUUUUGACAUUUUGGCCAAAUCCUAAUGGACAAUCAUAAUCUGGUUACGAUAUCCAUUUUAAAAAAAACAUGAAAAGAUGCAAUUUUUGUUUUUACAAAAACUAUGCUUGGAAAAAUUUUAGGAUUUGGCCGUAUGCAAUGAAAUAUUUUUUUUCUUUUUAAAAUGUUUUUUUUGCAUUUUUUUGAAAUAUUUCGGAGAAAACCGGGUAUUUUAAUACCGGAUUUGUAUUUUACAGUGUAAAUAUACAAUCCGAUUGUGCAAAAUUGGUAGAAAAUAUUGAGAAAAUCACUUUUUUAAAUGAUUUUUUGAAAUUGUUUUGGAAUUUUUUAAUUUUAAAUAAUAUUAUAAUAUAUAUAAUAUAUAAUAUUAAAUGUGGGAUGGGCUGGGCCAGGCCCAAGAACUUUUGGUUGGGCCGAUCCCGGCCCAACAUCUCCCUCUCUUUCUUUUGGGCCAGGCCGGACCCCAAAUGGUCCGGCCCAAGCCCGCAUGGUUGCUGGCCCAGCCCAGCAACCAUGCUAAUUAACCAUGCUGCAUGCAGCAGCCACGACAAUGAAGAACAUGCGAAGUGGGAAGGAGGAAGUUGCCUGGCGUGGGAGGAACAACCGCUGUCUAGGUGGAUGACGAGAGGCUGGGGCGGCGUUGAUGGAGAGCUUGGUGGUGCUGCUGCCGGUUGCUGGUUCUGGUCGCCGCUGCAAGAAGGAGAAAACGAGUCCUAGAGAGGAGAAGGAAAAGCUCACGGCUGGAGCUGUUGGUGUGGCUGAGGAGGGAUGCUGCUGCUGAUGGAAAAGACCAGCUGGGAGAAGAAUGAAGGGGUGGUCUGCUCACGGUGGAGAUGACAGAAGAGAAGAGGUGAUGAUGGUGGUAAUGGCUGAAGCCACGGUGGAGAGAGAAAGGGCUGGUUGCAGGAACUGGGCAGGAAAUGCUGGUUUUCGGCCAACUUUGCCUUCAAUUUUCUCUCCCUCCUGAACAGUAACCAGCCGAUUUUUUUUUUUUUCAAUUUAGUCCGCGUUCUUUCAAAUUAGUUCAAUGGAACCCCUAAUUGACCCUAAACCUUUGAUUUAAUGCAAUUUUGGCCCCUAAUUUCAAUCAAUUCACUUGGUAAAAAUUAAAUUUGGUCUCUUAAAAUUCCAAUCUUCUUAAUUAAGCCUAAAUCAGGCUCCCAAAUUUAAUUUUUCACCAAUUAAGCCCCAAAUAAAAUUAAUUUGACCCACUUAAAAUAUAAUUAAGUCCUUGCACUUAAUUAAAUCCUUCAAUUAGACCUAAAUUAAUUCUUAUAAUUAAAAUUUAAUUUGGCCCAUGAUUAAAUCAAAUUGGCCCAUUUAAAAAUUUAAUUAUGUCAUUGGACUUUUUUUAUGCAAAUUCGUCCAAUAAUCGUUUAAUUUUACCUUCGAAUUUGCAUUUUUCUAUUCUUGGGCAUAAUAGGGUACAAUUAGGCCUUGAAAUUCCUCUAAAAAUUGCAGCUUUAUUUCCCAGUCUGCUCUCUCCACGUUGCCAGCCUUUAUUUUAUUUUUUGAUUUUUAUUUUGAAGAAAGAAAUUGAUUUUUGGGGAAUAACCCAGAAUUGGGUUAUGACAGUUGCCCCCCUCUUUACAAUGCUUACGGUAGAAGGUCUCGUAAGAGACUUUAGAUAGUAAGCGUUGUAAAGAAGAAAAAAGGAUGAGAUGGUUGACUCAUCAUAUCGAGAAAUGAUGAAUCCUUUUGAGGGCUAGAAAGCGCACUCAAAGCAAAAACUGGAAGUUUUUUCUUUUGAAAACUUAGAGAUUUUGAAAUGGUCGAAUUGUCAUGGGUGACGUACCCAGGUGGAAAAACACGAAGAUUUUUUUUUUUUUUCAAGUUGUGAAAAACACAGAGAUUUUUCAAAGUUGUGAGAAAUGCAAAAAUAUCUCAAAAUGGUGAAAAAUGCAAAGAUGUUUUCAAAGUGGUCUUAUUGUAAUGGGCGACCUGCCCAGGUGAAAGGUUUUGAAAAAAUACAAAGAUUAUUUCAAAGAGGUGAAAAAUGCAGAUAUUUUUCAAAGUGGUGAGAAAUGCAAAGAUUUCUCAAAAUGAUGAAAAAUGCAAAGAUUUUUCAAAGUGGUUUUGUUGUAAUGGGCAACCGGCCAAAAUGGAAAGGUUUUGAAAAAUACAAAGAUUUUUUCAAAGAGGUGAAAAAUGCAGAGAUUUUUCAAAGUGGUGAGAAAUGCGAAGAUUUCUCAAAAUGGUGAAAAAUGCAAAGAUUUUUCAAAGUGGUUUUGUUGUAAUGGGCAACCGGCCCAGAUGGAAAACGAAAAGAGUUUUCAAGGUGGUGAAAAAUACGAAGAUUUUUCAAGGUGGUGAGAAAUGCGAAGAUUUCUCAAAGUGGUGAGAAAUGCAAAGAUGUCUCAAAGUGGUGAAAAAUGCAACGAUUUUUCAAAGUGGUGAAAAAUACAGAGAUUUUUCAAAGUGGUUUUAUUGUUAUGGGCAACCGGCCCAAAUGGAAGAUGAAAAGAGUUUUGAAAGAGGUCUGAUUAUAAUGGGUGACCUACCCGGGCGAAAAGGCAAAAUGUCUAAAAGGGACAGCAUGAUAGGACUCGAUGGGGAACGAAGGCUGAAGAGCGCACUCAAAAGGAGGUAGGGUUAGAAAAAUACACUACCUAAGAGGUGAGUGCUCCAAGGCGCACUCUAAAGGAGGCAGGAUUGGAAAACACACUACCCGAGAGGUGAGGGCUCGAAGGAGCUCUCAAAAAGAGGCAGGGUUGGAAAACACACUACCUAAGAGGUGAGGGCUUGAAGGAGCAUUCGAAAGGAGGUGAGGUUGGAAAACGCACUACCUAAAGUGGUGAGGGUUCAAAGGAGCAUUCGAAAGGAGGUAAGGUUGGAAAACGCACUACCUAAAGUGGUGAGGGGCUCAAAGGAGCAUCCGAAAGGAGGUAAGGUUGGAAAACGCACUACCUAAAGUGGUUGAUGGCCCUAAGGCGCACUUAAAAGGAGAUAGGGUUGGAAAACGCACUACCUAAGGGGUUGAUGGCCCUAAGGCGCACUCAAAAGAGAGGUAGGGUCAGAAAACACACUACCUAAGAUGGUUGGGGGCUCUAAGGUGCACUCGAAAAGAGGUAAGGAGGUAAGGUUGGAAAAUGCACUACCUAAAAUGUGAGGGCUCCUAGGAGCAUUUAAAAGGAGGUAGAGUUAGAAAACACACUACCUAAGGUGGUUAAUGGCCCCAAGGCGCACUUAAAAUGAGGCAAGGUUAGAAAACACAUUACCUAAGGUGGUUAGGGCUCAAAGGCCCACUAAAAAAGAGGUAGGGUUAAAAAACACAUUACCUAAGAGGUGGUUGAAGACUCUAAGGCGCACUCAAAAAGGGAGGUAGGGUCAGAAAACACACUACCUAAGAUGUUUGGGGGCUCUAAAGCGCAUUUAAAAAGAGGUAGGGUUAGAAAACACACUACCUAUGAGGUUAGGGCUCGAAGGCACACUAAAAAAGAGGUAGUAGUGAGACACUGAUCUGUCAAGGAUGAAAGUAAUGCAUCAUGAACAAUAUGCAUGUAUACUUACCUGAGAAAUAUAGGUCCCCUUUUCUUCAUGGAGUUCUUCUUUUCUCAAAAGUUUGAGUCUCUGAUAGUAAGCUUUGAUGGCUUUUGUCCCUCUUGCUUACUCGAGAAAUAUCUUACGAUCUUGGCCUCUAUGAAAGACUUGAUGUCAUCACUUCUUUGUUCUCCGUCCUUUAUCUCAAGGGUUGCCAAUUUUGCCCGAUGCUUUUCUUAGAAAGGGAAUCAUGGAGCCAGCUCUACUAGAUGUUUUUGAUUGCCCCCUAGCUUGAUCAUGCCCCCAAGUAUUCAAUUUGGGUUUGGGGAUGAGGCUAUGUGAAGGAAGGUUUGGUUUUUGACAAGGAGUUGUUUUCAUGUAGAAUUUUUGGAAUUUCAAAGUUAUUCCGAACACAGAAAUCAUUUUGACAUUGAUUCAAAGCAAACUCAUUCUGAAGAAAUUGAAGUGAUUCCUAUGGAGAGGUCUUUAGAAGUGAUGAAAAAAAAAUUUGUUUUGAUUUUUGGUGAAAAAUAUGAAGUGACAUUUGGUUGGUCACAAAAGGUUGAAAUUUCAAUUUGUGGGUUAUUGAGAACCGUUGGUGAAAAUGUGAAGAAACACGAAGUGACAUCUGGUUGGUCACAAAAGUUUUAAAUUUCAAUUUGAGGGUUAUUGAGAACCGUUGUCAAAGCAUUCAUUUUAUUUGCAUGAAUAAUGACUUUAUCUCUCACGAGAAAGCACUGUCUAUCGAUCCAGAUUGCUUGCCUUUGAUCAGAAAGGGCUUGAUUAGGCACGUAAUGUAGGCUUGGGCUAUUGGCUAUGAAGAAAAUGAUAUAAGUAGGCUCAAAAGGUGUUUAAGGGACUUUAAGACUAAGGAUCACAAGUACUUAUAUCCCAAACUCUUUUGUUCAUACAUUUUUGGACCUUGGAAUUGAUUUGUAAAAUGGUCCACGGUGCCCCCCCAAUGUUGGGCUUGGGCUCUUUCUCUUUGUUUUUGUUUUCUUCAUUUGAUUUUGAGCAUCAUUGCAUUAGUUUUUUUUUUCUCAAAAUUUUUGGAUCCUUUGGAUUUUUCUUCAUGCCCCCUAGCUUUGUAUGGGCACCUUUGAUGAUUAAGAAUUUUCUUUUAUGCCCCCCAGUAUGGUUUGGACACUUUCAUUGUUGAAGACUUUUUCAUGCCCCCAAGAGUUAUUUGGGCACUUUCAAUCAUUAUGGAUUUUUUUUGCACUUGCCCCCCAGUGUAGGGUGUGAUCCUAGCCAAGGUUAUUUUUUCAAGAAAAAUUUAUUAGGCUCAAAAGGGGACUGCAAAUGAUAUAUUUCAGCUUUGCGAAAGGAUUAUCAAAGAUGGCCUUUCUUCAUCUCAAAUGCAUGCAUUUAGGAUCGGUAAGCCUUGCUUUCAUGCGAGUAUGCAGCAUGAUUUCUCAUUAUUCAUGCAAGUAAAACCCAACUUUUGGAGUCACUUCAUGGUGUUUUUUUUUUUUUUUUUUUUUUUGUCUAGGUGUUUGGUAACCUCUCUAAGGAAUCACCUGAAUUUUCAAAACUUGUUUGUUUCGGACAAACACCAGCAUGAUUUCUGUUUUUGUACUAAACUUUGAUUUCCCAAAAAUCCUUAUGAAAACAUGGGUUUUUGAAGGGAGGAAAGAAAACACCAAAGAAUUAGUGGUUUUGUGAGUGAAGGGUGUGCUCAGUAUGUUAUUUGCAUGAACACGAAAAGGCACAUGAUUUUAUUAAUAGGAAAGGCUCAUUUGACAAAGAAAGUCUUGUGGCAUUAUAAGCCAAAUUACCAACAAGACUAAAAUGGGUUAAAACAAAAAAUGAUCAAGCAAAAUGCAAUAAUUGGGUAGGCUCCAUCUUCCCAUUCUAUAGCAGAACUUUGUCCUCUAUCCUCAAAAGUGUACAUUGCCUUCUUCACAUCUUGCUCUUGCCAUUGGUGCUUUGAGGUUUCUAGAGCAUUCCGCCUCUAGUGCAUUCACUGAUCCACUACUUGAAGCAUGAUUGGGUAGAGGGUUCGAACUAAUGUUUGGAGUUCCUUCGAAGGUGACCCAUCUGACUUUAAUCAGAUGCAUAAGCCUCUUCUUAAAGGCACUGCAAGUACGAAUGUUGUGUCCCGCGGCGCCAGCAUGGUAUUCGCAAGUAAGGUCGGGCUUGUACCAAUUGGGGUAAGGUGGUUGUAAAGGUGUCAAGGGUUCAGGAGCUAUACGCCCAAUGCUCAGUAGCUUUUGAUAUAUCUCAUUUAAGGGCAAUGGUAAUGGAGGUAAUUGUUCAUGGGUUUUUUGGUGUUUGGUUUGAAACUCAAGUUUUCUAGUAGGAAAUGAAGGGUUGAAAUUGAUGUUGGCGAUUUGGGGUGAAGUGUGGUAGUUUUGGAUUGGGUUUUUCCUACCCACGUAACCACCUUCAACAUAGUCGACCUCUUUCAUUUUACCCUCAAAGCCUCUUUUCUCAGUGGGCACAAAUAUUCUACCACUUUUUACCCCUUGCUCAAUGCGCUCAGCUACUGCCACAGCAUCAAUAAAUUGCUGGGCCGAACUACCCAUCACAUGCUCGUAGUAUGGGUCCUUGAGUGUAUUGGCGAACAAAGUGACCAUCUCUUUAUCUAGGAGCGGAGGAUGCAUUUGAGCAGCUAGGUCUCUCCACCUUUGAGCAUAUUCCCUUAUGCUUUCCUUGUCCCUUUUCUCUAGAUUGAAGAGACUGGUUCUAUCAGGAGCAAUGUCCAUAUUGUACUUGUAUUGCUUGACAAAAGCAUCCACCAAGUCUUUCCAUUUUUUGAUCUUUGUGUUGUCCAAUCUCAUGUACCAACUUAAUGCUGUCCCACUUAAGCUAUCUUGGAAAAAGUGCAUCAGUAGUUUUUCAUCAUGUACUACUUCUGCCAUUUUGUUGCAGUAGGAUUUGAGAUGAGUCAUGGGGCAUUGCGUUCCGGUAUAUUUGACGAAUUCAGGAACACGGAACUUUUUUGGGACAACCACAUUUGGGACUAGACACAUUUCUGCUGCCCGUACUGGAUCGUACAACUCUACCCCUUCAAUGGCUCUAAUUCGAGCUUCCAACGCCGCCAUUUUAUCUUGACCAAUGCCAUCAGAUGACUUGGUCUUGUGAGACUCAUUGGCAAAUGGAUCUAUGACUACAGGGGCUGGUGCUGAUGGCGUUGAGUGCACAAAUGCUGGAUUGUGUGGAGGUUCUUGACCAUGUUCACUCAUUGUUUCUUCGGUUUGAGCCAUUGUUGGAGCCUGAACAGAAAUAGUAGGUCGGUUGGAAGGACCUUCAACAGAGGCAUUUCUAAGUGCAUGCUCGAGUAAGCUAGUGAGGCGAGCCACGCUUGCUUUCAGAGACUCUAACUCUUCUUGGAAAUGGGCAUCACGGUCAGCACGCUCUUCACCUUCCAUGUUUCUUGCUCGGAGUCGAGUGUUGUAGACUCUUUGGGGACCUAUAUUUCAACCUGGCGUAUGUAUGUAUGUUAUUUACUAUGGAUGGAUGUAUGUGUGUGGAUGCAAAUGUAUGCACAUUUGGCAUGAAUGGAAAAAACUCAUGAAAAAAUGAGUAACAAGAGAGUUCAUGCUCUAAAGGAAGGUUCUAGGUCAUUACAUGAUGGGUAGGCAUUCUACCUGGUCUUGAAAAGGUCUAUGAACUGCCCAGUGACCACCUCACGUGAAGGCAGUGUAGGGGUUUACAAGGAAUGGUUGGGGCACAAUGUGACCGCCAUUACCAAGUAAACACUCAGCUCAUAGUUGGAUGUUUCACGAAUCUGAACCCCGACUGAAAGUCAUGAGGUAGACCGCUACUCCCCACCUAACCUAGAAUAGGGUUUAUUCGCAAAAUUAAAAUGCAUGCUAAAGCAGUAAAAAAUGCGAGCUAAAAAUAAAGACCAAUAAAAGGAAAACAAUCAAACAAUCAAUGCUUAGUCCGACCACACAUGGUUGUCCCCAGUGGAGUCGCCAUUCUGUCGCACGUCGAAAUAUUCCGCACGACAUCGACUGGCGAUUUUUUAUUAUUUGUGUUUUGCUUGGUUCGUUGGAGUCGCCACCUAGUAUUAUGGUCACUAGGAACCUAAGGUCUACGGGAGUCUGAGUAAGGGACUGAUUGUGCAACGGGAAGACGCAUCACCCCCAGUGCACCCUACCUAAGGCAAGCUGCAUUAUUGUUUGAUUGCUUUUCUAGGUCGGGUUUCUAUUCGCUGGUCUUUUCUAAGGUUCAAGGCAGAUCUCCCCUCGUGAGGAAGUCUCUACCUUAUUCGGUUAAAUCCUAACCAUUCUAAAGUCUUAAUUUUUAAAAUGCUUUUAUUUACACCUUGUAUCUUUAAUACCCGAGGAUGUACAUUAUCGCGUAAUUUUACACCCCACAAAUAUUAAAGUCUACAUUCGGAUCCUAGAAAAAAGGUUGAAAAAAGGGUUUUUGACAUUUUGGUCAAAUCCUAAUGGACAAUCAUAAUCUGGUUACGAUAUCCAUUUAAAAAAAAACAUGAAAAAGAUGCAAUUUUUGUUUUUACAAAAACUAUGCUUGGAAAAAUUUUAGGAUUUGGCCGUAUGCAAUGAAAUAUUUUUUUUCUUUUUAAAAUGUUUUUUUUGCAUUUUUUUGAAAUAUUUCGGAGAAAACCGGGUAUUUUAAUACCGGAUUUGUAUUUUACAGUGUAAAUAUACAAUCCGAUUGUGCAAAAUUGGUAGAAAAAUAUUUGAGAAAAUCACAAAUUUUUUAAAAUGAUUUUUUGAAAUUUUUUUGGAAUUUUUUUAAUUUUAAAUAAUAUUAUAAUAUAAUAUAAUAAUAUAUAAUAUUAAAUGUGGGCUGGGCUGGGCUAGGCCCAAGAACUUUUGGUUGGGCCGAUCCCGGCCCAACAUCUCCCUCUCGUUCUUUUGGGCCAGGCCGAACCCCAAAUGGUCCGGCCCAAGCCCGCAUGGUUGCUGCCCAGCCCAGCAACCAUGCUAAUUAACCAUGCUGCAUGCAGAAAUGAAUUCUGCAUGCAGCAGCCCACGACAAUGAAGAACAGGCGAAGCGGAAGGAGGAAGUUGCCUGGCGUGGGAGGAACAACCGCUGUCUAGGUGGAUGACGAGAGGCUGGGGCGGCGUUGAUGGAGAGCUUGGUGGUGCUGCUGCCGGUUGCUGGUUCUGGUCGCCGCUGCAAGAAGGAGAAAACGAGUCCUAGAGAGGAGAAGGAAAAGCUCACGGCUGAGCUGUUGGUGUGCUGAGGAGGGAUGCUGCUGCUGAUGGAAAAGACCAGCUGGGAGAAGAAUGAAGGGGUGGUCUGCUCACGGUUGAGAUGACAGAAGAGAAGAGGUGAUGAUGGUGGUAAUGGCUGAAGCCACGGUGGAGAGAGAAAGGGCUGGUUGCAGGAACUGGGCAGGAAAUGCUGGUUUUCGGCCAACUUUGCCUUCAAUUUUCUCUCCCUCCUGAGCACGAAAUUGGCUCCUAUUUAUAGGGCUGGAGAGAGGGUAAUCUUGUCUUCAACGGGGAAAAAGUCUCAGCCCUUAAUUCGACUCGAGGAAUCCAAGCCGUUGGUUCAAAGAGUGCACCUCGAACUGUCAAAUUUGGCCAUCCAAGGCUGCAGACUGCCCGAGGGUGCCACUUUGGGCCAAUAAACGGAGCCGUUUUCGAGUUGUUCGACCCGACCGGACCACUCUACGAGAUAGAGGGAUUGCAGGUGGACAUGUUGGUGCACGCUUGGUCGGAUUUGGGGAACAAACGAGUUAGAAAAUGCGCCUGGAAGUCUGCCACUCGGGCAGCUUUGUGAGUGUUGUAACCCAUUUUUGGGUCCUCACAUAUAAAAUAAUAAAAUACAAAAAAAUUCAAAAAAUAUAUUACAAAAAAAAUAUAACAGUGAAAAAUGCCAGAGCGCCAUAAACAUGCUAAAAAAAAUUGUUUGAGGAUUUUUAAAAAUAUAAAAAUUAUUUUUUUGAUAGUAUAUCAUUAACUGAUGAGAGCCCCGAUGAUAAAGAAAAUUCAAUUUGUGGAAGAAAAAUGCAAAAUCAGAAGUUUAUGGACUCAAUUAAAUUUUAUUGAAGGUUUAAUUGCAUUUAUGGAGAUUUUAAUUGCAAGAAAAAUUGAUUUUGGAGUUAAUUUGGGCUUUAAUUAGGAGAAAUUAAUUUUCUGGGGUCAAAUUAUAAUUUUUGGAAGUUAAUUUGGUCAAAUCAGGGGCUUAAUUGCAUAAAUUAUUGAGUUUAUGGCCAAUUAGGGACUGAAUUGAAGAAAUCCGAGACCAAGGACUAAAUUGUAAAACGCGCGCAAAUGGAGGGCCGAAAUUUGAAUCUGAUGCUUUUGGCGCCUUUUCCUUUUAAAUGAAACGGCGCGUUUUGACCAAAACGGCGCCGUUUCAUUCACUGUUGCAAAAAAAAAAAAAAAAAAAAAAAAAAAACAGAAGCCCAAAACGGUGCCGUUUUGACGGCACUGUAGCUCUUCUUCUUCCCCUGGACGCGCGAGGCAGGGGAAGAAGAAGAUUUUUUCUUCCCCUUUUCCCUACUUUUUUCACCGGAUUUGGCGCAAUAAGACGCCCGCAAUCACCCACUUGCUCCUCCUUUUAUCCACGGAUCAGUGGAGGGGGGCGGCCACCCCAUGACAGCCCUCCCCUGUUUUCUAUAAAUACAGGGGAGGGCUGCUAAAAAAAAAAAAAAGAGGGAGAAGAGAAGAGAAGGGAGAGACAGAGAGAAGAAAGCAGAAGAAGAAGAAGCAGAGAAGAAAGUCGAACAUCACCACAUCACCACCGCAGGUGCGUUUUCCCGUCGUUUUUUUUCCGUUCUGCAUGCAUAUUAAUUAGCGAGUUACUGUGCUGUGCACAGUAACUCGCUAAUUAAUUCACGGUUACUGUGCAUGUGCACAGUAACCCGCAGAUUAAUUCUCUGGUUACUGUGCACACAGUAACCCGGUUACUAUGUGCACAGUAACCAGCCCAUGCAUUUGGGCCAUGUUCGGCCCAGCCCAUGUAAAAGGGCCAGGUUUGGCCCAGCCCAUGCAAUUGGGCCUAAUCCGGCCCAUUUCAAAGAAAAAAAUCAAAAAUAUUUGUUUCAGCAUUUUAUAAUUUUUCCGUGUAAUUUUUAUGUCAUUUUGAUUAAUAUUUGGUGGUAUUUUUUAUGUUGUUAAAAAUACAAAAAUCUGAUAUUAAAAUACCUGGUUUUCGUCAAAAACUUCCAAAAAUAAAAUAAAAAAUUGAAAAAAAGAAAAAAUGUUUUUGUGCAUACGGCCAAGUGUCUCAAAUCUAAAAAAUCAUAUCGUAUUUUUCAUAUGUAAAAAAAACAAUAUUUAGCAUGCAUUUUGGCUUUAAUAACCAGUUUAUUAAAGUCAAGAGAAUAUUGGCCAAAAUUUCAAAAACAACAAAAAUUUUAUUUUGUUUGUCUCUUAGUAUCCGGGGUAUGACAUUACACGUAAUGCAUAUUCCGGAUAUUUAAUUCUUUUUUUUCAAUAAGACCUGGGGUAUGACAUUACAUGUAAUGCGUAUUCCGAACAACAAAAAACCACAACACAACCUUAGAUUUUAUCAGACAUUAAAACAAUGCAGCCUACCUUAGGUAGGGCGUAGUUGGGGUGCUAAUACCUUCCCUUUACGCAACCAGUCUCCGUACCCGAUCUCUAAAGACCAGUUAAGGUUCCUAGUAACCAGAAUACUAGGUGGCGACUCCCAGUCCAUAUUUUCACUUAUAGAGACAAGAAUUCCUUGUCUCUCCUUUUUUUGUUGGGAAUAAAUAUUCCGAUUUUUUUUUUCCCUUGAGGGUGGACGAUCGUCGCGCCGCCGCACACGUGCGACAGAAUGGCGACUCCACUGGGGACCUUGUGGACUAAGCAUUGUUUUGUCUAGUUUUUUUUCUUUGGAUUUGUUGUGUUUUAUUUUUAAGAUGAAUUUCCCUUAGUUAUUUGCUCAUAUGCUUUAAAUUUGUACAUAUUUGUUCAUGCAUUAUAGAUUGUGUCAUGCAUCAUUCAUAUGAGAGUUUGUACUGAAAAACUUUAAGUUAAGUGUGGGGACUAGCAGCUUACCUUACGACUUUUAGUCAAGGUUUAAGUUUGUGUAAACCCCAACUCUUCGCUGAGUGCUUAGACUGGUAACAGUUGGUACACGUGCCAUCUCAUUGCCUACAAGCCCCCAUAUUGCCUCCACGAGGGCGAUCACUGGGACAGCAAGAGACCCUUUUUUAGAGACUGAAUAGCCAACCUACCCAUGUUCACAUAAUAAUAGAACUGUCCUUAGUUUGUAUGUGCUAUCGUUAUUUGCAUCCGAGCAAGCCCUUCUUGAAGCAUCUUGAACUCCAGACUUUGGGUGACACAAUGGCCGUCGCUCAGAAAAUUUUCAUUGUAGAGUUUGUGCAAGAAUCAAGAUUCUUGUUUCAUCAUACAAGAGUUGCGACCAUAUGUCACCCCUCGAAGGGCGAGUUCAUCAUAUAUUACAUGUUCAUACAUUUAACAUGCAUACAUGCAGAUUGAAAUAUAGGUCCCCAAAAAGUCUACAACACCCGACUUCGAGCAAGAAACAUGGAAGAUGAAGAGCGUGCUCAACGUGAGGCCUAUUUGCACGACGAGUUGGAGUCUCUGAAAAUAAGUGUGGCUCACCUCACUAGCUUACUCAAGCAAACAUUAAGAAAUACCUCUGAUGAAGGUCCUUCUAAUCAACCGAUCACCUUUAAUCCGGCUCCUACUACAGUUCAGCCUGAGGAAAGAAUGAGCGAACAUGGUCAAGAACCUCAGCAAAAUCCAACAUUUGUGCAGUCAACAACACCUGCACCAUCCCCAACAGUCGUGAAGGCAUCUGCUAAUGAGUCCCACAAGGCUAAGUCAUCUGAUAGCAUUGAUCAAGCUAAGAUAGAGGCGUUGGAAGCCAGACUCAAAGCCAUUGAAGGGAUAGACUUAUAUGACCCGGUCCGGGCAGCAGAGAUGUGUUUGGUCCCAAAUGUGGUUAUCCCAAAGAAAUUUCGUGUUCCUGAAUUCAUCAAAUACAGUGGAACACAAUGCCCCAUGACCCAUCUCAGGUCCUACUGCAAUAAAAUGGCUGAGGUAGUACAUGAUGAAAAACUACUAAUGCACUUUUUCCAAGACAGUUUAAGUGGGGCAACUUUGAGUUGGUACAUGAGAUUGGAUAACACAAAAAUUCGCAACUGGAAAAAUCUUGUGGAUGCUUUCGUCAAGCAAUACAAGUACAACAUGGACAUUGCGCCCGACAGAACCAGUUUGUCCAAUAUAGAGAAAAAGGAUAAAGAAAGCAUAAGGGAAUAUGCUCAAAGAUGGCGAGAAUUAGCUGCUCAAGUACAUCCCCCACUUCUGGACAAAGAGAUGGUCUCUUUAUUUGCCAACACUCAAAGCACCAUAUUACGAACAUAUGAUGGGUAGUUCAGCCCAACAAUUCACUGAUGCUGUGAUAGUGUGUGAACGCAUAGAGCAAGGUGUCAAGAGUGGUAGAAUUGCUGCACCAACCGAGAAAAGAGGCGUCGAAAGAAAAGAGGUUCACCAUGUUGAAGAUGGCUACAUGGGUAAAACAAAUACAUCCCAAAUUACCAUACUCCAUCCCAAAUUGCCAACAUCAAAAAACCUGAACCCCAAAACUUUCAAGCCAAAAGCCAAAUUGGAAAUUUCCAAAGGGUUCAAGAACAACUACCUCCACUACCGUUACCCCUGAAUGAGAUGUAUCAAAAGCUAUUAAGCAUCGGGCAAAUAGCUCCAGAACCUCUAACACCUCUGCAGCCACCUUAUCCUAAUUGGUACAAGCCAGAACUCAAUUGUGAAUACCAUGCCGGUAUUACUGGGCAUAGCAUCUAUACCUGCAACGCCUUCAAGAGAAAGCUUCUGCAAUUAAUCAAGGCUGGGUGGAUAGAAUUAGAAGAUGCCCCCAAUGUGAAUACGAACCCGUUGCCUAAUCAUGCUUGAAGCAUAUUAGGAUGGAAUGUUUGGGGAAUUGGAAAGCAUCAAUGGUCCAACAUGAUAGCUUGAAUUUUGUAGAACUCAAAUUUUGACCGUGGUGUUGUUCCGCAUUGUCUUUGAGUCCUCUACGCAGAGCUUUUGAGAGGAGGUUAGCCUAUGAACAGAUUCGCCAAAAUAGAGGAAUGAAGCCUACCUUGUUAUUGCCUUUUGUUAAUGCUUUUGAAUAAGACUUUCUCUGUUAAUGUGCUUCUCUUGUGAAAUAAGAUCAUGUGUUUUCUUGUGUUCACAUCACACUCUUCUUUGUUGUUAUUACAUAACAUUUUGAGCGCAACUUUGCUCACAACACUACAACAUGAAGAAUCUUUUGGUUUUCCUUUCUUCCAAACCCAUACAUUAAUCUCAUAUGUUUUCAAGGAUAUAUUUUUUUGGGACCUCCAAAGUGAGUACAAAAAAACAAAAAUCGUGUUGAUAUUUGUCCAAAACAAAUGCAUUUUGAAAAUUCAAGUGAUUCCUUAAAUAGGUACACAUAUACCUAGAAAACUUGAAAGAAAAAAAGACAAAUAAAGACAAACAAUACUAUGAGGUGACUCAAAAGCUGAGUUUUAUUUGACUGAAUAAAUCAUUUGGCAUACGCGCAUGAAAGCAAGACCUAUCGAUCCUCACUGCAAAUGAGUUUGAGAUGAGGAAAGGCCAUCUUUGAUAAUCCUUUCACAAGGCUAAAAAAUAUCCGUUGCAGUCCCAUUUUGAGCCUAGUAAUGUUUUUUGGAAAUAACCUUGACUAGGAUCACACCCCACACUCGGGGGCAAAAUAAUAGAGUUUUUACCCAUCUAGACAAAGCAGUGAAGAUGGGUGCUGGAAUUGAUCAUGUAAUUUUAAUCUUUCAUUAUCAUCUAAAUGAAGCAGUGAUUGGUUAAGAAAAGAAAAGAAGAAGAUCUAAAGGAUCUAAAAGAUUUGAGCUUCUCAUACAAACAAUUGAUAUGAUUGUGCUCAACCAAACAAAAACGAAGAAAACAAAGAGAAAACCCCAAACCCGACACUAGGGGGCAGGACAAAUCAUUCUGAAAAAAAAAAAACAAAUCCAAAAGACAAAAGGUCAGGAAACAAGCAUAAGUGAUCCCUAGUCUUGAAAUCCCUUAAACACUUUUUGAGCCUACAACAUAUCCAUUUUCUUCAUAACCAAUAGCCAAAGCCUACAUUACAUACCUGAUAAAGCCCUUUCUGAUCAAAGGCAAGCAAUCUGGAUCGGUAGGCAGUGCUUUCUCGUGCGAGUCAAAUCAUUAUUCAUGCAAAUAAAAUAAAUGCUUUGAAUCAAUUCGGUUCUCAAUAACCCUCAAAUUGACAUUUAAACCUUUUGUGACCAACCAGAUGUCACUUCAUCUUUAAACAAAAGCAAAAAGCUUUCAUCACUUCAAGAAACCUGUCCAUAGGAAUCACUUGAAUUUUUUAGAACAAGUUUAUUUUGAACCAAUAUCAAAAUCAUUUUUAUGAUUGGAAUAACUUGGAAGUUCCAAAAAUUUUGCAUGAAAACAUUUCAUUGUACAAAAAACCCAAACUUACUUUCACAUAUCCUCACCCCAAACUAAACCCAAGUUGAACACUUGGGGGGCAUGAUCAAGCUGGGGGGCAAUCAAAAACACAUGGUAGGGCUGGCUCCAUGAUUCCUUUUCUAAGGAAAAUGUCGGGCAAAAUUGGUAACUCUUGAGAUAAAGGGUGAAGGACAAAGAUGUAUGAUGACAUCAAACCCUUCCCAGAGGUCAAGAUCACAAUAUGUAACCCGAGUAAGCAAAAGUGGAAAAGCCAUCGAAGUUUACUACCAACACUACAACUUUUGAGAGAAAAGAAAGACACCAUGAAGAAAUGGGGGCCUAUAUUUCUCAGGUAAGUAUACAUGCAUAUCAAUCAUAAUGCAUUUGCUUUUCAACAUUGACAAUCAUUGUUUCAACAUCAACUUUUGGGUAGUGCGUUUUCUAACCCUACCUCCUUUUGAGUGCGCCUUUGAGCCCUCACCUCCAUUUUGAGUGCGCCUUUGAGCCCUCAUCCCUUCGGUAGUGCGUUUUCUAACCCUACCUCCUUUUGAGUGCGCCUUUGAGCCCUCACCUCCAUUUUGAGUGCGCCUUUGAGCCCUCAUCCCUUAGGUAGUGCGUUUUCUAACCCUACCUCCUUUUGAGUGCGCCUUUGAGCCCUCACCUCCAUUUUGAGUGCGCCUUUGAGCCCUCAUCCCUUCGGUAGUGCGUUUUCUAACCCUACCUCCUUUUGAGUGCGCCUUUGAGCCCUCAUCCUUUGGUAGUGCGUUUCUAACCCUACCUCCUUUGAGUGCGCCUUUGAGCCCUCCAUUUUGAGUGCGCCUUUGAGCCCUCAUCCCUUGGUAGUGCGUUUUCUAACCCUACCUCCUUUUGAGUGCGCCUUUGAGCCCUCACCUCCAUUUUGAGUGCGCCUUUGAGCCCUCACCUCCAUUUUGAGUGCGCCUUUGAGCCCUCAUCCUUGGUAGUGCGUUUUCUAACCCUACCUCUUUUGAGUGCGCCUUUGAGCCCUCAUCCCUUUGGUAGUGCGUUUUCUAACCCUACCUCCUUUUGAGUGCGCCUUUGAGCCCUCACCCUCCAUUUUGAGUGCGCCUUUGAGCCCUCAUCCCUUGGUAGUGCGUUUCUAACCCUACCUCCUUUUGAGUGCGCCUUUGAGCCCUCACCUCCAUUUUGAGUGCGCUUUUGAGCCCUCAUCCCUUGGUAGUGCGUUUUCUAACCCUACCUCCUUUUGAGUGCGCCUUUGAGCCCUCACCUCCAUUUUGAGCCCUUUUGAGCCCUCAUCCCUUCGGUAGUGCGUUUUCUAACCCUACCUCCUUUUGAGUGCGCCUUUGAGCCCUCACCUCCAUUUUGAGUGCGCCUUUGAGCCCUUGCCAACAUUUUUCUGGGUAGGUCACCCAUUACAACGCGACCAAUUCUCCAUGUUUUUUAUCUGGGUAGGUCACCCAUUACAAUGAGACCGCACUUCACAUUUUUUUCCUUUUUCUUUGGGUGGGUCACCCAUCAUAAUGAGACCGUUUUUUCCAUUCUUUCCACCUGGGUAGGUCACCCAUUACAAUGAGACCGUUUUUUUCCCACAUUUCUUUUGUUUUGGUUAAAUGAGGUUGCCAGAUGGGAUCUCAUGUAGCUUUGGUUAAAGGGAAUCUCCAUAUGAGAUUUCAGGUUGACCGAGCUACACACACAGGAUUUUGGUUCUGGUUAGAGGGGAUUGCCGAAAGGAAUCUUAGUCUAUCCCAACCACACAGGAUUUUGGUUCUGGUUAGAGGGGAUUGCCGAAAGGAAUCUCAGUCUAUCCCAACCACACAGGUUUUUUGGUUCUGUUAGAGGGGAUUAGCCGAAAGGAAUCUCAGUCUAUCCUAACCACACACACAUAAUAUUUAGUUUCAGGUUAAAGGGGAUUGGUGAAAGAAUAUCAGUUUAACCCAACCACACACAGGACUUUGGGUCCAAUUGAAGUUUUAGGUCAAUCAAAUUUUAGACGAAGUUUCGGAAACCAACUUUUUUAUCUUUACAACACUUACUAUGCACAAAUCUUUGCUCCGUAAGCAUUGUAAAGAGGGGGGCAACUGUUGUAACCCAUUUUUGGGUCCCACAUAUAAAAUAAUAAAAUACAAAAAAAUUCAAAAAAUAUAUUACAAAAAAAUAUAACAGUGAAAAAUGCCAGAGCGCCAUAAAUGCAAAAAAUUGUUUGAGGAUUUUAAAAAUAUAAAAAUUAUUUUUUGACAGUAUAUCAUUAACUGAUGAGAGCCCCGAUGAUAAAGAAAAUUCAAUUUGUGGAAGAAAAAUGCAAAAUCAGAAGUUUAUGGACUCAAUUAAAUUUUAUUGAAAGGUUUAAUUGAAUUUAUGAGAUUUUAAUUGCAAGAAAAAUUGAUUUUGGAGUUAAUUUGGGCUUUAAUUAGGAGAAAUUAAUUUUCUGGGUCAAAUUAUAAUUUUUGGAAGUUAAUUUGGUCAAAUCAGGGGCUUAAUUGCAUAAAUAUUGAGUUUAUGGCCAAUUAGGGACUUAAUUGAAGAAAUCCGAGACCAAGGACUACAAUCGUAAAACGCGCGAAAAUGGAGGGCCGAAAUUUGAAUCUGAUGCUUUUGGCGCCUUUUCCUUUUAAAUGAAACGGCGCGUUUUGACCAAAACGGCGCCGUUUCAUUCACUGUUGCAAAAAAAAAAAAAAAAAAAAAAAAAAAAAAACAGAAGCCCAAAACGGUGCCGUUUUGACGGCACUGUAGCUCUUCUUCUUCCCCUAGACACACGAGGCAGGGGAAGAAGAAGAUUUUUUCUUCCCCUUUUCACCUAAUUUUUCACCCGGAUUUGGCGCAAUAAGACGCCCGCAAUCACCCACUUGCCUCCUCCUUUUUAUCCACGGAUCAAUAGUGGACGGGGCGGCGGCCACCACCAUGACAGCCCUCCCCUGUUUUUUUCUAUAAAUACAGGGGAGGGCUGCUAAAAAAAAAAAAAGAGGGGAGAAGAGAAGAGAAGGGAGAGACAGAGAGAAGAAAGCAGAAGAAGAAGAAGCAGAGAAGAAAGUCGAACAUCACCACAUCACCACCGCAGGUGCGUUUUCCCGUUGUUUUUUUUCCGUUCUGCAUGCAUAUUAAUUAGCGAGUUACUGUGCUGUGCACAGUAACUCGCUAAUUAAUUCACGGUUACUGUGCAUGUGCACAGUAACCCGCAGAUUAAUUCUCUGGUUACUGUGCACACAGUAACCCGGUUACUAUGUGCACAGUAACCAGCCCAUGCAUUUGGGCCAUGUUCGGCCCAGCCCAUGUAAAAGGGCCAGGUUUGGCCCAGCCCAUGCAAUUGGGCCUAAUCCGGCCCAUUUCAAAGAAAAAAAUCAAAAAUAUUUGUUUCAGCAUUUUAUAAUUUUUCCGUGUAAUUUUUAUGUCAUUUUGAUUAAUAUUUGGUGGUAUUUUUUAUGUUGUUAAAACUACAAAAAAUCUGAUAUUAAAAUACCUGGUUUUCGGCAAAAACUUCCAAAAAUAAAAUAAAAAAUUGAAAAAAGAGAAAAAAAUGUUUUUGUGCAUACGGCCAAGUGUCUCAAAUCUACAAAAAUCAUAUCGUAUUUUUCAUAUGUAAAAAAAAAAAAAACAAUAUUUAGCAUGCAUUUUGGCUUUAAUAACCAGUUUAUUAAAGUCAAGAGAAUAUUGGCCAAAAUUUUAAAAACAACAAAAAUUUUAUUUUGUUUGUCUCUUAGUAUCCGGGGUAUGACAUUACACGUAAUGCAUAUUCUGGAUAUUUAAUUCUUUUUUCGGACAAUAAGACCUGGGGUAUGACAUUACAUGUAAUGCGUAUUCCGAACAACAAAAAACCACAACACAACCUUAGAUUUUAUCAGACAUUAAAACAAUGCAGCCUACCUUAGGUAGGGCGUAGUUGGGGUGCUAAUACCUUCCCUUUACGCAACCAGUCUCCGUACCCGAUCUCUAAAGACCAGUUAAGGUUCCUAGUAACCAGAAUACUAGGUGGCGACUCCCAGUCCAUAUUUUCACUUAUAGAGACAAGAAUUCCUUGUCUCUCCUUUUUUUGUUGGGAAUAAAUAUUUCCGAUUUUUUUUUUCCCUUGAGGGUGGACGAUCGUCGCGCCGCCGCACACGUGCGACAGUGAGGAAGAAGGUGAACAGUAACCAGCCGAUUUUAUUUUUUUUUUGUUUUUUUUUGUUUUUCAAUUUAGUCCGCGUUCUUUCAAAUUAGUUCAAUGGAACCCCUAAUUGACCCUAAACCUUUGAUUUAAUGCAAUUUUGGCCCCUAAUUUCAAUCAAUUCACUUGGUAAAAAUUAAAUUUGGUCUCUUAAAAUUCCAACCUUCUUAAUUAAGCCUAAAUCAGGCUCCCAAAUUUAAUUUUUCACCAAUUAAGCCCCAAAUAAAAUUAAUUUGACCCACUUAAAUUAUAAUUAAGUCCUUGCACUUAAUUAAAUCCUUCAAUUAGACCUAAAUUAAUUCUUAAACAUAAUUAAAAUUUAAUUUGGCCCAUGAUUAAAUCAAAUUGGCCCAUUAAAAAUUUAAUUAUGUCAUUGGACUUAAUUUUUAUGCAAAUUCGUCCAAUAAUCGUUUAAUUUUACCUUCGAAUUUGCAUUUUUCUAUUCUUGGGCAUAAUAGGGUACAAUUAGGCCUUGAAAUUCCUCUAAAAAUUGCAGCUUUAUUUCCCAGUCUGCUCUCUCCACGUUGCCAGCCUUUAUUUUAUUUUUUUAUUUUUAUUUUGAAGAAAGAAAUUGAUUUUUGGGGAAUAACCCAGAAUUGGGUUAUGACAAUGAGGAAGGAGCGACAAUUGACAAGGAUCAAUACCAAAGGUUAGUUGGUAAGUUGAUCUACUUAGCUCACACUUAUCCAGACAUUGCUUAUGUCGUGAGUGUGGUGAGUCAAUUUAUGCACAACCCGAAAGAUUCACAUCUCCAGGCAAUCUAUAGACUCCUCAGAUACUUGAAGUCUACUCCUGGAAAGGAAUUUUGUAUAAAAAUCAUGGGACUUUGAACCUUGAAUGCUACAUAUAUACAAACUAUGCUGGUGCAUUAACAGAUAGAAGAUCAACAUCAGGUUAUUGUACUCUGCUGGAAGGAAAUCUUGUGAUAUGGAGAAGCAAAAAACAAAGUGUUGUGUCAAGAUCAAGUGCAGAAGCAGAAUUCAGAUCAAUGGCACUUGGAAUUUAUGAGUUACUAUGGAUGAAGAUUAUCUUAGAAGAUUUAAGAAUCAAGUGGGAUGAACCAAUGGCGUUGUACUGUGACAAUAAGGCUGCCAUUGUAAUAGCACACAAUCCAGUGCAACAUGAUAGAACUAAACAUGUGGAGGUAGACAGACAUUUCAUCAAAGAAAAGUUAGAGAGUGGAUUGAUAUGCACUCCUUAUGUGCCUACCGAGGAACAAUUUACUGAUAUACUUACUAAAGGUGUUCAAAAUCCUGUGUUCAGAAACACAUUGGACAAGCUAGGAAUGAAAGACUUCUUCCAUCCAGCUUGAGGGGGAGUGUUGAAGAUUCUGAAGUAAUUAAGGCAAAUUUGAAGCUGAUUUGUAGGGAGUAAAAACAUAAAGUCAAAUAUCCUUUCCUAUAAAUCAGAACCUAGCAAUAAUACCUAUUUAUGUGUAGUUAAUAGCUGUCCUAAUAUAGAUCUGUAGAUGUUGUAUAUAUUCAAGAAUUCAUUCUGAAAUAAAGUGAGAAGUCAGAAUUUAACAACUCUCCAUAAAAUAUUCUCUCUUAGAGUUGUGUUCCUAAUCUGCUAGAUGAUAUAGCAUAAUCACUAAUAGUCUCUUAACCUUCUGCCAUGGUUACUUUAUCGUUUGAAUGAUGUACUCAGAUAAUUAGGCACCUUAAUGUUUUGAAAUGGGGACAAGCCACUUUUAUCCCAUUAAACAGGUAAGGAUAAAGUAUCAAGGUGUAACUUAUCCAUAUGGUUCUGAUGUGGUACCUUUAUUAAAAAAGUUGAAGCUUUCUCCCAAUUUUACCCCAGUAUUUGCACAGAAUAGUCCUCCACCAUGCUUGUUCUAAUUGAAAUAUUAUUGAUCUAGUAGUAAUAUUGAUUCGAGUUUUGUUGUUCUUAAUUUAUAUGCAAGUCUCCUCGUGUAACUUAUCCAUCCACAUGGUUCUGAUGUGGUCCUUUUAUUAAAAAAGUUGAAGUUUUCUCCCAAUUUAUCCCUAGGAUCAGCACAGGUUAGUUCCCCACCAUGCUUGGUCUAACCGAAAUAGUAUUGAUCCAACAAAAACAUUGGUUCGAGUUUUGUUGUUAAUAAUUUGUAUGUUGGUCUACACACAAAUGAAAAUUGAGUAAUUACUUGUGCUAUUCUGUUCCAAAAUGUUAUUUCUCAACGUGUUUUGUUAAUUGAUUGCUAAUGUUUUCAUUAGCUUGGUGUGCAAAUUUGGGUUGAAAUUGUUUGCAGUGAGAAGGUUUGUAGUGGUUGCUUUUGGAAUCCAAGGAUGGAUAGUUGUGAGAAAAAGUUUUAAUUUGAUAAUUGUGGUUGAUUGGUACCAACAAUAAAAGUACGUUGUAAAGUACAUGAAUAUACGCUUAUGGUGUGCACCUCCAACCACAAUGCUACUAGGAAAUUUAUAUGAUUUGAAAAGUAAAACACUUUUUCCUUGAUGUGAUAUUUUUUAGAAACUUAAAUUAUUUGACUGGCAUGUUCUUGAAUACUAGUGGAGCAUUGUUUAUGCCCAAGGGCUUGUCUAUAAAUGUGUGUACUUUUUAAAAAUUUGCAUGAGCUAUAUUGUCAAUAAAGUUGAUAUGACUCCUACAAUGGUCUGCAUGCUUAUAUCGUUGCAUAUUCUUUUUAUUCUCCUAAGUUUUUACAUAAACUGUGAUCUGUCCAGAUUUGGAUGUGUCCAUAAACUGAUGGUUUGGACUCUAUAACUAUAUAUGUUUAUAAUGCCUUAAUAGGUUAAUAAUGAUCAUGUGAUUAAGGAAGAAAGUCGAUAUGACGGGGUUUUUUUUAUGACUAUCGAUGCUUAAAGUUGAAGUUUAUGAAUAUAAUUAUGUAGAACAGAUCGCAUUCAGGUAAUAAAUCUGAUGGAUGUGCAAUUUCCAUCACAUAGACUAAAAUGAGAAAACAAAGCUAGAGACUAAUUUCACAACAAAUUUGAAAUGACAAAAACAAAAGUUGGAAGCCAUAAUAUCCUUUGCAAAGUCUGAAAUGUUAUAUGGUGAAGCUAAAUUGAAGGGGCAUGAACUAAAUGAUGCUAACUCAUUGGUUGAAGUCAUAACACAAAAACUCUAAAGUGAGCUUUCAGUUGUUUCUAGAAACAUGAUUUUAAAAUUUCACUAUAAAAAGAUUUUUUUGACUAGCUGUUCUUCUAGGCGUUUAUGAUAAGAUAGAUAGACUCAUUGGCAGAAGUCACAACACAAGAACUCUGAACUAUGAAUCUGCUUUAUUGUUUCUUUAUGUGAUAAAUGACUAGUCUGAUUUCAGUUUUUUGUUCUUGGCUUUUAAUGUAUUGUUAAACUAUUAUGUCUUGUAAUUAAUGUUUUAAAUAUAUUUAUCCUGUUUGAUUUGCCAACCGAUAUCUUUGUUGAUAUCCUAAAAGAUGAUGUUUUGGUCUUGCCCUCACAUGUACUCGGUACUUUCUAAGAUAGGUCAUGCUUCCACUUAAGCAUUCAUCUUUUUAGAAGUGACAUGCUGAUGUAACCAUAUUAUUCGAUAGUUUCACCCGCAUUUAACUAGUGUUUUGCAUAUGUUAUUUAUAUAAAAUGCCUUGAUAUUCUUUGUUUUAUGUUUUGAAGGCAUUUUUGGAUGAAAGAUGCAAAAAGGAGUAAAUUGGAGGUAAUUGGCAGAUUUGACGUUCAGUCGGUAUUUUGUGCAGAGCGUGAGUUCCAGAGAUCGAAAUGAAGUGAUUCCAGUGGCAUUAAAAAGCUAACAUCCAUACCUUUUUGGAAAUGUAAUGCAAGAAAAAUAAAAAGAGAAAGAUCAUGGAAAUCACAUCCUUCAAAGUCAAAUCUCGCAGUCUGCCAAUGUUGACCUUUGCCCAUUCAAAAUUCAAUAUCUGGAGCUUCAGAAGUCCAAUUGAUGCAAACUCAAUUUUUUGUUGGAUUCCUUACUCAAAGAUCUAUAAACGCUCCAAAUUUCAGCCAAAAACGAUGUCAUAUGAGGGAUAUAUGAUUUUUCAAAGAUGACAGCUGAAUUCUGCCAGCAAGCAGGUUGCGUGAAGAAACGAAUCCAAAUUUCAUCUAGAAGCAUCCAAACCGACCAGCAAUUUAGCUCCUCUAGUAAAUAUUCUAGAAGGUCAAGGAAGGCAGCCACCAACCUCAUGGCAGCCACCAACCUCAACCCAGCAGCCAGCAGCCAGCAGCCAGCAGCCUUCACACUACCACCAUCUAUUGAUGUUCACACUUGAGCUUUGAUAUUUUCUUACUUACAAUUUGUGUAUAAAUAGAGGGUGAGUAGAAGGAGGUAAGAAAAGAAGAAGAAGAAAAAAGGAAGAAACACAAACUCUCCUCUCUACAAAUCAGAAAUUAUGUAUUCUUUCAUCUUUAGGAGUAGUUGUUCAAUAGAUAUGCAAGGCUAAGCUCGUUUUCUUGGUUGCAAGGACACAAACAAACCUUCGGAUUUCAAGAACUGUGAGAUUUAUUCUUCCUUUUAUUUUCAGUUUAUGUUAUGAAUGAGUAUGUUUGUUUUCCUAUGCAUAUUUCCUAUGAUUGUUUAUCUUAAUUGCUAGAGCGGACUCUAAGUUAUUAUUGUGAACAAUCUAUUGCUAAGUUUGAUAUCAAAACCGGAGUUGUGGUAUAUAAACUUGUGAAGCAACUAAGCUUGAUAAUUGUAGCGGAACUACGUUAUUAAACUUAGGGAGAACAUUCGAUCAUAGCAACACAAAUUGACAACUUGGUUGUUAAGAUUAAUGAAUUUAUCUGGAUCUUAAGGCUGCCAUUGGAUUAAAUCAUUAGUGCGGACACUGUGAUUGUUUGUUGGUUAGGGCUAGUUAUACGGCGGAUCCGUUAAUUAACCAAUAUUAAGAAAAGAUAAAAUUCAUAAUAUAAACUGGAGUUUCGUUUCAAGGAUCGGUUCUAAUUUCCGUUGGUGGAUGUGUGCUUGCAACCAAGGUUUGUUUUCUUGAUAUAUUUCAGUUUCAAUUGAUUUUGUUUGCUAGUUUAAUUUCUGCCAUAGUUUAAAUCAUUUCAAAUCAAUCCCCCCCAAUUACAUAACGUACAACAUAAAAAUCUAACUUCAAACUUCCUCGUGGGAUCGACCCCUUGCUUGCUCUAUACUAUCUUGUGUGUUUUAAGCUAGGGUAAUUAAUUUGUGCGACCGCGACAUCGCAACAAAUUUUGGCGCCGUUGCCGGGGAGGUAAUUUUAGUUGAUUCUUGUGCUUGUACUGUUAUUUUUAGUUUCUGUGAUUGUUAUUUACAUUUCUGAAAAAAAAAAAAAAAAAACAGAAUUUUUGCUUGCGGUGUUACUGUUCACUUGCCGCAGCGGUACUGUUGAAGACAGAAUUGUUUGUGGAAUUAGGUUUCUAACCUUCAUUUUCUGAAGUGAAACGACGUUCUGAACAAGACUAGUGGUUACCACUAGCCCCACCCAUCGAGGCCAAAUUCUGCUGUUUUCUAAGGUUUUUAGGUAGUUUUAGUUUUAGCGUAGGAUUUUCAUAUAAUUUGCAUUAUUUUUUUUAUUCGCUUGUGUGGUUGCUUUCUUUUGAGUUUUCUUAGCGAUUGAUGCCAGUAACCCGUUCUACUAAUCAGAGUCUAGUGCAGGUUGAUCUUGAAAUAGAAAGCACUUUACGCAAGUUAAGAAAGGAAGUUCACCUCAACACCAUGGCGGUUGCACGACAACAAACACUCAAGGAGCUUGCUGCUCCUAACGUGGAAAUCAACCAUUGUGCAUAAACAUUGACAAUAAUGUAAACUUUGAGCUCAAAUCUGGUUUUAUACAUUUGUUACCAACAUUCAAUGGUCUUGCAGGAGAAGAUCCUCAUACUCAUCUCAAGGAGUUCCAUAUGGUUUGUGUUGGCAUGAAACCGAAUGGAGUUGAUGAAGAACAAGUUAAGUUGAAAGCUUUCCCUUUCUCUUUAAAAGGGGCAGCAAAGGCAUGGCUUUUCUCUAUUCUCCCAGGAUCUAUUGGAACUUGGAAUGCCAUGAAGAAGAUUUUCCUUGAGAAGUAUUUCCCAGCAUCUCGAGUUGCCAACAUAAGGAAAGAAAUAUGUGGGAUUCGGCAAUCUCAUGGAGAGACUCUUCCGAGUAUUGGGAAAGAUUUGAGCAAUUGCAUUCAAUGCCCUCAUCAUCAAAUACCCGAUCAGCUGCUCAUUCAAUAUUUCUAUGAAGGAUUGAUGCCUACUGACCGUAGUAUCAUUGAUGCUGCAAGUGGAGGCGCAUUGGUAGAUAAGACACCUGAGGCUGCACGCCAAUUGAUCUCAAACAUGGCAGCCAACUCAAAACAAUUUGGCACUCGUGGAGACUUCUCCAACAAACGAGUAAAUGAGGUAAGUAUUUCUAACCUUGAAAAUAAAGUUAAUGAUCUUACUUCUCUUGUGCGUUCUUUGGCUUGUGGAAAUGUGCAGCAGGUGAAAGUUUGUAGCAUAUGCUCCUCACAAGGACAUGCUUCGAAUAUGUGCCCAACAAUGCAAGAAGAUUACAUUGAACAAGCUCAUGCAAUUGAUGGAGCAUUCAACGGACAACCUCAGCGUAAGUAUGAUCCUUUUUCCCACACGUACAAUCCUGGAUGGAGAGAUCAUCCUAACCUACGAUAUGGGAACCAACCUCAACAAGGCAAUCAAGGCCAACAAUUCCAUCCCAAUGGAUUUCAACCCCAACAGAAUUAUCAAGCAAGACAAUCGUCAUCCAAUGAUGAUCUUCGUGAGAUGAUGAAAACUUUGGCUUCUAAUACUGUUACUUUGCAACAAAAUGUCAUGUCUUUUCAACAGGAAACAAGGUCAAGUAUUCACAACUUGGAAAAGCAAAUGGGGCAAGUAGCUUCAAGUGUGGGAAAUUGGAAGCACAAAUGAAUGGAAAAUUGCCCUCCCAAGCAUUGAAUCCAAUAGAGCAUGUUAGUGCGAUCAUGUUGCGAAGUGGGAAAGAACUUGAAGAGAAAAGGUCAAAACAAAUUGAGAUGGAGGAAGAAGAAGAGAUAGAAACUGAAUUGAGUACAAAGAAGAUACAUCAUCCUUCUCCUCCACAAACUGAAACAAAGACCAACACUCCAAAGGUAACUCCUCACUCAAUGAAUUCCAGUUUUACAACAAUUCCACCCUUUCCCGUGAGUUCUUCUAGGUCAAAGAAAGAGGACAAGAAAAAGAGAUUUAGAGGUUUUUAAGAAAGUAGAACUCAACAUUCCUUUGCUUGAUGCUAUCAAGCAAAUUCCCAAGUAUGCCAAAUUCUUGAAGGAGUUGUGUACUACCAAGAGAGCUUUCAAACUGAAAGGUCAUGAAACGGUAAGUAUGGGUGAAGUUGUAUCUGCUGUUGUUCAAAAGAAUCUGCCUUUGAAACAAAAAGACCCAGGUGCGUUUACUAUCCCAUGUGUUAUUGGUAAUGCUAGUUUUAAAAGAGCUUUAUGCGAUUUAGGUGCAUCCAUUAGUGUUAUGCCUAAACAUGUUUAUGAUUCUCUUAGUCUAGAGCCUUUGAAUAAAACUAGUAUUGUAAUGCAACUUGCGGAUCGUAGUUUUGUUUACCCACUUGGUGUGAUAGAAGAUGUCCUAGUCAAGAUUGAUAGUUUGGUUUUCCAUGUGACUUUUAUGUUCUUGAUAUGGAACAUGAUUCUUGUGAUUCAUCAACCAGCACUCCUAUAUUGUUUGGGAGACCAUUCUUGAAAACUGCCAACACAAAGAUUGAUUGUGGUAAGGAUACCUUGUCUAUGGAGGUAGGAGAUGAAAAAAUUGAAUUUAAUUUUCAUGAUGCAAUGACAUAUCCUUAUAGCAAUGUUUAUUCUAUCACAUGUUAUGACCAAGUUGAUAAGUGUGUGCAGCAAGUUUUGAUUUUGAUGAUGAGAUGGAUUAAGCAUAGCUUUGAGCAAUGACUAUGAUUUUACCAAGAUAGAAGAGAUGGAAAGGCAUAUAUGUGUUCCCCAAAACAUGCAUGAAUCAACAUUGGAUUUGCAAGCUUUGCAAAUUGUCCUUCAUGAUGCAGGAGUCAUUUACCCAUCACGGAUAGUGAAUGGGUGGCGCCUAUCCUUUUGGUGCCCAAAAAGAUUGGAAUUACGAUGGAAGAGAUUCAAAAUGAUGCUUACGAGAAUGCAAGGAUUUACAAAGAAAAGACUAAGAAUCUUCAUGACCGAAUGCUUACAAGAAAGGAGUUUCAUGUUGGAGACAAAGUCCUUCUUUAUCAUUCGCGUUUAAAACUUUUUCCUGGAAAGUUACGCUCUCGUUGGAUUGGACCAUUUGUUGUUUCUAAUGUUUUUCCUUAUGGUGCAGUUGAAAUUACAAGUUUAGAAACGAACAACAUACUCAAAGUCAAUGGGCAUCGUUUGAAACCUUUCUAUGAAGGUUGGACGGCAGAACUCACCGCUUCUGUAGAGUUAAUUGAACCAAUCUAUGAAGAAUGAGCAUGCAAUAUGUCGAGCCAAUGACAUAAAACAAAAGCGCUUACUGGGAGGCAACCCAGCACAAAAAGAAAAAAAAAUCAGAUUUGCUUUCUUUUUCCUUAUCUUUUAUUUUUCGUAUUUUACUUUAUCUUUGUCAUUCUCUUAUGUUCCUUUGCUUUUAUUUCAACAUUGAGGACAAUGUUGUGUUUUAAGUGUGGGGGUAUUGAGAGAAUUUUGGUUUUCUUAUUUUAAUUUUCUUUGUUGUUCUUAAAAAAAAAAAAACACAAAUUUUGAUCUUUUUAACUCCCAUUGGUUUUUGAGAAUAUGAGUAUUAUGUAUGAGAAUUAAUUGAGAUAGAUGAAGAUAUAAAUCAAAUGAAGGAGUAUGCAUGCAAAUUUUAAGGUUUAAUUGGUUUAGGGAUUGACUUUGAGAAUAUGCCAUGUUGACUUUAUAGUGUUAUACAAAUGCAAGCUUUUGAGCCUUCAAAAUUAUAUUCUUUGAGUGUGCAUUCUUUCAAUGAUAAGUAUCUCUAGAACUUGCUUCAUAUCUUAUUGAGAUUAUAUCCCAUUACAAAUAUACAUGAAGAUGAUAAAGGCAUUAGGAAUUUUAACCCCUCAAGCCAAAAAGCCAACCUAAAGCAUAUUAUCCUUAGUGAACCCGUUUUGAGCUUGGUUAUCUUUUUUUUGCUUUAUCCAUGUAUAAGCCUUAACUUUAUAUAUGUUUUUCUUUUCCCCUGGCCAAGGAUUAGUAGAGCAUAUACUUGUAAUAUUUAAUGGAAUUAUGGUUGGAAAUUAUAUGAAAAGAAAGAAGUGAUGCUUGAUGAAAAAAUGGGCAAAGUUGCCAAAGAAAAAAAAAGAAAAAGAAAAAAAAAAAAAAGUAUUCCUUUAUGUUCUUAAGGUUUUAUGUUGAAAGAGCUUGAAAUCAAAAGGAGUUAAGCAUUUGUGAUUAAAGAUGAAAAAUUUAUGAGCUUUGAUGGAAUAUCUUGUUUGAAGUAUCAUUUUUCAAAAUGCUCUACUUUCAUUGGUUUGAACCUUUCCUUUUACUUUCUUUUACCUCACCUUAACCUCAGCCCCAUUACAACCGGAAAAUAAGACCUUUUGAUUCAUGUAAUACUUGUAAUAAGUUGCUAAUGGAGAUGAGAUUGAAAAGCAAGCUUAUGGUAGAACAUACUCUUUGAUUGAAUUGAGAGAUUUAAACACAUAAAACCCUAAACACAUGAGUGUUGGAGUGUAUAUCAAUGAGAGGACCUAUCACUUUGGCAUGGCAUAGAUUUCAUUUAAAUCCAGACGAUUGAUUGAGUUUUGAAGUUUGCAUGUAAAUAAAUUCAUGAGAAUUAUAUUAUUUAUCCUUCAUGAUUGUAUUCUUGUUUAUAAUGCUUGUACUCUUAGACAUUGAUGGGAGAUUAAGAAAUUGAUCAUAGUUAUUUUCAAUUUAAUUUUAUUUAUCCUUUCUCGAGGACGAGCAAGAGCUAAGUGUGGGGGUAUUUGAUGUAACCAUAUUAUUCGAUAGUUUCACCCGCAUUUAACUAGUGUUUUGCAUAUGUUAUUUAUAUAAAAUGCCUUGAUAUUCUUUGUUUUAUGUUUUGAAGGCAUUUUUGGAUGAAAGAUGCAAAAAGGAGUAAAUUGGAGGUAAUUGGCAGAUUUGACGUUCAGUCGGUAUUUUGUGCAGAGCGUGAGUUCCAGAGAUCGAAAUGAAGUGAUUCCAGUGGCAUUAAAAAGCUAACAUCCAUACCUUUUUGGAAAUGUAAUGCAAGAAAAAUAAAAAGAGAAAGAUCAUGGAAAUCACAUCCUUCAAAGUCAAAUCUCGCAGUCUGCCAAUGUUGACCUUUGCCCAUUCAAAAUUCAAUAUCUGGAGCUUCAGAAGUCCAAUUGAUGCAAACUCAAUUUUGUUGGAUUCCUUACUCAAAGAUCUAUAAACGCUCCAAAUUUCAGCCAAAAACGAUGUCAUAUGAGGGAUAUAUGAUUUUUCAAAGAUGACAGCUGAAUUCUGCCAGCAAGCAGGUUGCGUGAAGAAACGAAUCCAAAUUUCAUCUAGAAGCAUCCAAACCGACCAGCAAUUUAGCUCCUCUAGUAAAUAUUCUAGAAGGUCAAGGAAGGCAGCCACCAACCUCAUGGCAGCCACCAACCUCAAACCCAGCAGCCAGCAGCCAGCAGCCAGCAGCCAGCAGGCCUUCACACUACCACCAUCUAUUGAUGUUCACACUUGAACUUUGAUUUUCUUACUUACAAUUUGUGUAUAAAUAGAGGGUGAGUAGAAGGAGGUAAGAAAAGAGAAAGAAAAAGGAAGAAACACAAACUCUCCUCUCUACAAAUCAGAAAUUAUGUAUUCUUUCAUCUUUAGGAGUAGUUGUUCAAUAGAUAUGCAAGGCUAAGCUCGUUUUCUUGGUUGCAAGGACACAAACAAACCUUCGGAUUUCAAGAACUGUGAGAUUUAUUCUUCCUUUUAUUUUCAGUUUAUGUUAUGAAUGAGUAUGUUUGUUUUCCUAUGCAUAUUUCCUAUGAUUGUUUAUCUUAAUUGCUAGAGCGGACUCUAAGUUAUUAUUGUGAACAAUCUAUUGCUAAGUUUGAUAUCAAAACCGGAGUUGUGGUAUAUAAACUUGUGAAGCAACUAAGCUUGAUAAUUGUAGCGGAACUACGUUAUUAAACUUAGGGAGAACAUUUGAUCAUAGCAACACAAAUUGACAACUUGGUUGUUAAGAUUAAUGAAUUUAUCUGGAUCUUAAGGCUGCCAUUGGAUUAAAUCAUUAGUGCGGACACUGUGAUUGUUUGUUGGUUAGGGAUAGUUAUACGGCGGAUCCGUUAAUUAACCAAUAUUAAGAAAAGAUAAAAUUCAUAAUAUAAACUGGAGUUUCGUUUCAAGGAUCGGUUCUAAUUUCCGUUGGUGGAUGUGUGCUUGCAACCAAGGUUUGUUUUCUUGAUAUAUUUCAGUUUCAAUUGAUUUUGUUUGCUAGUUUAAUUUCUGCCAUAGUUUAAAUCAUUUCAAAUCAAUCCCCCCCAAUUACAUAACGUACAACAUAAAAAUCUAACUUCAAACUUCCUCGUGGGAUCGACCCCUUGCUUGCUCUAUACUAUCUUGUGUGUUUUAAGCUAGGGUAAUUAAUUUGUGCGACCGCGACAUCGCAACACAUGCUCUCUUUUAUUGGAAUAUGUAGGUAUAAGUGGAGUGUGAAGGAGUUGCACAAAAUGCUUCAUUGGUGCAAUAAGCAACUUCAACAGUUCAGCCAUAUAAACAAAAAGGCACUAGAUCAACAGGAGGAACUCUAGAGAAGGCAAGCUGAACUUAAGGCAAGUGACGAGGUACUAUAGUACUGGAUUUUAAUGCUUAAAUGUCUUCUGUUGUAUUUAUUGUUUUUAACGUGAGAUUAAGAUUUAUGUAUCUUUACUUUAUCGACAAACAUAAGCGAUAAAAAAGCAAACUAAGCUUGAGCUUGAUGUGAAAGACAUGCUACAACGAAUUUUAGGACAUAUCCAAACCAAGGUAUCAAACUCUAACAAAGAGAAAAAUGCUAAUUAUUUUUUAGGGAUAAAAAAUGUUGAAUGCUUUUAUUUAACAUGUGCUUUGCUUUUAGGAUGAUGUGUGUGCUAUGCUAAAAUAUAAGGUAUCUCCUCAAUUAAAAUUUUCUACAUAUUACUACCUAAGCUAUAAUUUCAGCUAAAAGCACCUCACAUUAGGUUUUUGUCCUUUACUGUCAAUAUAAACUAAUGCAUAUAGCUAACAUGGUAGAUAAUAAUAAAACACAGUCUAGUAGAUAGAGAAUUUGUAAAUAAGUAAUUAAGACAUCAUUAUUUAAAAAUUAUUUGGGUAUUUUGUUACUUGAAUUAAUCUGUUAGGGAUUUUAUAUGUGCUUUGAUUUGACCUCGUAUAGAAUUUGAGGGACCUGUAUAGGCACAUAUAUUUCUUAGUCUUAAUGUUAGAUACUUGUCGAGUGAAAUUUGAUUUUUUAUGGGUUGAAAGUUUUUGGUGUGACCCUCUUUAAUGAUUGCUUUUGGAAUCCAUGGAUGAAUGGUUGUGAGAAGAAGUUUUAAUUUAAUAAUUGUGGUCGAUUAGUCCCAACUAUAAAAGUAAGCAAGGCUAUAAAGUACCUACAUAAAUGCUUUUUCAUUGAUGUGAUAUUUAUACGUAACUUAAUUAUUUGAUUGGCAUGUUCUUUGAUAUUGGUGGAGCUUUGUUUAUGCUUGAGGGCUUGUCUAUAAAUGUGUGUACUUUUUAAAAAUUUACAUGAGCUAAAUUGUUAAUGAUGUUGAUGGGACUCUUAUAAUGGUUUGCAUGCUUAUAUCAUUGAUUAUUCUUCUUAUUCUCGUAAGUAUUUACCUAAACUGUGAUCUGUCAAGAUUUGGAUGUGUCCACAAACUGAUGGUGUGGUCUGCAUAACUGUGGAUGGUUAUGAUAAAAAUCCUAUAUGUUAUUUUAUAUGAUCCUUGUACAUGUUUAUGAUGCCUGAACUGUCAAUAGAGUCCAUAAUUAGCUUACCAUACAGGCUGUAUAUACUCUCAUAAAUAGGAAAGGAGAUUUAGCUUACCAUGAAUAACUUUCUAAGAUCACUCUAGUUUUUUGGUUUCCUUCUAUAACCAGCAACCAGCCUGGUUUCCCUAUAUAGUUAGUUUUCUUAUAUAAACAAAUAGUUGGCCUCAUAUGUAAUGGUGACCUGCUGAAAUGUAAUUCAUUCUAAAUUCUAACUAUUUUGUCAUGGUAUCAGAGCUCUCAGUCAUAGUUUUCUAAGAACUCCCAACAAUUUUUUUCUCUCUCAAUCAUAGUCUUAGUCCUUAUGGAGAAAUCAUAUAAUGUUUGUGUCAGAUUCAAUGGCAAAAAUUAUACUGCUUGGCAGUUUUCAUUCGAGACUUUUCUCAAAGGUAAAGAGCUAUAUUUUCUUUCCUUAUCUUGAUGCCAAAAAAGCACUUUUAUUUAGGACUUUUGCUUUGUGUAGUGUCUUUCUUUCAUAAACAGUUUUGGCAACUUGCAGUAUUGAUGCGGACCAGCCCAGAAACACCAGCAAGGACCCAUUACAUGUUCCAAAUGGACCAAUGACUCGGUCCAAGACAAAGACAUUGAAAGACGCAUUGAAUGCAUUGGUUUUGAAGGUUUCCACCAAGUCAGAAUUGGAAGGUCCAUUGGAGUAUCAAGAGGAGAUCCUAGUACAUCUUAUCCAUGUGCAAGAGGGGUCCAAUACAACCUUAUUUGGGCCAUGAGAUGAGGACUUUAUUUUAUUUUGUUAGCUACAGCCCAAGGCUUGUUAGGGCUUAAUUCAUACCUUGUUUUAAGUAGGAUCCAAGGCUUGUUUGGAUUAAGUUAUGGGCUUUUCAUUUUAGGGGUUUUGGGCCAGUUUUGAGUGGACCUCAUAUAAGUCCACAUAAAGGGUCCAUUAGGGUUAACUUUUCAAGAACUAUUUAAACUCAUGUAGGCCAAAAUUUCAGCGGCUUUGAUGAUUAUUAUUCUGAAUUUUUCAGUUUUAACGUGUGAGAGUGAUUCUUGCAUUCUUCAGUUCUUGAACGAACUAAAUCUGACUUAUCGAAGAUUAACUGGCUUCGUGGCGUCAUUCUACUCAUUCCAAUAGUGUUGGUGCCUUGGGGCAGGUUUCCAUUGUGUCACACUCCUAUCAUACCUCUUUCGGCUUUUCGGGAUCAGAUCUCAAUCUUGAUUGUGGGUUGCGUGACCAUGUGAUCAUGAGGUUCGCAUCAGUUGGUAUCAGAGCUAGGCUUCAAAACAAGGUCAUAUCAUUCUGUUAUUUUCGUUUUUUUUUCUUUAGGGUUCCCUUAAGUUUUUCAGUGUUUGCAUCCAUCUUCUUGUUCUUAGAGUCUGCGUCAUCUAAGCAAAAAAAAAAAAAAAAGUUUAUAUUUCAUUUGAUUACUGUCUCUAAUCAUAUCAGUUUAUUAAAAAAAAGAAAAAAAGAAAAAGAGAAAAGAGUGAUUGGUUGAAAUUUGAAGGAUCAUUCAAUUUUGCCGCAGAAACACAAAUCUUGGUGAACCAUAAGCAAACCACCUUGGAAUCAAUUUAAACUUCAUAUUCAGUGUAUUGGGGGUGGUAUCACAUGAUAUAUCAAAUUUGGGCUUAUUCUGAUAUUGUUUGUUUGAGGUUUUAAUUCGAGGUUCAAUUCUGCCGUAGAAACACUACUAUUAGUGAACCAUAAGCAAACCAGCUUAGAAUAUAUUGAAACUUCAUAUUCUAUGUAUUGGGUAUGAGAUCGCACCACAUAUUAAAUUUGGAUGUAUUUUGAUAUCGGCUUCUGGAGGUUUUAAUUGGAGGUUCAAUUAUGUCGCAAACUGAUCAUACAAUUUUGGGUACCUAAACAUUAUUAUAAAUUUAUUUUUGGUGUUUUCAUAGUAUUGUAAUACUAAAUAUUGAAUUUGAGGUCAUUUCAAGAUCGUUUGGUCUGGGUUUCAAUUCUGUUACGUAAAAUUGCGUAAUAGGUUAGAUUUGCCUCAAGUUUCAAAACAUGAUCUUUGUUGUUUAGUUUUGUCCAAAUAUUUUUGUUUUUGCUAUAUUUGGAUUAUCUAAGAGUCAAGUAAUUGUUUUUUUUCCUUAACAAUCGCUUCUGUUUUAUUUCGUGUCUUCGUUUCGUCCACAAUUCGUACGAAUUUGCAUUGCUACUCGCAAAAUCGUAAUCCUAGUUUUGUUUUGCUUUGUUUUCAGUAUAUUUAUUGAUUCUUGAGUCUGAAAAUUAUAUUUAGAGUGCGCUGCGAAGGCUAUUGACUUUGAUUUGUUGAUUUCAAUUCCUAAAGCUUCGAAUUUGGUAUUUGAUCAAAUCGAAUGUAUCAUUCGCGAUAAGCUUGUUUUGAUGAGGAAUGUUCAACAAACAGAUGAAAACAUAAGGAUCCAAAGACUUUGGAGGGUCAAUAACAUGGACUCUUAAUUUGAUGUUUAGCUGGUUGUUUUUGUACCCCUAGCAUAUCUAGUUGGUCUAAAUUUUUGUUUUGUUAUGUGGCUAGCCUGUAGCCAUUUGUUGGUUUUCGUUUGUGUUCACAUUGUAAAUCUUGGGUAUGCCCAUUAUAUUCUUUGUAUCAUUUUCUUUUAAUACAUAAGUCAGCUUACCAAAAAAAAAGAUUUCAAUUCCUAAAGAACCAAAAGAAAGCAAGUUGUGAGGUAAAAGGCGUAGAGAGCUUAAUAGAGUGAAAAGCCUUAAUUUUUGUUUUGUGUGAUACACGAGAGGUGUGAGGAUAUAUUUUGUGCUACUAACCAAAUUUUGCAGAUUCAAAGAAUGUCUGAAAACAACGAAUCAGCGACACAAAACGUUGACGUAGCUUUCCAAUUGCGAUCUAUAGGCCAGCAACUUGAGCUGUUGUCUAGGACGUACAAGGAUCUGAAAGAUGAGGUGAAUUCGAUUAAGCAAUAGAAUAGUGGGGCUAAUCGUCGGGGAAAUACGGUCCAUAUAGCCGCACGGAAUGUCAGAUCUGAUUUUGAAGAGUUUGUUGAUGAAAACGCAGAUGGGGGUGAAGAUGACUUUGAGUUUGCAUCAGCUGGCCAAGGAAUCAGGUCUGUACCAAACAGGGCUAGGAGGAAUGUGAAUUUUCAUGGCAUGAGCACUUAUGAAGAUAUGGAUGGGGACUUGGACACCAUUAAACUGGAAAUUCCUAGCUUUCAAGGUAAAAACGAUCUUGAGGCUUAUUUGGAGUGGGAGAAAAAGGUGGAUUGGAUUUUUGAUUGCCAUAGCUAUUCUGAACAAAAAAAGGUGAAAUUGGUGAUAAUUGAGUUUAUGGAGUAUGCAUUGAUUUGGUGGGAUCAGAUUGUGAUCAGUAGGAGGAGGAAUGGCGAGCGACCCGUUCAGACUUGGGGGGAGAUGAAAGUCUUAAUGAGGAGACGAUUUAUGCCAAACCACUAUUACAGAGACUUAUAUUUGAAGCUCCAAGGUCUGAAUCAAGGUUAUAAGACAAUAGAUGAAUAUCACAAAGAGAUGGAGAUAACAAUGAUUCGGGCUAAUGUUGUUGAGGAUAGAGAAGUCACCAUGGCUAGAUUUCUUAAUGGGUUGAAUCGGGAUAUUGCUAAGUGGUUGAGCUACAGCACUAUGUGGAGCUAGAGGACAUGGUUCACAUGGCGACGAAGGUGGAGAGACAACUUAGGAAGGGGCAUGCUCGGCCAGCGUUUAAUUCGGGUUCGUCAUCAUCUUGGAAGCCGAAUCUAAGGAGAGAGGGUAAUGUCCAACCAAGAUCCUUUGGUUCUUCUAGAACUGAACCACCAAAGGCUAAAGUUGAUGUCCCUACUGAUGCCAAAGGUAACUCUGAAACUCAACCUAAACGUACUCGUGAUGUUAAAUGUUUCAGGUGUUAGGGACAUGGACAUUAUGCUUCAGAGUGUCCAAACAAGAGAAUCAUGAUGAUUAGAGAUAAUGGUGAUGUGGAAUCUGAAAGUGACAGUUCUGAUUGUGAAGGCAUGCCACCAUUGGAGGAUAGUGAUGGGGAUGAGUUAGCAUUACCGGUUGAGGAGUCCUUGGUUAUAAGGCGAACACUUCAGGUUCAGGUCAAGGAAGAUGAUACUAAUGAACAAAGGGAGAACAUCUUCCAUACGCGUUGUUAUGUACAAAGCAAGGUGUGUGGUUUAAUUAUAGAUAGUGGAAGUUGUGUUAAUGUUUGUAGUGCCACCCUUAUUAGUAAACUAAAUUUAUGUACUGCUAAGCAUGCUAAACCAUAUAGAUUGCAAUGGCUGAAUGAUAGUGGUGAAAUGAAAGUGACUAAACAGGUUGUGGUUCCAUUUUCGAUUGGGAAAUAUGUUGAUGAAGUUUUGUGCGACGUGGUACCAAUGCAAGCAAGUCACAUCUUGUUGGGGAGACCAUGGCAAUAUGAUAGGAAGGCAAUUCAUGAUGGGGUUAAAAAUAGGUAUACCAUUGUAAAAGAUGGUAAAACCAUCACUCUUGUACCUCUUACACCCAAACAGGUGUAUGAUGAUCAAAUAAAGCUAAAAAGUGAGCAUGAGGCGAUGGGGAGAGAAAAUCAAGGUGAGGAACAAGGGGAGAGAAGACCAUCAGAUUCGGCUAGAACCCAAACCACCACAACCCAUUCGGCCACUGAUUAGUACUUAAAAGUGCAUGUUUAUCAAGGUUUUAUAUCAUCAUUUUGCACUUGAAGUAUCAAUAACUCCUUAACUAAAGCAUGUUUUAUAAUAACAAGUUUGAUACUAUAAGAUACCUUAAUUUAUGGUAAAUGCUCAUCUUAAAUGAAGGCCUAUCACAUAAAUAAAAGGAUUGAUUGAUGAGUUUAAGUAUUGAAAGUGAAAGGACAAAGAGAUGGCCAAACUUAGAAAAGAGAUGUCGGUGUAGUCCAAACCGGAACAUUGCUCGGUAAUUGGAUCAUAUCUAGAGCUCUAGAUCUCGGAUUUAGGUCCAUUUUAUAUGGAUGGAAAGGUAAGACAAAGACCUACAACUUUAAUGGGGAGCCCAAGAUUUAAAAAGGUCGUUUUGAAGUCCAAACUGAAGGAACAACGAAGAAGUCCGAAGCUGUCCUGCAGCCCAAACACUAUUUAGUGUUCAGCCCAUAUCUUGAGUUCUAGAAGUCCAAAUGACCUCAUCUUUUUUUUUUGUUGGAAAGCUGAGACAAUUUCCUAGAACAUUCCUGAGGAUUCUGGGCAAAUUAU
rnacentral:lncRNA from 1 species